UCGGAACUUAUAAAUGAAGUUGUUAAUCACAUUUUGAAGAGAUUGGAUGAAGUGUUUCGGCCGUGUGAUAACAAAAACCAGCUGGUUGGAGUAGAAUCAACAGUUGAGAAAAUUGAAUCUCUAUUAGGUGUUGAGUCAAAAGAUGUUUGGGCUUUAGGGAUUUGGGGCAUUGGUGGUAUAGGCAAAACAACAAUCGCUAGAGCUACUUUCGACAAAAUCUCUAGCGAUUUUGAAGGUUCUUGCUUCCUUGAAAAUGUUAGAGAAGAGUCACAAAGACCGGGAGGAUUAGCUUGCUUGCAAAAGAAACUUCUAUCAAAUUUAUUGAAGGAUAAAAAUGUGAUUCUUGAUAUUGGCCUCAAUUUUCGAAGGCUCAGCCGCAUGAAGGUUCUGAUUGUUUUUGAUGAUGUGACUUGCUUCAGCCAAUUGGAAUCUUUAAUUGGAAGUCUUGAUUGGUUGACGCCUGUGAGUCGAAUCAUAAUAACCACCAGAAAUAAACAAGUGCUUAGAAAUUGGGGGGUGAGUAAAAUAUAUGAGAUGGGGGCAUUAGAAUAUCAUCACGCUCUUGAGCUUUUUAGUCGACAUGCCUUCAAACGAAACCAUCCUGAUGUUGAUUACGAGAAACUUUCAAGCAAGGUAAUGAAAUAUGCUCAAGGUGUUCCUUUAGCUAUUAAAGUUUUGGGUUGCUUUCUAUAUAAAAGGGAAAAAGAAGUCUGGGAAAGUGCAAUAAAUAAAUUGCAAAGUAUCCUCCAUCGAAGUAUCCUAGAGGUAUUAAAAAUAAGUUACGAUGGUUUGGACGAUAAGGAGAAAAAUAUUUUCCUUGAUGUUGCUUGUUUCUUUCAAGGCGAGGGUAUAAAUCUGGUAAUGAAAUUCUUUAAUGCAAGCGGCUUCUACCCAGAAAUAGGAAUAAGUGUUCUUGUUGAUAAAUCUCUCAUUGCUAUUGAUUCAUACAGCAAGAUAACAAUGCAUGAUUUACUACAAGAAUUGGGUCGGGAAAUUGUUCGACAAGAAUCAAUUAAUCCUGAAAACUGCAGUAGGCUGUGGCAUCAUGAGGAUACCUAUGAAGUUCUUACAUAUAAUACGGUAAGCAUUUUUUUGUGGAUUAUAUUUUUGAAUAUUAUAGCAUUUACAGACUUGAUAUGAAUAUAUUUAUAUACGCUCGAACUGAUGAGUCUUAGAAUUAAUAGAAGUGUGACAAUGAUUAGAAAAAAAAAAGUGGUUAAAUGAUGUAACAAUAAAUUAUAUUUGCCAUGACAACUUGUGUGAUCGUUUGUAAGCAUAUUUAUAUGUCAACUUGUAUACUACACAUACAUACUUUGUAUGUUAAAUAUUACGUGUAUUAUUAUGAUUCUUUGUGCAUUUGCAAUUAAGAGUUUAGCUGCCUAGCAAUAACCAUAAACAUGAAUUAUUGAAAUUUGAUUCCUGUAAUGGCAGAGAGCCCCACUCCGAUCCCACCUCAACUCUACUCAAGAAUAAAUAAACGUUGAAUUAAUAACUAAACUACCUCUAAUUGUGAAUUAAUGACAUGCUUGCCCCCAAAAUUUGUCUUGGUUGGGUUAUCAUUUUUCUUUUGAUUUUAACUUUAUUUUUUUAAUUGGAUUUUAGGGGACAGAAAAAAUUGAGGGCAUUUGUUUGGAUAUGUCAAACGUAAAAGAUAUCCAUCUAAAUCCCAAUACUUUCACAAAGAUGCGUAAGUUGAGAUUUUUGAAAUUCUAUAACUCAUCAUUCAAUGGAGAGAACAAAUGUAAGGUGUCUUAUUUGCAAGACCCCGGAUUUGCUGAAGUGAAGUAUUUUUACUGGCAUGGAUGCCCGUUGAAGUCAUUGCCUUCAAACCUUAAUGCAGAGAAGCUUUUGUUUCUUGAACUGCCUGGUAGCGACAUUGAACAACUUUGCGAUGGUGUGAAGGUAUGUAUAUCUUGAUAAAUAUGUGCAAUCUUUCAAUAAUAACGUUGAAUUAUCAUACAUGGUAAUGAUUUUGUGUUGGCUUCUUUUUGAUCGAGCAGCGUCAUGGUAAGUUAAACCAGAUAAUCCAUGCUGCCUGCAAGAAGCUAAUUGCCAAAAUUCCAAACCCCACGUUGAUUUCACAUCCGAACAAGCUAGUUAUCUUGAAUCUAAGAGAUAGCAAAAGCCUGAAAAGUCUUCCAGCUAGAAUAUUUAAUUUGGAAUUUCUUACCAAACUUGAUCUUUCUGGUUGUUCAAAACUGAAGAAGCUUCCAGAGAUCUCAUCUAGUAACAUAAGCCGGCUAUAUUUAAGUGGAACUGCAAUUGAAGAACUGCCCUCAUCAUUUGAGCUUCUACUUAGGCUUUGGUGGCUGGACCUUUCGGAUUGUAAAAUGCUUAAGAGUCUCCCAAGCAUCCUAUGCAAGCUGAAAUCUCUUGGAGUUCUUAAUCUCCGUGGUUGCUCAAAUCUUCGGAGAUUGCCCGAACGUCUUGGCCAGUUAUCAUCGCCAAUAAUAUUGAAUCUAGUGAAAACCAAUAUUGAGAAGAUACCAGAAAGCAUUAUCCAACUUUUUGUGUUGCGACACCUCCUCUUAAAUUAUUGUGAGGGGCAUGAAUCCUUACCAAAGUUUCCUUGUACGAUGGUUAGAUGCCAAUCAUUGCCCGGCACUGCAACCAUAUUAAUAGGUUUAUUCUCUAAGUUCUGAAUCUUAUAGGCAGUGUUUUUUAACUAGAGCAAUAAUUUUAAAUUGGAAGGUAAUUCUACUGCAGGAACUAUUGAAGAUGCCAUGAGAAUUGAGCAUAUGGGCCAUGUGGUAGCUGCCCGUUGGAAAGAAGUACGGGAAAAGGUGUGUCUUAACUCUCUCUCCUUACAAUUUAUACGGUCUUUUUUUUUUUUGGUUUAAAAUUAUGAUUUUUUGGUACAGAGAGGUUUUCCCAUGGAAAAAAGUCAUGUCGUACUAGCUAGGAAUGAAAUUCCAAGGUGGUUUAAUUUUCAAAGUGAGGGAUCUUUUAUAACCUUGGAGAUGCCCCCAGAUUUCUUCAAUAACAACAGAGUACUGGGCUUUGCAUUUAGUGCUAUUUUAUCAUUUUCAGACCGUCAUGUAGAUUGUGGCAGAUGGUUUUCGUUUUCUUGUGAGCUGAAAGUGAAAACCACCAAAGAUUGUGAUCUGCAUGACAAACGGUUAUUUCAGAGCAGAGUUAAUUAUUUAAAAUCAGAUCACUUACAUUUUGGGUACUAUCUGUUCUGUGAAGAGGAUUUUAAUGGUUUUUGGAAACGCAAUUCCAUUCCUGAGGCAGUCCAUUUUAGUAUUUUUCCACCUUUGAAGUGUGAGUGCUGCGGGGUGAAAAAAUGUGGGAUCCAUUUAGUUUGCUUCCCAGACUACGAAUUCAAUGGAAGAUCCAAGCACAUGUUUCAACUAUAACGAAGAAGACUGAGAUUUUCAUGAAUGUAUUUUUAUUGCUUUCCUUUUUCUAAUCACUAUUAAUAAUAGGAAAAAAUGUCAAAAUCAGUUCUUGGAACAAAACAUUCAUGUAAUAACUUUCGAGGGAUCUAGUGCAUGUGACACAGAUUCACACUAGAGCAUUGAACUUUACCUUAUUAGAUGAAGAGUAUGUUGUAUGAAGAGCACAUGAUGUAUAUUGUAAAAUUAAAAUUAUUGGCCUAUUUCCUGCUUUGCACACGCAACCCAUGACGAUUUUGUUAUUAAUCUUUGUAACCCAAAACACAACUGCUUAGUUAGGGGAGUACGUAACUUAUAAACCAGUAAAAAAACUCGCUAGCGAUGUGGGAUAUUUCAGGACGUGCAGCAAGUUCUCAUUGGUGGAGCUAUGUUGUGGGCCCAUAUCUCUAUCAAUGAAAACAUGUCACUCACCCUGUUGGCGCACUAUAUCAACUCUCAUGUAUAUAACACAAUCACAUUUGAAAAUUUUCUACUUUCUUAAAUCUAAAUUGUUGUAUAUGGGAAGUUUCAUCUUGGGAAGCAAAACCCAUAAAGAGGGAACAGUCAAAACACCAUCAAAUCUUAUAUAUUUUAAGAAAUAUAUUUGUAUACUGAUUUAAAAAAAAAAAAAAAAGAACAGGAUUGACUCAACUCAUUUGUGUUGUGAAUCCAUUUGCUUAAACAUGUAUGCACUUUUUCAAGUAUCUAUAACAAUUCCAUUAUCGGAAUGGUGCAUUUGAUUCCAUAGUUGACAUGGUAUCGUCAUAUGGCUAGAAUUUACCGUUAAAAAACUGACCUGUAAGGAAAGGAUUAAAGACGCCCGUGAACUUAUAUUUCUAUUUAGAUUAUUUUAUUUUUUCCAUGUGCAAAGUUGAAUCCUAUUAACAUGAGCAAUAUAAAUUACUAAAUCGCUGUUCUCUAUUCUUUAGAUUGCUGUAUCUUUUUCAUGUAAAAAAUCGAAGCCUUUCAUUAACAUAUCAUUAACAUGAGCAAUAUAGAUGACUAAAUCAUUGUUCUUUACUAUUGUGCUGAAUUUGACUUUUUGAAGCGAGUUAGACUUUUCAUUGAAUUAUUUGGUACAUUUCUUGAAUCAAUUUGGAGCUUCUGCAACAGGUCAGGGAUUAGUAUCUCCUACAUUCCUUUCGGUGCCAAAAGAUAUUCAAGCAGUUGAAUAAGAAUUGAUAUAUACAAUGUAAAUACUAGAAUUGUUUGUCAUUUUACAAUAGGAAUGGUCAACAAUUGCCUUGUUGUUCAUGCUGCCACCAGCACAAUUCAACAAAACAAGCCCUCGAACAAGUGUUUGACUGGAUUCUUAUGGUAGAAAAUAUAGCAGGUUUAUUGCAAACCAUAGUUACCGAAAAGGCUAAUUAAGUGCGAGUGUUUCUUUGCAAGCAAGAUGACUAAUAUCUGAUGCCCAAGAGGAAGUUAAAUUAAUAUACCUGAGGCAGCAAUAACACAAGUAGAGAUGGUCAAUGCAAGGCCCAUGCGUGCUUGUGCCCGUGCAGUGCCCAUUAUAUGUUUCGUGCCGUGCCAUAAUUUUUUUGCUUAGGACAGGGCCGGCACACGUGUCGUGUCUAUUAGUGCCGUGCCGACACAUGCCAUGCCGUGGGCUGUACCGUGCCGUGCCAUGCCUAAGAAAAAAAACCCAAUAAUUUUUUUCUUUUUUUUAAUUUUUUUUAAGAGCACAUGCUAAGCUGUUGGCGUACUUUUUUCAAGUAUAUGUAUUCUUUCUUGGGUCUAUGCCUUUAUUCAAAUUUAAUAGAAUCGAAAAUUCAAAAUUCAAGUUCAUAUUUAAUAAUAAUAAACUAAUAAUAGUAAGAAAAUAUAAUAUUAAUUAUUAAGUUUGACCUUAUAGUAUUAGAAUUUUCUUAAUACUUAACAACAACAAUAAUAAUAAAUUUUUUUUAAAGGUUAACUUAAUUGUUAACUUGUACUUACAUAAAGUUAUAAAUCAUAGUUCAUAAUAAUAUUAAUGCAUAUUUAUAAAAUCAUGAUAUUUAUAAUUUUAUUCAUUAAAAUCAUGAUAUCAAUUAUUUAUUUAAUAAAUUAUAAAAAUAAAUCAAUUAUAGUAUUUUUUUAAACUAAGAAUUUAAUGAAUUUAAAAAUUCAAUUUCAAGUUAUUUGUAAAAUCAUAAAAUUUUAAGUUUACCUUCAUUAAAAAAUAAAACGUGCUUAUUGCAGCCUUUUUUAUCGUGUCGUGCUUAGCUCAUCUCUAAUCGUACCGUGUUUUUAAGGCAUGUGUGCGUAAAAUUCUAAGUCCGGCCCGGCAGACGUGUGUGCCGUGCCCCGUGCCCUACCGAAAUAUGCUCGUGUAUUGCCGUGCCACGUGCCGUCCGACCCAUUGGCCAUCUCUAAACACAAGUUAGGCUUCGAAUUGAAUUACGUAUAAGCACAGCUGGCUUCUAAGCAACUUCAUCCAAGAAAUCCAACAUUAGCUGUAUCGAUGAGUCUCACUCAAGUUAGCAAGGAAAAUAACCUAAGGUCGAGCGAUUGAUGAUAUAAGUAUAGGAGCUGUCAUAUUUGACCCCCUCAUUAUAUUUUAUUAGCCCCAUUAAUCACUUUUAUAUAAAUAGUUUUUACUCUUUAUCUUUAUAUGAAAUAACUUGAAAGGAAAAUAAGUAAUGAUCCUUAACGUUUGUGGAUGCCAACUAUAUGUACACAACAGUAAAUAGUAUAAAAACUAGUACAUUAUAAAAAAAAUUCACUACAAAAUAAAAAUUAUUUUUGUCAUUUGUGCCUGUGUUAUUUUUAUUACAUGUAAUAUCAUUGCACGGAUGCGGGAAGAAAAAAUUUGGGGUCGAUUUGUUGUAAGCCCCAAAUGCAACCGAAGAUCCAAGCGCAAGUUUCAAACCAAACCAACCCAAAGUUUGCGCGGCAAUCCAACUCAACCCAACUAAAAUCAUUUUAAUUUGAUUAUAGUUUGGGUUGACUUAGGCUUUGAUAAAUUCGCAUGUUAUAUAACACAAUUAAAAUAAAAUAUCAUUUGUCAUACAUUUUAUUCAUUAAAAACAUAGUAAAAAAAAAUUUCAAAAAUUCAGUGGCGGCAAAAUUCAACACGUACGUGGUGGUGGUGUCUUCACUAAGUGUUGAAUCUUUAGCUUCAAAGGAAAGAAACAAAAAAAAAAGGGUAGGGAUAUUUCCACCCCAUUAUUUUUGUAAAUUCACACCACUUUUAUAAAAUAAUUAUAAUGAAUUCACAAUAUUUUUAAAAAAUACAAAUUAAUAAAAAUUUAGUAGAGUUAAUCAAUUAAAUCCUUCUAUUAUCUUGCUUCUUAGAUUUCUUUGACUAUAUUUGAUCAUGAACUCUGAUAUAAAUUUUAUUUUUCUAUUGUAUUAUUAUGAUAUAAAACGAAAAAAUUGCCUAACAAACAUGAGUUAUUGUAUCUAAUAAUUUAUGUAUUUAAUUAUCUGAACUAAUAUUUUAAAUGAAAUCUAAUUAUUAUUUUCACUACCUUACAAAUAAAUGAUAUAAAUUUGACAAGCUAAUAAUUUACAUGAGUAUUGUGCCAUAAAGACAUUAUGUUUGUUUAAUUAAUGUUUUAUAAUCAUACUAAUAAAGUAGUAUUAGAAAUAAUGAAUUUGGUAUAAAAUUAGAAAAUAUUGAAGUUAAAGAAUUAGUUUUUCCUUAUAAGGAUCAAAUAAUCAAUUUAGACUUAUGUCAAAGCAAUCUUUAUGAUCAAAUAUAAUAAAAAAUAUUUAAGUCACAAAAAGUAAAUUAAGAUAGAUUUGUUAAUUUGUUCUCCAAAGUUCUUUUUUAUUUAAUUUUUAAAAAAAUAAUGUGUACUUUUUGUAAUUAUUUUUUAAAAAUGGAGUGGAUUUGGAGAUAUCAUUAGCCAACAAAAAAUUUAGUAAGGAUUAAUUUGAUAAUUUCCCAUAAAAAGAAGGCAUAUGUGCAGGUGGUGGUAGGGAAGCCUUUUUCCAUUCUAAAAUUACAUGUAAGAAUCUAUUAUAAAAAAUUUAUCAGUUCUUCACUCCACUAAAAUUUAUCAGAGAAUGAGGUGAAAAAUAUGGGCCAAAUAAAACUAUUAACAUAUUAAAAAAUUUAAAUUAUUAAAAAUAAUAACUAAAAAAUACAUAUUUGUUAAGAAUUUUGGAAUUAUUUUUCUUUGAGUAAUGAUACUAUAAUUCAAAAGACGCUUUUUGAAUUACAUCAGAUUUUUUAUUCAAAACGAACAAAGGGAUUAUAUUUUACCAUUUAGGAAAUAACUAUAUUUAAUAGAGAUAAUUUUUGGUUAUAUCAUUUACUUUCUAUUGAGACAUUUUCAUAUAUUAGAUAAAAGUUACAAAAGUUUACUUUAAAAAAAAAAGAAAAAUUUGACUUUACACGUUUAACAAAUAACCCGAAGGAAUAUGAAUAAGAAUUAUUAAAACAAAAAUGAUAAAUAAGGAUAAUUUUAAAAUUAAAUGCAAUUAAUGGAGAGAUGAUGACUGAUAAGAAAAAUUGGGGGGCAAAAAUUAAAAUAUCAACCUACUACUCAUGGUUGAUAGUCAUGACCCACUCAAUUUGAGAAUUAAAAGCACAAAAGCCAUGUGUUGAAAACUUUGGUGUUCAUGGGGAAAUUUCAGCAAAAAGUCUAAAAAGCAGUGAAAUUAUCUUGCAGUGCACGGUGCCUGGACAAUGAGAUGAAGUUGAAAAAUUAUCACGAAAACUUCCAAGGAAGAGUGCCAAUAGUCUUACUCAUAACGCCGUGUCUAACUCAAAACAUAGAGUAGGAGUUCUACGAAAGUAACGGAAGAGUGCCAAUAGUCUUAACUCAUAAUUUCAACUGAAAAAAUCCGCCAAGUCGAAAAAUUAGGUGGGCAUUCCAAUAACCCUUGAAUAUUCCACGAAUCAUUGUCCAGGAAGCUUGGAAAAUGAGCUAUCAGGUCAAUAUAUGCUGCAGAGUCACGCUCAUUUUGGCUUUGUAAUUGUUUUCAUCUGAUCACAAUCUCUCUCUAAUCAAUUCAACUGCUUCUGUUGAUUAUGGCUUCUUUUUCUGGAAACAACAAGAAGUAUUAUGUUUUUGUUAGUUGCAGAGGAGAAGACACCCGCGACAACUUUACUAGCCAUCUCUAUUCAGCCCUGUCUCGACAAAAUAUCCAAACUUUCAUUGAUGACCAACUUAACAGAGGAAAUGAAAUUUCAGAGUCACUUGUGAAAGCGAUUAAAGCAUCAGCCAUUUCGGUUAUCAUUUUCUCUGAAGACUACGCUUCUUCCAGAUGGUGUCUUGAUGAACUUGCGGAGAUCCCCGAGUACAAGAAAGAGCAUGCACAGAUUGUGUUACCGGUUUUCUAUCGCGUUGAUCCAUCAUACGUGAGAAACCAAACAGGGAGUUUUGGGGAUUCAUUUUCAAAGCUUCAAGAAAGAUUUGAGCAAAAUUCGGAGAAGCUGCAGACAUGGAGGAAGGGAUUGAGAGAAGCGGCCGGUUAAUAUUUAACACUGUAGCAUCAGGUGAAAAGUUAGUUUUAAUUUCUCAUGCUAAUAUUUAACACUGUAAAUAAAAUUCAUGCAGCACUCUUAGUUAAAUUUCCGGAUGCUAAACUACAAUUUUAAAUUUUUUUUAGGUAUCAAAUUCUAGGCUUCUUGACUUCCCCACUUUUGAACCGCAAUAAUUGUGAAAGAACUUUGACAGAAUUAAUAAUAAAAGACCGAUAAUUUUACAAUAUAUUUAACAAAAUUAAUGGUGGUCUGUCGUUGUUUAAGCAAUUUCAACCUCACAUACCUCCAUCAGGAAAAAAAAAGAAGUCACACAUACUCCUAUAAUUUAAGAGUUAUUAAUUUAUAGGGAGAUUGUAGUGGUAUAUGUUAAUUUCAAUUGAAAAACUAGCAAUCUCCCUUAUUUCAUAUUUGAUGCAAAUCCCUCCUAUUUGAAGUUACUGCUGCUAAUUUUAUGUAUUUGGCAGGCCUGAAUCAGAACUUAUAAACGAAGUUGUUAAUCACAUUUUGAAGAGACUGCUGGAAGAAGUGUUUCGGCCGCGUGAUGACAAAAGCCAGCUGGUUGGAGUAGAAUCAAGAGUUGAGGAAAUUGAAUCUCUACUAAGUGUUGAGUCGAAAGAUGUUUACGCUUUAGGGAUUUGGGGCAUUGGUGGUAUAGGCAAAACAACAAUCGCUAGAGCUACUUUCGACAAAAUCUCUAGAUAUUUUGAAGGUUCUUGCUUCCUUGAAAAUGUUAGAGGAGAGUCACAAAGAACGGGAGGAUUAGCUUGCUUGCGACAAAAACUUCUUUCAAAUUUAAUGAAGGAUGAAAAUGUGAUUCCUGGUAUUGACCUCAAUUUUAGAAGGCUCAGCCGCAUGAAGGCUCUGAUUGUUUUUGAUGAUGUGACUUGCUUCAGCCAAUUAGAAUCUAUAAUUGGAAGUCUUGAUUGGUUGAUGCCUGUGAGUCGAAUCAUAAUAACCACCAGAAAUAAACAAGUGCUUAGAAAUUGGGGGGUGAGGAAAAUAUAUGAGAUGGAGGCAUUAGAAUAUCAUCACGCUCUUGAGCUUUUUAGUCGACAUGCCUUCAAACAAAACCAUCCUGAUGUUGGUUAUGAGGAACUUUCAAGUAAGGCAAUGCAAUCUAAUUAAUCGUCUAAGGAGGCUACUAUGCUACAUUUAGCCAUUGGUUGGAUAGGCAGCUUGUCUUCUAGUACAACUUUAAAUUUACCAAGAUUGAGAAUUUUCCUCCUGAAGAAAAGUAAUUUCUAUAGCAGCUAGUACCAUCUUCAUCCCAACGGUAAGCAGCUCCAUACUAAGGAAAGAGUGAAAUAGUUGUGCUUUACUUAUAGAAGCCCGUUCCUGUCCAGAGUGAUUAGUAAGUUGUUUCACCACAACGCCCAUUAUGGUGACUGAAAAAAGAAAAAAUAUAUAUAUAUAUAUUUGCCCAACACAGAAGUAGCACCCAAGAAGUCCUACUUAAGAGGCUUCCUACCCUGCACAAAUGGGAAAGUUUUUUAAAAUUUUCAUGUUCCAAAUGAAGAUUGCCCAUUAAAAAAUUACAUGUUAGGAAAUUGAACUUCCUCCCAAGAUCACUCCAAGCAAUUUAUCAAGCAACAACUUAAUAAGAAAAUUAAAUGGAGAAUACACCAAUCACACAACACAAGAUUUACGUGGAAAACUCCAAAUCCGGAGAAAAACCACGGCAGUUGUCGAGAGACAACCAGAGAAAAAUAUUCACUAUGUGGAAAAUUAUUACAACCACUCUCAGAAAUAAAUUUCUCUCACCCAAGCCCCAAAUACAUAAUCCUGAGAAAUAUCCCUUAACAAAGCAAACCCGCAAUACCCAUAUUGAGGAGCCAAAUGCUCCUUCAAUAUAACUACAUGCUUAAGAACAUUUCUCUCCUCUCAAUUUGGAUUGCUUCUCUCCAUGGCCAACAUUUCAUGUCUAUUUUCUUGAGCAAUGCCGAAGCUCAUUGCUACUCAUUUCUCAUCAAAUGACGUUCCAAUUUAUAGCCAAACUAUCACACCAAAAAAUCUAACAAGUCGGCAACAACUUUCUUCCUUUUUGACAAAUUCAUCAUGCGGUUCAAAAUUGGCAUUUUCCUUGUCCAAGUCCAGCCACCAAUUUGAAUGCAAUCAAUGUGUUCUCAUUUGACUCUUCCUUUUUUUUUUUAAUCAAUUUCAACAUUACACACAUAAUAUAUGUAAAGCAAUUAAAACAGAAAAACAAGGAUAACCCAGAAACAAUCCAACCAUCAAUAACAUAAAACUUUUGUAAUUCUGGUAAAGUGAAUGAGAAGCAGAACAUACGUUUCACGUAAUAAUGAAGAUACAUCUUUUAAUCAGUUUUUGCUCUUAAUUUAUUCUUGUACUUCCUUCCAAUAACAAUUCAUAAAAGGUACGUAUCUUGAAAAAUUAUAUCAUACAUUUCUCUUAUCAAUGGGGCAGGUUGCUAUUUGUUAGAGUGCAAUUUAUGCACUAGUUUUGCAUUGUUUACUUCCCUUAAUAUCAAUGUUUUGCACUUAAUAAUAGUGAUUUACUUGUGUUUUACUUUUGUAGGUGCAAUUCUAUUGAUUGAUGAUAAAAUUGAGCUAUAAGAUGAUGUUUAAGGAUGAUUGUUCUCUUGGAGAAAUUAUGAGCGUCAGAAGAACUUUGUUGAUAAGGCGUGGGCGCGUGCUGUCAACUGCGGACCUGCAAUUUUUAGUUUAACGUGUUUUGUAUUUUUGGUUAUUUUUGUAAUUACGAAUUUAAUAUUUCAGAUAUUAGUAUUUUAUUUUAAAUAGAAUUCUAGAGGAGAAGAGAGAGAGAGUAUUUAAGGGAGGAAUCUAUUGUGAAAACGGGGAUUUUGGAUUGGAGAAAAAGAAACCCUAGAUCUAAUUUUUCUCUUCUCUCUAUGAGGAACUAAACCCAUUUUUCUGGUUGAAGGUUAAUGAAGCUUUGAUUCAUCACUACUGUGAGAUCUUUCUUGUGCUUUAAUUGUUUUAUUACUUUUUGGGUAUUUGUUUAUUCUCUGAAUUAUUUUCAUGAUUAUGUUUGUUAAUUAGGUAAUUGGCCACUAUUUAAUUAUCAACUUAAUCUAUUGUCAAUUAAAGGAUUCAUCGUAUGAAGAAUUUAAUGUUUGUGACAAAUAACAUAGCAGAGAGUUGUGUUGUGAGAAUAAACAAUCUAAUUUAAAUGAAUCAUCAUAUGUGUUGAUUAGGAUUUGGGUCUCUCUGGUUUUUCAGGCUGUCAAUUGAUUAAAUUCUAUGAUCGUAUCUAGGGUUGUCUAUUGAUUAGGGAAAUAACCAACGGUCGUACCUUGGUUAUCGACUAGUUAAGGAGAGAUUGGCUAUUAGAGGGUCUCAGUAGCUAUAACCGGUCUAUUCAUGAGUAAUAAUAAUCUAUAUUUGAAUCAAUGAUCAGUAGUCGAAUCAAGCUGAGUUAAUUCCUUCAACCAGAGCUUUCUCCAAUUUGAAUUACAACUUUAAUUUGCAUUCUUGUUAUUUUUAAUUUGAUUUUUAUUAUUGUCAACAAUUCCCCCAUUUUACGUUUUACGUUUCAAAAUGAUUUAAAUAAUUACCGAUCUUUGUGGACACGACCCUGCUCAAUCACUAUACACAAUUUAUUUAGAGUAGGAAUUUAUUUUUGUUGGCUUCGACACCCAUCAAAUUUUGGCGCCGUUGCCGGGGAUUGGUGUCAUUUAUUUAAUCCUUUUUACGUUUUACUUGGUGUAUGGUUCGUUCUUCUCGUACAGGUACACUUUCGUUUGUUCCUGAAAUUGAGAAGACAGCUCGCCAGCUGAGACAACAGACGAAGCGAGCUAAGCAACGAUCCUCGUCGCCUUUGCUUUUUGAAACAGAUACGGUGCCUGAUUUAGUUGAAUCAUCUAGCGAUUCGGAAGAACAAGUGAUGGAUAGACCUGCACCUGUAGAAAGAACUCUUAGAGAGUUAGCUGAACUAGACUUGAAUCAGCAACCACUCUGCAUUCAAUAUGUAGACUUGGAGGUAAAUUUUGAAUUAAAGUCUGGUCUUAUUCAUUUAUUACCCAAGUUUCAUGGUUUUGCAGGUGAAGAUCCUCAUAAACAUCUCAAGGAGUUUCAUGUUGUGUGCUCAAGUAUGAGGCCACAAGGCGUGACUGAAGAGCAUAUUAAGCUGCGUGCUUUUCCGUUCUCUGUAGAUGGGCUAGCUAAAGAUUGGUUGUAUUACUUGCCUCCUGGAUCGAUUACAACGUGGAAUGAUUUGAAGAAGCAGUUCCUCGAGAAGUACUUUCCUGCUUCAAGAGCUGCUAACAUCAGAAAAGACAUUUGUGGGAUCAGACAACUUCUUGGGGAGACUUUGUAUGAGUAUUGGGAGCGAUUCAAACAAUUGUGUGCCAGCUGUCCUCAGCAUCAGAUUUCUGAUCAACUUCUUAUUCAAUAUUUUUACGAAGGAUUAUCAUUGAUGGAUAGGAGUAUGAUAGAUGCUACUAGUGGAGGCGUGUUGGUGAACAAGACCCCUACUCAAGCAAGGGAGUUGAUCUCAAAUAUGGCUGCCAAUGCACAACAAUUUGGCAGCAGACAAGAUGCCACUUCAUCUUCAAGAACGGUGAAUGAGGUAAAUAUUUCUUCUGUUGAACAACGUUUAGAUAAACUUACUUCUCUUGUGGAAAAGUUUGUUGUAGGUAAUGUGCAACAGGUGAAGACUUGUGGCAUUUGUUACAAUAUGGGUCAUUCAACUGAUAUGUGUCCUACACUUCAAGAAGAACCCGUUGAACAAGCCAAUGCAGUUGGAGGAUUUCCAGGCAUGCCUCAGAGGAGGUAUGAUCCUUAUGCACAAACAUACAAUCCGGGAUGGAAGGAUCAUCCCAACUUCAGCUAUGGAGUUAGGCCGUCAGGAUUCCCACAACAGUAUCCACCAAGACAACCAACACCUCCACAGUCAAACUCCAAGUCAGGUAUAUCUCUUGAAGAAAUUGUUAAAUCACUUGCGACUAACACUCAACAAUUUCAGCAGGCAACUACAGCAAGCAUUCAGAACUUGGAGAACCAAAUGAGUCAAUUGGCGACUACAGUGAGCCGUCUGGAGUCUCAAGUAUUAGGGAGAUUGCCUUCACAAUCUGAGGUGAAUCCAAAGCAAAACGUUAGUGCUGUCAUCCUUAGAAGUGGGAAGGAGUUGCAAGAGCCUAGUAAGAAAGUGACAGAGCAUGUAGAAGAUGAGCUUGAGAAGAAUGAAUUGAUGCCUCAAUCUCAAGAUGCACAACCCACCGGAGCGAAACCCCUACCUAUUGUGAUACCUCCUCCUUUUCCAAGCCGGUUUGCAAAAUCCAAGAAGGAGGAACAAGAGAAAGACAUCCUUGAGACAUUUCGCAAGGUUGAGGUAAAUAUUCCUUUAUUAGAUGCUAUAAAACAAAUACCUCGAUAUGCUAAAGUCCUUAAGGAACUGUGCACCUCCAAAAGAAAAUUAAGAGGAGAUGAAAAAGUUCACAUGGGGGAGAAUGUUUCAGCAGUUUUCCAAAAGAAACUACCUCCUAAGUGCAAGGAUCCAGGUAUGUUUACUAUCCCUUGUAAAAUUGGUAGUGUUAGAGUUGAAAAGGCUAUGUUAGAUCUAGGAGCUUCUAUUAAUGUCAUGCCUCGUUCCAUUUAUUCAUCUUUGAAUGUUGGUCCAUUAAAAGAAACUGGCGUGAUAAUUCAACUAGCUGAUAGGUCUAAUGCAUAUCCUGAUGGGGUAUUAGAAGAUGUCUUAGUACAAGUUAAUGAGUUGGUUUUUCCUGCUGAUUUUUAUGUACUUGAUAUGGAAGAUGAUAACUCCUCUAAUUCUGUCCCAAUUUUGCUAGGAAGACCUUUUCUUAAGACUGCUAGGACUAAAAUGGAUGUACAUAAAAGGGACUCUCACUAUGGAGUUUGAUGGAGAGGUUAUAGAAUUCAAUAUGAAUGAUACCAUGAAAUAUCCUAGUGAGGAACAUUCGGUAUUUUCUGUGGAUGUUAUUAACCCUAUAGCGCAGGAAGUUUUUUACAAGGAAAAGACGAAGACAUUUCAUGAUAGAAUGAUUUUGAGAAAGGAGUUCUCUGUUGGUCAAAAAGUUCUUCUUUUUCAUUCUAAGCUUAAACUUUUUCCGGGUAAAUUACGUUCUUGCUGGGUUGGACCUUUUAUUGUUACUAAUGUUUUUCCUCAUGGUGCAGUUGAGAUUCGGAGUCCGACCUCUGACAAAGUUUUUAAGGUUAAUGGUCAUCGCUUAAAACCUUUUUAUGAAGGUUUUUCGGUUAAUAUUGUGGAGGAUGUGGCUCUCGAGAGUCCCAAUUAUGGAGAUUGAUGCAUAAAUGUGUCUAGCCAAAGACAUAAAACAAAGGCGCUUUUUGGGAGGCAACCCAAAUGAUUUGUUUAUUUUGGUUUUUGUUUUAUCUUCUUUUAGUUUUGAUUCAGAUUUAAAAAAAAAAAAUUUAAUGUGUUUACUUAUCUUGGUCAGAAGAAAAUUUUUGAUAAGGCGUGCCCACGUUUUAACUAAUAAGUACUUAUGAAAUUUUUAAAGUAAAAUAGUUUUAAGGCGUGCCCACGUGCUUAUUAAAAAACUACUUCUGAAAUUUUUGGCGUCUCAAAGUGAUUCAUCACAAAAAAAAAAAAAAAAAAAAUUUACUGUUCACAAAAUCCCUAAUUUUCCAGAUCUUGUUUUCUUCUCCAGCCGCUUGCAGCACACCAGCAGCAAACCAGCCCGCCGGAAAACGCAAGCCCCCGCGCGCGCAGCACCAGCAACGAGCACGCCCCGAAACCCAACCUAGAACUAGCUCUCGCGCGCAACACAACGCGAACGCAGCAGUGCGUAGAUCCAACCCCGCAACGCAGCGCGAACCAGCAACGCGAACCACCAGCGCGCAACACAAGCCCCCGCGCGCGCAACACCAGCAUCCCGUGUCUCGCAGCCCACCAGCGCGCAACGCAGCACCAGCAUCCCGCGUCCAACGAGCAGCAGCCGCAGCCACGCAGACAGCAUCCCGCGCGCAACACAGUAGUGCGCAAGCAGCCCCAAGCCGCGUAGCAAGCUCUAACCGAGCAGCAACGCAACGCAACCAGCCUACGCACUGUAUUCUAGCCGGGUGUGGUCGAAUUCAAGGAGGGGAGAUUUCAGUUUACUGAACCAGGACCCACUCAACUUCCGAAGAAGCUUUAUGCUAGGAGUAGUGCUGCCUCUGAUGACGAGUUUGACGACGACACUGCUGCCCCGCCAACUAUUCCUUCUACAUCCGCACCACCUUUGAGUAUUCAGUUAGAGAAAAUGGAGCACAAACUGAACAAGAUGGAGCAGAAUUUGGCCGCAUACUUCGAGAGUGUGGGAUUUACCCCACCAUUUCCGCCAAGCCCAUAGACGUUAUGUGGAUCAAAGCUCACAAUUCAGGGAAGUUUCUUUUUGCCCUUAAUCUUUUAUCCUUAUGCUUUAAUUUUUAUGUGAGCUUUGAUUAUCUUACAUUGGGGACAAUGUCAGUUCUUGGUGUGGGGGAGGGAUUUUUGCAUUAUUGAUGUCUGGAAUUAUUGUUUUCACUGUACUCAUCUAUUUUCACUCUACUCAUCCUUAAAUGAUUUUGGAGUUAGUAUGCUUCAUAUAUUAUUAAUUUUCUUUUCCUCUCUCUCUCACUACUCUUUUCCCAUCUAUCUCAAAUUAUUUACAUCUAUUUUUAUUCUAUCAUACUCUUUCAUCACUCACAUUUUAUCUUUCACUUUUCAUAUUACUACAUACAUCUUUCUCACUUCUUAUCAUUUUUACCUUUUCUUUUAUAUAUCACUCAUACCUUCUUCUCAUUCUACACCACUAUUGAUGGUUGAUUCAUUUGAAGAGUGUACAUGAUUUGAUGGCAAAUUUAUCAACUUUGUGAGGAUUUGAGCCUAUGAGCAACCACUUUGCUCUAAUAUUUUUGUUGUGUGAAUAUCAAUCUUAGUUUGUUUAUUCUAGAACUUGCUUUGUUAUGCAUGUUGCAGCCGCAUUACGGGAUUUUAUGCAUUAAAAUGAUAAGGGCAAACCCUUUUCCAUUUUUCUAUUCUCGCAUUUUUUUUUCUCUACCCGAAGACCUUUAUUUGCUAUCUUUGUUUGAGCCUUAACCAUUACCCAUCUAAUUUUCUCCGUCUACUUAACCAUUUUUCUUCUUUUUGAGCCUUAAUUUAAGGAGAUUUUUGGACUCAUUGUGUGGAUAUAUUUUGUUGCUUUUUCUACCUUGUAAUAAAGUUUCUCAAUUAGAUCAACAAGCAUUAUGCUUGAAUUAAAUUGUGCAAGGUUCGUUUCUUUUGUUUGAUUCAAAAACAAAAAAAAAAGAAAAAAAACAACAAAAAAAAGAGAAAAAAAAAAAGAAAAAAAUGUUUACAUUCUUGGUGACUUGAGUAGAAAUAAGCAUUUUGAUAUCAUAAGUUCAUUCAAUGAGUUCAUUCUUCUCAUUUUGAUCUCUUUUUCUUUCGUAAACCUUUCUUUUUCAUUCAACCUAUUUAACCCCAUUACAACCCUUUUAAGACCCUUAGAUUUUUGCAUUUUAUUCAUGUUUUGUGGAUUGAGAUGUGAUAUAUGAGCAAGCUUAUGGUAAUAGCAUUCUUUGAUUUGAUUUGAGUGAAUAAAUGACACCCUAAACACUUUGAGUGCAUGGAGUGAAGUUAUUGAGAGGGCUAUUAAAUCUUGUUGCACUUGAAUUUUGAAUGGAUCUUCUUGGUGGUUGAAUGUUCUUAUUCUAUCUUAUGAAAUUCUAUGCUUUAAAAUCCUUGUCUCUCGAAUGUUGAUCGACUUAAUUUCUUGAGGUAUGCUUGCUUAAAAUUGUUUUUGGAUAAGUUGAGAUGAGAAUUGAGUGGAGAUUUGAGAUUAAUCUUGAGUUAUAUGCUUGAGGACAAGCAUCAUCUUGGUGUGGGGGAAUUUGUUAGAGUGCAAUUUAUGCACUAGUUUUGCAUUGUUUACUUCCCUUAAUAUCAAUGUUUUGCACUUAAUAAUAGUGAUUUACUUGUGUUUUACUUUUGUAGGUGCAAUUCUAUUGAUUGAUGAUAAAAUUGAGCUAUAAGAUGAUGUUUAAGGAUGAUUGUUCUCUUGGAGAAAUUAUGAGCGUCAGAAGAACUUUGUUGAUAAGGCGUGGGCGCGUGCUGUCAACUGCGGACCUGCAAUUUUUAGUUUAACGUGUUUUGUAUUUUUGGUUAUUUUUGUAAUUACGAAUUUAAUAUUUCAGAUAUUAGUAUUUUAUUUUAAAUAGAAUUCUAGAGGAGAAGAGAGAGAGAGUAUUUAAGGGAGGAAUCUAUUGUGAAAAAGGGGAUUUUGGAUUAGAGAAAAAGAAACCCUAGAUCUAAUUUUUCUCUUCUCUCUAUGAGGAACUAAACCCAUUUUUCUGGUUGAAGGUUAAUGAAGCUUUGAUUCAUCACUACUGUGAGAUCUUUCUUGUGCUUUAAUUGUUUUAUUACUUUUUGGGUAUUUGUUUAUUCUCUAAAUUAUUUUCAUGAUUAUGUUUGUUAAUUAGGUAAUUGGCCACUAUUUAAUUAUCAACUUAAUCUAUUGUCAAUUAAAGGAUUCAUCGUAUGAAGAAUUUAAUGUUUGUGACAAAUAACAUAGCAGAGAGUUGUGUUGUGAGAAUAAACAAUCUAAUUUAAAUGAAUCAUCAUAUGUGUUGAUUAGGAUUUGGGUCUCUCUGGUUUUUCAGGCUGUCAAUUGAUUAAAUUCUAUGAUCGUAUCUAGGGUUGUCUAUUGAUUAGGGAAAUAACCAACGGUCGUACCUUGGUUAUCGACUAGUUAAGGAGAGAUUGGCUAUUAGAGGGUCUCAGUAGCUAUAAUCGGUCUAUUCAUGAGUAAUAAUAAUCUAUAUUUGAAUCAAUGAUCAGUAGUCGAAUCAAGCUAAGUUAAUUCCUUCAACCAGAGCUUUCUCCAAUUUGAAUUACAACUUUAAUUUGCAUUCUUGUUAUUUUUAAUUUGAUUUUUAUUAUUGUCAACAAUUCCCCCAUUUUACGUUUUACGUUUCAAAAGGAUUUAAAUAAUUACCGAUCUUUGUGGACACGACCCUGCUCAAUCACUAUACACAAUUUAUUUAGAGUAGGAAUUUAUUUUUGUUGGCUUCGACACCCAUCACUAUUGAAUGUUAUUCAUAAACAAAGAGCCAAAUAUGCUUUAAAGCUACUUAAAAAUAUGCCAUCAGGCAUUGACGCAGACACUCAACAACAAAAAAUGGACUUAUAGGCACUUAACAACACAAAAGUAAAAAGGAAAAUACUCUUACUCAAGUAUUAUAUUUGUUGCACGAAGAAGAAAGAAGAUAACAAUUUUAAAUUAACCAACAGGUUGAAUCUUAUCGUAAUACACACUAUCGGCUUUGAAUUAGCAUACCUUAGAAGUCCUGAACUCAUUCACGGCCAUUCGAAGAGAAUCAUCCGAUAGAAUCAACCAUGACAACGCUCCAGUGCUUAACCUGCCACAUUUAUUAAAGAUCACCAUAUGAGAGAAAUUUUAAAUUAAAAAAAUAUUGGAAACCUAAACGCCAAUCAAACACAUUACAUAUAGCAAUUUCUCUUUUUAAAGUUCAAUUAUCACUUGAUAGAGUAUUAAGUUUAAUGCAAUACCCCAAUAAUUUUGCAGCUUCUGAUACAGAUCCCUCGACUGCGAAAAUUAGAUCAAGCAGAGCUUGCAUUCCCUGUAGUCAACCAAAAAAAAAAAAAAAUUACUAUGACUUAAAUUUUAAUAGAAAACAAAAGACGAAGCAAGAGUGAAUAGAGUAAUACCAAAGCAAAUUUAGGAUUGUUAGGUCCAAUUUGUGGACCAACUUCUGAACUUCUAAUAGUAGACUUAGGAGGAAGGAUUUGAAGAAGCUGCGGCGGCGGCGAAUACGCAUCAAGAUUCACACUACUCCUCACUUUGAGGGCCAAAAGAGUGCGGAGGCGCGACAAAGCUAACGCGUGAUUCUUGUGCUGUGAUCGGUCUUCGGCGGCCUGCGCUAUGACGCCGGUCAGUACGUGCCUGAGACGUACGGCGGAUUCGUGCUUAUUGCGGUGCUGACCGCCUGGUCCCGACGAUUUGUACGCGUCCAUUUCGCAUUCGCGAAACAGCUCAUCGUCGGUCAAUUCUAAGUAAUUCUUCGAAGAAGAAGAAGAAGAAGAAGUUGAAGAACAAUUGUCAUUGGUGCUGUAAAUUGUAAUUGCAAGACAAGAACAAUGGCUGAUAAUUCCCGUGAUGCUUGUACGACAGAAAGUUUAUAUUUUUCCUUCCGAGUUGGGGAAUCCGAAGCAGGAAUUGAGCGGCCAGCGCCAUCAUCAAUUUCAAUUUCCCUCACUGUGAAUGUGAUAAUCCAAGCAAAGCUUCGUUCUAGUAACACAUUCUUAUAGCAGGCCUAGCCCAAUCUAGCCCAGUCGAGUAAGUGAGCAAUGUUAGUAUUUUAUUAUUUUUGAACUCGCGGUGGCUCUGUAUUAUUGGCAAAAUACUCAUGUAAGAGCAUCUUCAAAAGACUCUUCAAAUAAGAUUCUACUUCAUAUUUGAAGAGCCAUAUCAAUAUUAAACACUCCAAAAGACACGUUAAUUUAGAUUCUUCAAAUAAAAUUUGUUUCUCACUCUUUGAUAUUGCCGAGUGAGUUUCUCCCUCUUCUAUUAAUAUUUUAUUAUUAUUUAUUGAAAAGAUAAGACUGCAAUAAUUAUUAUUUAUGUUUCUUUUAAAAAAUAUAAUAACAAUUCAAUUUGAUAGUGGGAAAGAUUUGAUUAAAAUAAUAUUAAUUUAUUCUUAUUUGGUGAGACUUUUGGAGCGGAUUAUAUUUUUUUAUACACUUAUUUGCCACAUCAGUAAGCAAAUUGAAAAUUGAAAAGUAAAAUUUAAAGACCCUUCUGGAGAUGCUCUAAGGCAGAUAAUAUAUUUUAUAUUGGAAUAAUUUCAAAAUAAAUGGUGCUUUAAACAGGUGUCCGAUUGUAAAGAUAUGUCAUAUGUCUAAUAAAACAGUGUUAGAUAUAAUAAAAAUAUAUCCUUUUAUUUAAAGAUGUAUCUAUUCACGGUUUUAUGCUUCAAUUUGAAAUGGUGAUGGUUUAUUUUGGAUCAGUGAUGAUCUAAUUCAAAUUUUGAUUUAAUAAUCAUAAAUGAAAAACUACAUUUGCAAUGUGUCUCGAAGCACCAUCAAUUCUUACCUAUAUUUUAAUUAAAAUAAGAAUGAAACUAUUGGCACUCAUUCGUUAUUCUUAUAAAACCUUAUUUCAAAUAAAAUUACAGUUAAGGGCAAAGAAGAAAUAAACACAUGUAGGAUUUUUUUUUCCCAACAAAUUACUUACAUUAAUAAUCAAUCCCCUUUUUUUUAAAUUUCUUACCAUUAUUUCUUAUCUAACUAAGAUAAAUUGUAUAAAUCUAGCAUAAUCUAUUUUUCUUUUCCUAUUUCUUAUUGAUUAAAUAUUUUCGUACUCAAGAUUACUUUCAAACUACAAUCUAAAAUAUGUGUUAUUUAAGCUAAUGAUUAGCAUUCAAACUUUAUCACCUAGAAAACUUUUUAAUUUUUAUGUAGGAUAACAAUAAGAUUGCAAAAGAGAUGAAAAAAAGCACAAUACUACUUUGAGUUUUAACAAUAAAAAAAAGAUUAAAUGAAAAACUAAAAGAGCGUCUUUGAAAAUAAAAGGAAAUUUUUGGAAAUAAAAUAAAUAUAACUGAAAAAAAAGUUUGAUGAGGAGACUAGAUGGGUGCCAAUAGUCCAACUUUUAAAAUAAAGUUUUAUCAAUUAUUGAUCCCUUUUUCUGCAAUUAUUAUUCCCCACAAAUAUUUCUCCAACAUUUUAUUUCAUAUACUUACUUCUACUAUACUCUAACAAAAGGCGCCUUUUUGAACUACAUCAGUUUCUACUUUCUAGAUGCAUUUUAUUACUAAAUUAAAUAAAGGCACCAUCCAUUGUUCAAUUUCUCUAUUUUUUUUCUCUAAAUCACCACUUUCUGUCAGCUCUCUUAAAAUUUAUUAAGGAAUCUAUGUUGAAGACCAUUUCAUCCUUAGUAUUGUGUAAAUGUAUAAAAAUACAUUUUACACUUUGAAAUUUAAAAUGACCUCCUUUUAGCACAAAAUUUUAAAACAAAUGCCUCUAACUAAGCGACAAAUUUUAGAAUCAUGAUAAGUACCAUAUCUGCCAUAUAAAAAGUGAAUCAUACUAUGAUAUAUGUACAUUUAUUUUGAAAAAUCAUCACGUAAAUAAUGGUUAUAUUGAAUCUAAGUAAGUGCAUAUCAUACAUGAAACAACCCAGCCCCGCCUCUCUGCUGGAUUCGAGGUGAAUCAUGUGAUCUUAUAUCUAAAGCUUGUGAAAUAAAUUUAAUUCAUGAAUGCAUAACACUAGUCUCGGCCUUUGUUAUAAACAUAUAAUAACAUAUGUGACUCAUUCAAAAAUAUAUUCAAAACUUGAACAGUUUACAUCUUACUGUACAUACAUACACUUUGGAUAUAUAUAUACAAACAUAAACAUGCUCAAAAUAUAAGUCAUGCAAUAAUGCGUGUCGUGGCCCAACCUCAACUGAUUAGAAACUAAACUGCACAACACAAAAUCCUAUGAAAAUCUUAAAGAAAUGGGGGUAAAUAGGAAAAUAGUAUACUUGUGGGUAAAUGAAUGGAUAUAAUUAUAUAAAUAAAUUAGCGCUCUAGUGCUCGUACAUAAUUGUAUGACAUAACUUCGCACUAAACGCAUUACACAAGCAAACAUGAAAUCAUAUAUUUAUACAUGAUAAAACUGCACCAAAUAAUAUCUAGGAGAAAUAACUCUUAAUACUCAUUGGAAUCAUCAUUGCACAAGUAAAGUAGGGGAAACACCUCUCAAUACUCAGCGGAAUUAACUACAUCACAAGGGCCGAGUAAUCUAACUCUCAAUACACAUAUAGAGAGCCUAUGGGGAAGGGUACACAUAUGGUAUCUGGCAAUCACAUCUCAUUAUUCAAUCAAUCAUAUAAUAUGAGUACAUAUAAUCAUGACAUGAUACUAAAUCAUACUAACAAGCAUAAAUACUUUGUAGGAUACAUAUAAGUAAUAAUAGUAAUCCACUCACAAAACAUUUUUCACUCCGAGGUUUGUUGGAGCUCCUAUAGAUUCCUUAAUUCUUGGAUUUCUCCUAAAUAUAGGGUUAAAAAAUUAACUGUUAGAAUUGAUAUAAAAACUUUUACAUAUGACAUAAACUAAAUCAUAAUUGUUCAAAUUUCUUAAAUACGUUACCUAUUGACUUAAUGGAUAUAGAUAUAACUAUCCAACUCUCUUUCCUAUAAUAUUUCCUCUCAAUUCCUCUUUUCAAAAUUAUUUUUCACUCUCGGUUUUUCUUUUCUUUAUUUUUUCUUCUUCAUCUUUUAUUCUUCUGUUCUUUUCCUCUUCUUUCUUCAUCUUUUCUUCUUUUGUUCUUUUCCUCUUCUCUUUUCCUUUUGUUUUCUUCCCUUCUCACCUUCUCCUUUCUUUUUCUUUUCUCUUUGAAUUGCUUUGUUUUAGUUUGAUUCAUGAAAAUGGUGACAGCUUCUUCAAUUCUUUAUAUAUAUACAUUGCCUCCAAUCAUGCAUGCAUGACAGGCACAUAGCAUGCAUGUGCUUUGCUUUAAGCCGACAGCUUGCUAGUUAGCCACAUGUGCUCCCUUUUGGCUUGCAUGUGAUUGAUUGUAUUAUUUUUAAUAUAUUAUAUCAUUUCUUUUAAUGAAGGAUGUAGCCAACAAUUUUAUCCAGCUAAACAUGUUCUUUGACAUAUAAUACAGUUUAUGGUCAAACAACUCAUAAGUAGUUGAAAUUAAAUUAUUUUUUAAUCUCAAUUUUCCUUUUCUCUCAAUUUUAAAAUACUUUAAAAGAUUUUCAAACAUAAGAUACAAUGGUAUACAAUUGAAGCCUAAUCCAACAUUGAAAGAUUAAAUAAAAUUAAUUUUCAUUACUACUCAAGAGACUUGAAAGGACAUUAAGCCAGCGUUUAUUUUUUAUUUAAAAUCUGAAUAGGUCAGAAUUUAUUUUUAGGAUACAGUAUUUAUUUUUCAUUCAAACAUUUUUUUCAUUUCGGUAAAGGUAACAAAAAUUUACUUUUUUAAUUCAAAUGUAAAUAUCUAAAAAUCAGACAUAUGUUAAAAAAAAAUAGCUAAUUUUUUUUAAAAAAAAGUUAGACUUCAUAUGUUUAAAAUCCACGCUAAGGAACAUGAAUAAGAGCUAUUAAAACAAAACAAAAAAGAAUAAUUUUGAAACUAAAUACAAUUAAUCGAGAGAUGAGGACCAAUAAGAUAAAUUCAGAGAUAAAAAGUAACAUAUCACCCUACUUAUUGCUGGCAGUUAUGAGCAUUAAAGCACAGAAGCCGUGUGUUGAAAAGUAUGGUGUUCGUGUGGAAUUUUCAGCUAAAAGUCUACAAAGCAGUUGAAUUAAUCAAUCAUCGUGGAGUGCACGGUGCUUGGACAGUGAGAUGAAAUUGAAAAAUUAUCACGGAACUUGAAGGAAGGUUCAUGGCAUCGAUUUAUUCUACAGAGUCACGCACAUUUGGUUCAAUAAUUGUUUUCAUCCGAAUCAAAAUCUCUCUUUAAUCAAUUCAACUGUUUCUGUUGAUUAUGGCUUCUUCUUCUCGAAACAACAAGAAGUAUGAUGUUUUUGUUAGUUUCAGAGGAGAGGACACCCGAGACAACUUUACUAGCCAUCUCUAUUCUGCUCUGUGUCGACAAAAUAUCCAAACUUUCAUUGAUGACCAACUUAACAGAGGAGACGAAAUUUCGGAGUCACUUGCAAAUGCAAUUGAAGCAUCAGCCAUUUCAGUUAUCGUCUUCUCAGAAGGGUAUGCAUCUUCCAGAUGGUGUCUCGAUGAACUUGUAAAGAUCCUCGAGUGCAAGAAAGAUUAUGUACAGAUUGUGAUCCCGGUUUUCUAUCUGGUUGAUCCAUCAGACGUGAGAAACCAAAGUGGGAGUUUUGGGGAUUCAUUUUCGAAGCUCGAAGAAAGAUUAAAGGUGAAUACUGAGAAGUUCCAGACUUGGAGGAAUGCUUUGAAGGAAGCAGCCAGUUUGUCUGGCUUUCAUUCUCUUAACAUCAGGUGAAAAGCUACUUUUAAUUUCGUGUACUAAUAUUCAACACUGUAAAGAUAUAUGAAUAGGAGCUGGGCCUAAAACAUUAAGCUACUUGCUAGUCAAAUUAAGCUACUUGCUAAUCAAAUUAAUUUCUUUCAAAAUAAAACUAUAAAGAAUUGGGUAUUUUUCUUUUUUCUUUUUUAAAUUUUCCAGAUGCUAAACUACACUUUUAAAAAUUUUUAAGCAUCAAAUUCUAGACUUCCUGACUUCCCAACUUUUGUGCUCCCAUAAUUACAAAAUAAUUUUGAAAGAAUUAAUAAUAAAAGCUCGAGAAUUUUACAAUAUAUAUCUAACAAAAUUAGUGGCGGUCUGUCGUUUUUAAGCAAUUGCAACCUCUCACUCAUAUGCCGCCAUUAUAAAAAAAAAGGGAAAUUAUCAUUGCACCACCUCUCUUUUACCUAAUGUUCAUCCAACCACCACAAAAUUCUCACAUGUUCUUUGCACCACAUUUUUUUUUUUAAAAAUUUGUAUCAAUUAGCCACUUUUGCACUAACAUCGUAAAAUAAUUUAAAUGAAAUGAUAAUUUUACUCUUAAAUAAAUUAAAAGACCAUUUUUAUUUUAGAAAAACAUUGAAAAUAAAAAAUUAUAAUUAUAAAAUACUCCUAAAUUUAAAUAAAAAUAAAUCCCAAAAUUAAAAUUUUAUUUUUUAAUAAAUAUUAUUUUAAUAAAAAGUUAUAAUUAUAAAAAUAAUUAUAAAUUUUGGGAUUUAAUAAAAAUCCCCUAAAUUAUUAAAAUUUUGGGAUUUUUUUAAUAAAUAAAUUCAUUUAUUUUAAUAAAAGUUUACAAAAUUAUAAUUUUUUAAUAAUAAAUUCAGUUAUUUUUAUUAAAAUAUUGCAAAAUUAUAAUUUAAUAAAAAUAAUUAUUAAAAUUUUGUAAAAUCUAAAUUUAAUAAAAAUUGGCUGCGCACCUCUAUUUGGGAUUUAUGUUUAAUUAUAAUUUUUUAUUUUUCAAAAUUUUUAUAAAAUAAAAUGAUCUUUUAGUUUAUUUAGGGGUAAAUUUGUCAGUUUGUUUAAAUUAUUUAACGGUGUUAGUGUAAAAGUGGCUAAUUGAUACAAAUUUAAAAAGAAAGGUGGUGAAAAGAAUAUAUUAAAAUUUUGUGGCUAUUGGAUGAGCAUAAGACAAAAGAGAGGUAGUGCAGUGAUAAUUUCCCAAAAAAAAAAAACUCACACAUAUUCUUGUAAUUUAAGAGUUAUUAAUUUACUGGGAGAUUGUGGACUAGUGGUGGUAUAUAUUAAUUUCAAUAAGAAAACUGACAAUCUCCCUUAUUUCAUACUUAAUGCAAAUUCCUCGUAUUAAUUUGAAGUUACUUUGGCUAAUUUUAUGUAUUUGCUAGGUGUGAGUCGGAACUUACAAAUGAAGUUGUUAAUCACAUUUUGAAGAGACUACUGGAUGAAGUGUUUCAGCCCCGUGAUAACAAAAACCAGCUGGUUGGAGUGGAAUCAACAGUUGAGGAAAUUGAAUCCCUAUUAGGUGUUGAGUGGAAAGAUGUUUAUGCUUUAGGGAUUUGGGGCAUUGGUGGUAUAGGCAAAACAGCAAUUGCUAGAGCUAUUUUCGACAAAAUCUCGGGUGAUUUUGAAGGUUCUUGCUUCCUCGAAAAUGUUAGAGAUGAGUCACAAAGACCAGGAGGAUUAGCUUGCUUACGACAAAAACUUCUUUCAAAUUUAUUGAAGGAUAAAAAUGUGAUGCCUUAUAUUGACCUCAAUUUUAGAAGGCUCAGCCGCAUGAAGGUUUUGAUUGUUUUUGAUGAUGUGACUUGCUUCAGCCAAUUAGAAUCUUUAAUUGGAAGUCUUGAUUGGUUGACGCCUGUGAGUCGAAUCAUAAUAACCACCAGAAAUAAACAAGUGCUUAGAAAUUGGGGGGUGAGGAAAAUCUAUGAGAUGAAGGCAUUAGAAUAUCAUCACGCUAUUGAGCUUUUUAGUCGACAUGCCUUCAAACAAAACCAUCCUGACGUUGGUUAUGAGGAACUUUCAAGCAAAGUAAUGAAAUAUGCUCAAGGUGUUCCUUUAGCUCUUAAAGUUUUGGGUUGCUUUCUGCAUAAAAGGGAAAAAGAAGUCUGGGAAAGUGCAAUAGAUAAAUUGCAAAGAAUCCUCCAUCCAAGUAUUCUUGAGGUAUUAAAAAUAAGUUAUGAUAGUUUGGACGAUAAGGAGAAAAAUAUUUUCCUUGAUGUUGCUUGUUUCUUUCAAGGUGAGGAUGUAGAUCUAGUAAUGAAAUUUUUUAAUGCAAGUGGCUUCAACCCAGAAAUAGGAAUGAGUGUUCUUGUUGAUAAGUCUCUCAUUGCUAUUGAUUCAUACAACAAGAUAACAAUGCAUGAUUUACUACAAGAAUUGGGUCGGGAAAUUGUUCGACAAGAAUCAACUAAUCCUGAAAACCGCAGUAGGCUCUGGCAUCAUCAAGAUAUCUAUGAAGUUCUUACGUAUAAUACGGUAAGCAGUUUGUUGUGUAUUAUUAUUUUGGAAUAAUGUAGUGUUUAAAAACUUGAUGUGAAUAUAUUUACAUACGCUCGCACUCGUGAGUCUUAGAAUUAAUGGAGGAGUGGCAAUGAUUAGAAAAAACAAUAGUGGUUAGAUGACGUGGUUAGAUGACGUAGCAAUAAAUUAUACAUGCAAUGACAAUUUGCAUAACCGUUUGCAAGCAUAGUUGAUAUGUAAAUUUGUCUAUUACACAUGCAGAAUUUUUAUGUUAAUUAUUACUUGUGUUAUUAGGUUUCUUUGUGCAUUUGCAAGUAAGAGUUUAACUGCGUAGCAAUAACUAUAAACAUGAAUUAUUGAAAUUUGAUUCCAGUAAUGACAGAGAGCCCCACUCCAAUCCCACAUAAACUCCAUGCAAGAAUAAAUAAAAUUUGAAUUAAUAACUAAGCUACCUCUAAUUGUAAAUUAGUGACAAAAUUGCCCCAAAAAUUUUUUCUUGGUGGGGUUGAAGUGCAAUUCAUUAGUGGAAUAUAUAUAUCAUCUUUCAUUUGAUUUUAACUUUAUUUUUUUUAUUUAUUUUUAGGGGACAGAAAAAAUUGAGGGCAUCUGUUUGGAUAUAUCAAAAGUAAAAGAGAUCCGUCUAAAUCCUAAUACUUUCACAAAGAUGCCUAAAUUGAGAUUUUUAAAGUUCUAUAGUUCAUCAGUCAAUGGAGAGAACAAAUGUAAGAUAUCUUAUUUGCAAGAUCCCAGAUUUGCUGAAGUGAAAUAUCUUCACUGGUAUGGAUAUCCGUUGAAGUCAUUGCCUUCAAACCUUAGUGCAGAGAAACUUGUGUUACUUGAAGUGCCUGAUAGUGACAUUGAACGACUUUGGGAUUGUGUGAAGGUAUGCAUACCCUAUUAUACAUGUGCAAUCUUUCAAAUUACAACAUUAAAUUAUUAUACGUGGUAACGAUUUUGUCUUGGCCUCUUUUUUGACCGAGCAGCAUUAUAGUAAGCUAAACCAGAUAAUCCAUGCUGCCUGCAAUAAGCUAAUUGCCAAAACUCCAAAUCCCACGUUGAUGCCAAGUCUGAACAAGCUAGUUAUCUUGAAUCUAAGAGGUAGCAAAAGCCUGAAAAGUCUUCCAGCUAGAAUAUUUAAUUUGGAAUUUCUUAUCAAACUUGAUCUUUCGGGCUGAUCAAAACUGAAGAGGCUUCCGGAGAUCUUAUCAGGUAAUAUAAGCUGGUUACUUUUAAGGGGGACUGCAAUUAAAGAACUGCCCUCAUCAAUUGAGCUUCUACAUAGGCUCGGGUACUUGGACCUUUCAGAUUGUAAAAGGCUUAAGUGUCUCCCAAGCAGCCUAUGUAAGUUGAAAUCUCUUGGAGUUCUUGAUCUCCAUGGUUGCUCAAAUCUUCAGAGAUUGCCCGAAUGUCUUGGCCAGUUAUCCUCGCCAAUAUUAUUGAAUCUAGCGAAAACCAAUAUUGAGAGAAUACCAGAAAGCAUUAUCCAACUUUUUGUGUUGCGAUACCUCCUCUUAAAUUAUAGUGAGAGGCUUCAAUCCUUACCAAAGCCUCCAUUCCUUGCACGAGGGUUAGAUGCCGAUCAUUGCCCACUGCAAUCAUUAUUAGGUUUAUUCUCUAAGUUCUGAAUCUUAUAGCAGUGUCUUUUGAGCAGAGCAAUAAUUUUAAAUUGAAAGGUAAUUAUACUGCAGGAAUUGUUGAAGAUGCCCUGAGAAUUCAGCAUAUGGGCUAUGUGCUAGCUGUCCGUUGGAAAGAAAUACGGGAAAAGGUGUCUUUAACUCUGUUUCCUUUCAAUUUAUACAAUUUUUUUUUUGGGGUUUAAAAUUAUGAUUUUUUGGUAUAGGGAGAUUUUUCCACGGACAAGGUUCAUAUCGUACUACCUGGGAAUGAAAUUCCAAAUUGGUUUAAGUUCCAAAGUGUGGGAUCUUUUAUAACCUGGGAGAUGCCACCAGAUUUCUUCAAUAAUAGCGGAGUGCAGGGCAUUGCAUUUAGUGCUAUUUUAGCAUUUUCAGACCGUCAUGUAGAUUGUGGCAGAUGGUUUUCAUUUUCUUUUGAGCUCAAAGUGAAAACCACUAAAGAUUGUGGUCCGCAUGACACACGAUUAUUUCAGAGCAGAGUUAAUUAUGUAGAAUCAGAUCACUUACAUUUGGGGUACUAUCUGUUCUGUGAAGAGGAUUUUAAAGGUUUUUGGAAAUGCAAUUGCAUUCCUGAGGCUGUCCAAUUUAAUGUUUUUCCACCUUUGGAGUGCCAGUGCUGCGGGGUGAAAAAAUGUGGGAUCCAUUUACUUCACACCCCAGAUUCUAUGAAUUCAAUGUAAGAUCCAAGCAGAUGUUUCAACUGUAACGUAGAAGACUGAUAUUUUCAUGAAUCUAUUUUUAUUGUUUUCCUUUUUCUAAUGAUUAUUAAUAAUAGGAGAAAAUGCUAAAAUCAGUUCUUGGAACAAAACAUUCAUGUAAUAACUUUGGAGGGAUCAGGUGCAUGCAAUUACCUUCAAGGGAUUUGGUGCAAGCAACACAAAUUCACACUAGAGCAUAGAACAUUGCCUAUAAAUAAAAGUAAAAAGACAACCUAAAUGAAGGAGCACAUGAUUAUCUAUAAAUAAAAGUCGCAACAUUUUCUAUAAAUAGAAGUUACGCCAUUUCGUGAUCCAUAUAUCUUCUUGCACCACUCUUUUUUUUCUUUUUUAUUUUAACCCCUCUUUCCUAAAACGAAUUUCUGCAUAAUACAUCUAUAUUUUAUGCAUCAAAUCCUUAAUAUAUUAUUUUUUGCAGGAACAAUAUAUUAAUUUUCGUAAGCUUACAACAUACAAGGACAUUUAGGUUUGCUUUUGUUAGUGCAUAAUACAGGCAAAUAUACACAAGCACUUCAUUAUAUCAUGGAGGCAUAUUUGCUUAACUUAUGUAUAUCACUCAAUUGGAAGAGGGAGUAAAUAACGUCUUGAGGAAAACAAUAUUGUGUCUCGCAGCACUGUUAAUUCAUACAGUUUACUAUUAUGAUUAUUAUUCUUUGUACCUAUAAAGUUUCAUCAAUUAUAUUUUCCACAAUUAUUAUUCCUCACGAAUAUAUUUCCAAUAUUUUAUUUCGCAUAUUUACUUCUGCUACUAGUGUGAUAACAAAAGAUGCCUUUUUGAACUACAUCAGUUUCUAGAUCUAUUUUAUUGAGAAACUAACCGAACGCACCAUCCAUUAUUUAAUUUAUGGGUCAAAUAAGUCAAAAGUAGUUGAAAUAAAAUGUUUGUUUGGUAGAUAAUAUCGAUUUUUAAAAUAGUUUAAAAGAUUCUCAAACAUAAGAUACAAUAAUAUACAAUUGAAGCCUAGUCCAACAUAGAAAAUCAAAUAAAAUUAAUUUUCAUCACUACUCGAGAGACUCAAAGAGUACUAAGGUAGCUUUUUUUAUUAUUUAAAAUUUGAAUAGGCUUGAAUUUGGGUGAAGUCUUAACAUAAAUGUCUAAAUAAUAUGUUUAUUUUUUUUAAUAUCUGAAAAUUAAGUGACAUCUUAUUUUUUUAUAAUUUUUUUUAAACAAACAUGGUUAUUUGACAUUUUUGUCCUUAUAAGUCAAAAUGAAUAAAUGGAUUAAACUUUAUAGUUUAAGAAAUAACUAUAUUUAAUAGAAAUAUCUUUAAGAUAUAGUAUUUACUUUCCAUUCAAUAUAUGUUUUCAUUUUGAUAAAAGUCACAAAAUUCACUUUUUGUAUUCAAAUGUAAAAAUCUAAAACUUAGACAUAAGUUCCCCAAAAAACAAAUAAAUAAAUAAACAAGCAACAUUAAGGGAAAAAAAAGGUUAGGUAGCUUUUGUUUUAAACAAAAAUGAUAAAUAAGAUAAUUUUCAAAAUUAAAUACAAUUAACUGAGAGACGAGGACUGAUACGAUAAAUUGAGCGAUAAAAAUUAAAAUAUCUCCCUGGUCGUUGCUGAUAGUUAUGACUUGUGAGUGUGAAAGCACAGAAGCCGUGUGUUGAAAGUAUGGUGUUCAUGUGGAAAUUUCAGCAAAAAGUCCACAAAGUAAAUUCAGUCAUCGUACAGUCCACGGUGCUUGGACAAUGAGAUGUUGAAAAAAUUAUCACCGAACUUCAAGGGAGGUUCAUAGCAUCGGUUUAUUCUACAGAGUCACGCACAUUGGAUUCAAUAAUUGUUUUCCUCCCAUCAAAAUCGAUUUAUGUUGAAAAGCCGUAUGUUGAAAAGUCUGGUGUUCAUGUGGAAUUUUCAGCUAGAAGUCUACAAAGUGGUGGAAUUAAUCAAUCAUCGUGGAGUGCACGGUGGUUGGACAAUGAGAUGAAAUUGAAAAAUUAUCACGGAACUUGAAGGAAGGUUCAUGGCAUCGAUUUAUUCUACAGAGUCACGCACAUUUGGUUCAAUAAUUGUUUUCAUCCGAAUCAAAAUCUCUCUCUAAUCAAUUCAACUGUUUCUGUUUAUUAUGGCUUCUUCUUAUCGAAACAACAAGAAAUAUGAUGUUUUUGUUAGUUUCAGAGGAGAGGACACCCGUGACAACUUUACUAGCCAUCUCUAUUCAGCUCUGUCGCGACAAAAUAUCCAAACUUUCAUUGAUGACCAGCUCAACAGAGGAGAUGAAAUUUCAGAGUCUCUUGUGAGUGCAAUUGAAGCAUCACCCAUUUCAGUUAUCAUUUUCUCUGAAUCGUACGCUUCUUCCAGAUGGUGUCUCGAUGAGCUUGUCAAGAUCCUCGAGUGCAAGAAAGAGUGUGAACAGAUUGUGAUUCCGGUUUUCUAUCGGGUUGAUCCAUCAGACGCGAGAAACCAAACAGGGCCUUUUGGGAUUUCAUUUUCGAAGCUUGAAGAAAGAUUUAAGGAGAAUCCAGAGAAGCUGCGGAGUUGGAGGAAAGCUUUGAAGGAAGCAGCCAGUUUGUCCGGCUUUAAUUCUCUUAACAUCAGGUGAAACGUUACCUUUAAUUUCUCAUACUAAUAUUCAACAUUGUAAAUAAAAUUCACGCAGCACUCUUAGUUAAAUUUUCCAGAUGAUAAACUACACUUUUAAAUUUUUUCAUGCAUCAAAUUCUAGACUUCUUGAACUUCCCCACUUUUGAACUCCUAUAAAAGAAUUUUUGCAGAAUUAAUAAUAAAAGCUCCAGAGGUUUACAAUAUAUUUUAACAAAAUUAAUGGUGUUCUGUCGUUUUUUAAUCAAUUUCAAUCUCUUACUCAUAUACCAUUAGGGAAAAAAAAAAUCUCUUCCACAUAUAACAUAUUCCUGUAAUUAAAGAGUUAUUAAUUUAUAGGGAAAUUGGAAAUUUCCUUACUCAAAUCAAUAUAUACCACUUAUUUUGACUAUUUUUACAAUAUUUAAUAACUCUCCUGGAGUCCUGGUACCAUCACUUUGCAAUAUUAUCCUUAUGAAAAAAAAUAAGUGGUAUAUAUUAAUUUCAAUAGGAAAACUAGCAAUCUCCUUUAUUUCAAAUUUUAUGCAAAUCCCUUCUAUUUGAAGUUACUGCUGCUAAUUUUAUGUAUUUGGUAGGCCUGAAUCGGAACUUAUAAAUGAAGUUGUUCGCCACAUUUUGAAGAGACUGCUGGAUCAAGUUUUUUGGCGGAAUGAUAACAAAAACCAUCUGGUUGGAGUAGAAUCAAGAGUUGAGGAAAUUGAGUCUCUACUAGGUGCUCAGUCGAAAGAUGUUUACGCUUUAGGGAUUUGGGGCAUUGGUGGUAUAGGCAAAACAACAAUCGCUAGAGCUAUUUUUUACAAAAUCUCUAGCGGUUUUAAAGGUUCUUGCUUCCUUGAAAAUGUUAGAGAAGAGUCACAAAAACCGGGAGGAUUAGCUUGCUUGCGACAAAAACUUCUUUCAAAUUUAUUGAAAGAUAAAAAUGUGAGUCUUGAUAUUGGUCUUAAUUUUAGAAGGCUCAGCCGCAUGAAGGUUCUGAUUGUUUUUGAUGAUGUGACUUGCUUCAGCCAAUUAGAAUCUAUAAUUGGAAGUCUUGAUUGUUUGACGCCUGUGAGUCGAAUCAUAAUAACCACCAGAAAUAAACAAGUGCUUAGAAAUUGGGGGGUGAGAAAAAUAUAUGAGAUGGAGGCAUUAGAAUAUCAUCACGCUCUUGAGCUUUUCAGUCGACAUGCCUUCAAACAAAACCAUCCUGACGUUGGUUACGAGGAAUUUUCAAGCAAGGUAAUGAAAUAUGCUCAAGGUGUUCCUUUAGCUAUUAAAGUUUUGGGUUGCUUUCUAUAUGAAAGAGAAAAGGAAGUCUGGGAAAGUGCAAUAAAGAAAUUGCAAAGAAUCCUCCAUCCAAGUAUCCUAGAGGUAUUAAAAAUAAGUUACGAUAGUUUGGAUGAUAAGGAGAAAAAUAUUUUCCUUGAUGUUGCUUGUUUCUUUCAAGGCGAGGAUGUAAAUCUAGUAAUGAAAUUCCAUAAUGCAAGCGGUUUCUACCCAGAAAUAGGAAUAAGUGUUCUUGUUGAUAAAUCUCUCAUUGCUAUUGGUUCGUACAACAAGAUAAGAAUGCAUGAUUUACUACAAGAGUUGGGUAGGGAAAUUGUUCGGCAAGAAUCAAUUAAUCCUGGAAACCGCAGUAGGUUGUGGCAUCAUGAGGAUAUCUAUGAAGUUCUUACAUAUAACACGGUAAGCAGUUUGUUGUGUAUAAUUAUUUUGAAAUAUUCUAGCAUUUACAAACUUGAUAUGAAUAUAUUUAUAUCUGCUCGAACUGAUGAGUCUUAGAAUUAAUAGAAGAGCAACAAUGAUUGGAAAAAACCAGAGCGGUUAGAUGACAUAGCAAUAAAUUAUAAAUGCCAUGAUAACUUGCAUAAUCGUUUGCAAGCAUAAUUGAUAUGCCAAUUUGUAUAGUACACAGACGGAAUUUUUAUAUUAAGUAUUACUUGUUUUAUUAUGUUUCUUUGUGCAUUUGCAAUUAAAAGUUUAACUGCCUAGCAAUAACUACAAGCUACCUCUAAUUGUGAAUUAGUGAGAAAAUUGCCCCAAAAAUUAUCCCUAUGUAUUGUUGAAGGGCGAUUCAUUGGUGGAAUACACAUAUCUUUCAUUUGAUUUUAACUUUAUUGCUUUUUCAUUUAUUUUUAGGGGACAGAAAAAAUUGAAGGCAUAUGUUUGGAUAUGUCAAAAGUAAAAGAGCUCCGUCUAAAUCCCAAUACUUUCACAAAGAUGCCUAAAUUGAGAUUUUUAAAGUUCUAUAGUUCAUUAUUCAAUGGAGAGAACAAAUGUAAGAUGUCUUAUUUGCAAGACCCUGGAUUUGCUGAAGUGAAAUAUCUUCACUGGCAUGGAUAUCCAUUGAAGUCAUUUCCCUCAAACCUCAGUGCAGAGAAGCUUAUGUUACUUGAAGUGCCUGAUAAUGACAUUGAACAACUUUGGGAUUGUGUGAAGGUAUGCAUAUCUUAUUAUAUAUGUGCAAUCUCUCAAUAACAACAUUAAAUUAUUAUACGUGGUAACGAUUUUGUCUUGGCCUCUUUUUUGACCGAGCAGCAUUAUAGUAAGUUAAACCGGAUAAUCCAUGCUGCCUGCCAUAAGCUAAUUGCCAAAAUUCCAAAUCCCACGUUGAUGCCCUGUCUGAACAAGCUGGUUAUCUUGAAUCUAAGAGGUAGCAAAAGCCUGAAAAGUCUUCCAUCUGGAAUAAUUAACUUGGAAUUUCUUACCAAACUUGAUCUUUCGGGCUGCCCAAAACUGAAAAGGCUUCCAGAGAUCUCAUCAGGUAAUAUAAGCUGGUUAUUUUUAAGGGGGACUGCAAUUGAAGAACUGCCCUCAUCAAUUGAGCGUCUACUUAGGCUCGGAUACUUAGACCUUUCAAAUUGUAAAAGGCUUAAGAGUCUCCCAAGCAGCCUCUAUAGAUUGAAAUCUCUUGGAGUUCUUAAUCUCUGUGGUUGCUCAAAUCUUCAGAGAUUGCCCGAAUGUCUUGGCCAAUUAUCCUCGCCAAUAACAUUUAAUCUAGCGAAAACCAAUAUUGAGAGAAUACCAGAAAGCAUUAUCCAACUUUUCGUGUCGGGAUACCUCCUCUUAAGUUAUGGUGAGAGGUUCCAAUUCGUACAAAAGUCUCCAUUCCUUGAACGAGGUUGCUUGGCACUGCAACCAUUUUUAGGUUUGUUCUCUAAGUUAUGAAUCUUACAGGCAAUUUUUUUUUACCGGAGCAAUAACGGAGUAAUAAUUUUAAAUUGUAAGGUGAUUCUACUGCAGGAAUUGUUGAAGAUACCCUAAGCCAUAUGCUAGCUGUACGUUUGCAAGAAAUAUGGGUAAAUGUGUGUCUUUAACUCUCUCUACUUACAAUUUCUACAAUAUUUUUUUUUGGGGGUUUAAAAUUAUGUUUUUUUGGUACAGAGAGGUUUUUCCCUGGGCAAAGGUCAUAUAGUACUACCUGGGAAUGAAAUUCCAAAGUGGUUUGAGUUUCAAAGUGUGGGAUCUUUUAUAAACUUGGAGAUGCCACCAGAUUUCUUCAAUAAUAGCAGAGUGCAGGUCAUUGCAUUUAGUGCUAUUUUAGCAUUUUCUGACCGUCAUGUAGAUUGUGGCAGAUGGUUUUCAUUUUCUUUUGAGCUCAAAGUGAAAACCACCAAAGAUUGUGGUACGCAUGACACACGAUUAUCUCAGAGCAGAGUUAAUUAUGUAGAAUCAUAUCACUUACAUUUGGGGCACUAUCUGUUCUGUGAAGAGGAUUUUAAUGGUUUUUGGAAAUGCAAUUGCAUUCUUGAGGCAGUCCACUUUAAUGUUUUUCCACCUUUGGAGUGCCAGUGCUGCGGGGUGAAAAAAUGUGGGAUCCAUUUACUUCACACCCCAGAUCCUACGUCAAUGGAAGACCCAAGCACAUGUUUCAACUGUAACGAAGAAGACUGAGAUAGGUGUCAUUUUCACUCAACUCACCUGAGUUGUGAAUCCAUUUGCUUAAACAUGUAUGCACUUUUUCAAGUAUCUCUACCAAUUCCAUAUUUGGAAUGAUGCAUUUGGUUCCAUAGUUGAUGUGGUAUCGUCUAUGGUUAGAAUUUAUAUUUAAAAAAAUGACUUGUAAGGAAAGGAUUGAAGAUGCCUGUGAACUUAUAUUUCGAUUUAGAUUAUUGUAUCUUUUUCAUGUAUAAAAUUGGAUCCUAUCAUUCACAUAUCAUUGACAUGAGCAAUAUGGAUUACUAAAUCAUUAUUCUUUAUUAUUGUGCUGAAUUUGAUUUUUUAUUGAAUAAUUUGAUAUAUUUCUUGAAUCAAUUUGGAGCUUCUACAACAUGUCAGAGAUCAGUUUCUCCAACAUUCCUUUCGGCGCCAAAAGAUAACCAAGCGGUUGAAUAAGAAUUGAUAUAUACAACAUAAAUACAAGAGUUGUUUUGUCUUUUUACAAUAGGAAUAAUAUAUAAUGCUCGUUAAAACUUGCUGAUGAGAAAGUAAAUUCCUCAGAAAUUAAAUGUUUCAGCCAACCAAGGAAGCAGCUUUUCGUGGACCAAUUCAGGCCUGUCGUCAUGGGGGCAAUGUCCUACUCCUUUCAAUACAAUUAACUUCCCGUUUGAGAGUUUAGAAAGCAGAGAUGAGAAGUAUUUACCAACAGGUCCAUCGAGGGGUGUGAAUGGAUCCUCAUCACCCCAUAAAACUAGUAGAGGUAUAGAGAUUGAUGGCAUCAAUUGAACUGGGUUCGGCCCUGGUGGGCCGGUUACAAUCGAAACAAAUGCAUCAAGUGCCCCUUCCUCAUUGGCAGGCUCUCGUAUGAUCUGCAGUUUUGAGGUUGAUUCAUGAAUUCUGAGUAGCCAUUUUUGUAACAGGUUAAAAUGGCAUAUAAGAGGAGAAUAUUAAUACCUCAACCAGUGUUUCAUCCACAGAUUCCUUAUUUGCAUAAAUGGACAGUAAAAUAUUCCUCAGUGUUUCCCUACAGCACCAAUUUAUGCACAUCAUAGAGUUUUUUAAUUUUGACUCUAGUGUCUUGGGAUAAUGAACAAUGGACUGAAUAGAGAGAAGAGAAAAUACCUUGUUUCACACGCUCAAAUAUAGCAGAAGCAAUUGGCCUUUGCUUCAACAAAAAAUCAAUGAACCAAAGCAAUGGGAACAAUAGCUUGAUUCUCCAAUCAUCAACAAUUGCCUUGUUGUUCAUGCCACCAGCACAAUUCAACAGAACAAGCCCUCGAACAAGGGUUUGACUGGAUUCUUAUGGUAGAAAAUAUAGCAGGUUUAUCGUAAACCAUAGAUACCAAAAAGGAUAAUUACGUGCAAGUGUUUCUUUGCAAGCAAGUUGAAGAAUAUCUGAUGUCCAAGGGGAAGUUAAAAUAAAUAUACCUGAGGCAGCAAUAACACAAGCUAGGCUUCCAACCGAGUUACCUAUAAGCACAGUUGGCUUCUUAACAACUUCAUCCAAGAAAUCCAAUAUUAGCUGUAUCAGUGAAUCUCACUCAAGUUAGCAAGGAAAAUAACUAAAGGUCAAGCGAUUGAUGACAAAAGAUCCAACUUCUGGCUAGGGAACAUUGCAUACCUGAGCCCAUCCCUCCAUGGUAUAUGAAUAACCAGCUGGCUUAUCUGAAGCACCAAAUCCAAGAAGGUCAAUUGCAUAAACCGUGUAGCUCUUUGCCAGGGUGCCAAUAUUCCUGAAAUUACUUCAGAGAUGACAAGAAAAAUAUCAAUUCCUCACAUUAUUUAAUAGGAUAAAGGAAUGGUGCACAAGCAAAUUUUCAUUCCCCUUUUCAACGGAGCAGUAAAAUGAAUACUUUUUCACUAGAUUAAGAAUCGGAAAAUGGAAGAAGCCUAUAUCCAUAAAAGGGUAAUAUGAAAUGGAACCCUGAAACUCAGAUCACCGGUUUGUCAUCAUCUAGGUGCAAGGAAUAGAACUAGGUGUUAAUGCCAAUGCACCAGGAAAUAACGAAUAGAUUUACCUUCAUUAUUCUUUUGCUUCAUUCAUCUUAAUUAAUUAUUAGAAGUAUAACACAUAUAAAUGCAUCCCUGAACUUCAUAAUACAUAACAGAGUCAGAGAUAUUACAUACAUAAGGGAAAGACAUGCUCCAUACUAAAAAAAAAUAUAGUCGAAAAUGCCCAGAACGUAAUUUGAAUUGAACUCACAAUAAAGGAGCUACGUUUUUAUGCACCCAAUAAUUAACCCGCUACACAAUUCACAACAAGAAAGAGCAAUCUUAUCUCGCUAACCUGCGCCAGUGAGGAAUGGAGGCACCAAAGCCAUGGACAAGGAGUAGAGGAGGAGAAUUGGGAUGUGAAUUUGGAGUUGAAGAAACCAAGUAAUUGAUGGAGUACUGACCCUUCCAUUUCCACAUUUUGCAACUCUCCCUUAUCUCAUUAACCUCCAAUUCCAGUGCCGCAGAAGCAGAAUCCCCUCCACUGCUACUGUUAGUAUAACUGAUGGUAACAUUUUGUCUCUUCUUCUUCUCCUUAUUCCUCUGCUGGAACUGCAACUGAAACUGCCAACUCUUAUUGCUCAAUAGGGGCAAGCGCAGGCCUUUUACAUCUCCAUUUCCAUUUCCAAUCCUGAGUGUUGUUAUUGGAAUAAUGAAAGAGGGAGCCCGAGCCCUUACCAUCCACACGCUCAUUCUUUUCUUGCUUUUUCAAAUGAAUAUUUUCUGUGGCCUGGCUUGGCCUGCUCCUUCCCUGCUUCCACCUCUAUGAGACUACUAAAACUUUUUAUAUAAUUAUUUAUUGGGCUUAUUCCACUAUUAUAUGAAAAUUUUACUGAUAUUCCUCAAAAAUCAAAAUGAUAAUACUUCGUCUGAAACGAAUAUCAGGUGCUUUACUAAAAUACUCCGGGUGAUUGGUAUUUCCGUCCAAUAAUUUUUGCAAACUCAUUCCAUUUUUUAAAAAUAAUUAUAGAACAUACAUGCUAUGCUUAAAAAUUUUCAAACAAAGAAGAACUUUGUAGAAGGUAAAACUAUUAAGAAUUUACUUUAACUUUAAUAUUUUUCUAAUUUUGUACCAAACUCAUUGUUUCUAAUACUAUUUUAUUAGUAUGAGUUUUAAUCUUUAAUUAAGCUAAAAUAGUAUCUUUAGGGCAUGAUACUCGUGUAAAUUAUUGGGAUGUCAAUUUUUAUGUAAUUUACACAUAAAAGUAAAGAAAAAACAAUUAAAUUUUAUUUAAAAAUAUUAGAUUAUAAGCUAGAUACAUAAAUUAUUAGAUACAAUAACUCAUGUUUAUUAUGGUAAUUUAGUCGCUAUAUAUCAUAAUAAUAAAAUACUAAAAUAAAACUUGUAUUAAAGUUUUAUGAUUAAAGAUGGUCAAAAAACCCAAGAAAAAAAUUAAUAGAAGGAUUUAACUGAUUAACUAUACAAAAUUUUUAUUAAUUUGUAUUUUUUUUUUAAAUAUUGUGAAUUCAUUGCAAUUAGUUUCUAGAAGUAAGGUGGGUUUACAAAAAUAGUGGGGUGCAAAUACCCUUACCCAAAUACUCCAUAAAAAGUGAAAACUAUAUUACCUUUUUUGAUGUACUUCUCUUGAAUUUUUUAUUUCUAAGGAUAAAGUUUAAUUCAUUCCCAAAUAAAAUGAUAAUCUCUAAUUUGCUCUCAAUGUAAACCUCAAUUUAUUCUUCAUUUCCGUCCAAAAGAUGAGGGGCAAAUAAGGAAUGUGUUGAUGGUUUUUUUGUUUUAAUCUUUUUAACAAUAAAUGGGGUAACUUGAUAUUUUUAUACUUUUAGGUGAUAAAUUAAAGAUUUUCAUUUUAAAUUGGGGGCAAAUUAAAAUCUAUCCUAUUUCUAAAGGCACCACGUGAUUUGGCAAAAUAACUAUAAAGAUAUUUUGUUUUUAGAAAAUGUCACACAUGUCUCUUUUGAGAUACACAAACUCUUUUUUAGCUAAAAGAUUGGGAUUUGUGUGAUUAUUUCUGAACCAAAAGGUUUGUGUUUUAAAAAAAAUGAUUAUGUGACUGUUUUGCCUAACCGAGAGGGUCAUUAUUCAAACACCAAUCACAUUUUUGUUUUAAAUCACCCUUUCAUUUAUUCUUUAAGCUUCUUUUUUUUUCCCAAAAAAUGAUGAAUAGAUAUUGAAAAUUUUGUUUUCAUUUUUUUAUUGAAAAAAAUGAAAAACACCAAAUAUUACUGCUUCCUUGUCCAUACUGUUUUUCGUCCUAUAUUACCUUAAUUUUAUAUCGUUUUCUCUAUUUCUAUUUUUAUAGUCCAAUUCUGAAAAUACACUAUUAGACACAUUUUUAAAUUGAAAAACACCAAACAUACUGCAUCAUUUUCAUUAUAAGCAUUAACACCAGACGUACACAUUCUCCAGAUGGGACUAAAAAUGGUGACUCCUUCAGAAAUGAAGUUGUACAAUUAGUUUGAAUUGAGUCGAUACAGAGACGUCUCCAUUGCGUCAUCUAUUUAACUGUCUUGUGCAACCUUAUUCUGUACAAGUAGGAUUCCUCAUUGGCCAUGUAUAUGCAUAGUUCCUGGUUUAUUAACCCCAAAACACCCUCCACUUAAUUCAAGGUCUUAAAGAGAAGUCCAAUCUCACAGGUUCGUUAACAUUUUAAAGGUAAGUUUUAUCUUGUAACAUUCAUACAAAAUUUAUAAUCAACUGGGGCGGAAAUUUUGAAAAUACUAUGAUUAGCACAAGCAUUUCAACAAUAAAGGAUGUAAUAAAAGCUCAUUAAGUUUAAACUUGAAAGGAAAAUUAGGGCAAGGUCAUUUCUUUAAAAAGAAUAAGGCAAGAUGAUGCACGGCAUGAAAUACCUGUGACCAAGCCUCAAAAGAUUCAUCAAGCGCAGUAUUUUGCUUGCCCACGGCAUAAUUACACGUGGCUUCCCAAACAAAUAUCAGCCAUUGUUUGGCUUCCCAAACAAUGCAAGUAUUCAAUUUAACUUCAUAAAUAUCAGCCAGAGCAUAAUUACACUUGGCUCCCUGGAGCUCGGACAAUACGAGUAUUCAAUUUAACUGUACAUAGAUGUGCGGGGUUUUGGUGGUAAGUAAAAAGACGUGCCACUAUCAGUUGAGGAGUGCAUAAGAGGAUUACAUCUAUCAAAUACUAUCCGGCCCCCUCGGCCAAUUCUUCCAUGAAAUUUGUGAGUUCGUGCUAUAGUGCCAUUCCUCGUAGAAGAAUCUGACGGCGGAACAAUACCUGCAGCGUCCAAUUUUUCUGGCACAAGGGCUUUUGUGAACAACAAAACUGGCUCAAGAGGAUCCUGAAACCCCACAGUUACAUUUUCAAAAUGAUGCACUGCUGAUAUUCAGAAAUAAAAUAAUGAUAAAACAUUUUGGAAAGUUUACUUAAAUCAUUUUUCUUUCCAGCCACAGAUAGGUCAAUAAGUCAAAUAUAUGAGGAAAAAUACUAAAGAAACUGACAGAGGGCAGGCAGAAUUAACUACAAAACCACCAGAUUUAUCGCGUUUUUGUCCUGUUAAUUAAUUGUUUUCAAUUAACACGGUAACCCGGCUCGGGUGUUAACUCUGUUUCUGUCAGUGCUCUGUUGAAUAUUUCUGUUUAAAAAUCAGCACUCGCAUGUAAGUAGUAUGGCAGCAGCAAAAUCUCAUGUGUAAUAAUUAGGCUAUAUUAGUUCUGGGUCCAGGAAUCGAGAUAAUCAGAUUUGGUGCAAAAGCUAUAUGUACCAAUUUAUGUAGCCAUGCAUAAUAUAUUCAUUUUUGACUAGCAAAUUCUUCCUUUUCACAACUUUAGGUACAACUUUUCCUUUCCUUUUGAAGGCCCACUCCACUGGCAUAGAGAGUAAAAAGAGUUUCUUAUAAAUAAUUUUAGGAGGAUGCUUCUGCCACGACAAGUAAUACCAUAAACAAAUGAUUUCACCACAUUUCAAGAAAGCAUUUAACUUAUGCCUCAUUUUCAUUCUAGCAAUUUGCUUGCCAUUAGCUGAUUGGAAAAAGUGCAUUUAAGUGAUAGAUUACUGUCAACCUAUAGCACGAAUAGGGGUUAAAACAAAGUAAAUCCCUACCUUUACAUGUCAAAUAAAAGACUUUCAUAAUAUCAAAUAUCAAAACUCAUGUCUAGUAAAGGAUUCCCCAAUGCUGGCUCUCAAAAUUGCUUUUGUUUCAUGGAUGAGAUGAUCGAUUUUGUGGAUAUUCUGCUCAACUUGGAUUAUGACUUGGGUCAGAUCCCAACUUGCUGCAAAGCUCACCUGACUAAAUCUUAGUUGAUUUGCUUUUCCAAACUAAAUCCAAGCAAGUAAGUACAAGAGAUAAAAGCAAAAGUUCAAGCAUCUCAUUUGAGCCUGUCACUAACAAAUGGUCAACGAGCAAUGUCUAGCUAUGACUGAGCAACAGAAUCAAUAAACAGACAGACAAAAAAUAAUAAUCAAGUCAUCUGUCAAAUGCUAGUCCAUGAAAAUCAUAUAUAUAUAUAUGUAUGUAUGUAUGUAUGUAUGUAUAUGUAUAUGUAUAUGUAUGAUCAUUCAUUUCUCAAUCAACCACCAAAUUGAUGUCAACAAAGCCAUGAGGAUUGUCUCACAAGUCUUUCAAUUUCCCUCUCUUUAGGCCAGAGACCAGUAAACCAUUUGAAAUAUGGAUGUGCAAACCAGUAAAUAAAUCAUGAAGUUACACACUAGUCUGCUUUCGCACUCAUUCAGAACUAUCAAUGAUACUUACUGCAGGUACGGUGUAUACAUUAUACUAAAGUGAAGGCUGGAUCAAUAAGAAAUUCAAAAUAUUUCAUCACAUUUGGGGCUUGAUGAUGCCAAAGAAAGACCAUACCAAUUAUGAUGAACAGUAAAAUGUGAACAAGAACAAGCAUACAUUUAAGAAAGCAGAGAAGCAUCAUUAAAAUAAAGUAUUCUUCUUACUAUUCUAUGUUGUUGGAAAAUGGACCAAAAUAAAAAAGAAACCAUAUAUGGUUAACGUCACAACAAGAGUAUUUGUGCAUUUGUACAUCAGAGGAUAUCGGUACGUGCUUGAGACGUACGGCCGAUUCGCGCUUAUUGCGGUGCUGACCGCCUGGUCCCGACGAUUUGUACGCGUCCAUUUCGCAUUCGCGAAACAGCUCAUCGUCGGUCAAUUCUAAGUAAUUCUUCGAAGAAGAAGAAAAAGAAGUUGAAGAACAAUUGUCAUUGGUGCUGUAAAUUGUAAUUGCAAGACAAGAACAAUGGCUGAUAAUUCCCGCGAUACUUGUACGACGGAAAGUUUAUAUUUUUCCUUCCGAGUUGGGGAAUCCGAAGCAGGAAUUGAGCGGCCAACGCCCUCAUCAAUUUCAAUUUCCCUCACCGUGUAUGCGAUGAUGAAAGCAAAGCUUCGUACUAGUAACACAUUCUUAUGGCAGGCCCAGCCCAAUCCAGCCCAGUCCAGCCCAGUCCAGCAAGUGAGCAAUGUUAUUGUUUUAUUAUUUUUGAACUCGUGGUGGCUCUAAAUUAUUUGCAAAAUACUCGUAUAAGGAGAGGGACAUAUUUUAUGCUGGAAUAUUUUCAAUAUAAAUGGUGCUCUAAAAAUGUGUCCGACUGUAAAGAUAUGUCUAAUUAAACAGUGUCAUAAAUAAUAAAAAUGUAUUCUUUUAUUUAAAGAUGCAUCCAUUCACGGUUUCAUGCUUCAAUUUGAAAUGACGAUAGUUUAUUUUGGACCAGUGAUGAUCUAAUUCAAAUUUUGAUUUAAUAACCAUGAUUGAAAUAACCACUUUCUGUUAGUUCUCUUAAAAUUUAUUAAGAAAUCUAUAUUGAAGGCUGUUUCAUCCUUUAGUGUUGUAGAAAAUACACUUUACAUUUUGAAAUUUAAAAUGACCUUAUUUUAAAUAAAAUUUUAAAACAAAUGCCUCUAACUAAAGAAAUUUUUUUAGAAUACAUCAAAAGUACCAUGUUAGCCAUACAACAAGUGAAUCAUGCUAAGACAAGUGUGCAUUGAUUUUAAAAAACUAUCAUUCAAAUGGUGGUUAUAUUGAAUAAAAAUAUGUACAUAUCAUACAUGACACAAAUCACCUCAACCCUUCUGUUGGAUCUGGGGUGAAUCAUGCAAUUUUAUAUCUAAAGCUCAUGACAUAAACUUAAUUCAUGAAUAUAUAACACUAGCCUUGGCCUUUGUUAUAAACAUAUAAUAAUCUAUGUGCCUCAUUCAAAAAUUUAUUAAAAACUUACAUAGUUCAUAUCUCAUUGUACAUACAUACACUUCAAAAAUAUACAUAUAAACAUAAACGUGGUCAAAAUGUAAGUCAUGCAGUAAUGCGUGUCGUGGCCCAACCUCAAUUGAUCAGAAAUUGAACUACACAAAUCCUAUGGAAACCUUAGAGAAAUGGGGUAAAUAUGAAAAUAGUAAGCUUGCGGCUCAAUAAAUGAAUAUAAUUAUAUAUAAAAAUAAAUUAGUGCUUUAGUGCUCGUCAUAAUUGUAUGACAUAACUUUACACUGAACGCUUUACAAAAGCAAACAUGAACUCGUACAUACACACAUGACAAAAUUGCACCAAAUAAUAUACAGGGGAAAUAACUCUCAAUACUCACUGGGAUCAUCAUUGCAUGAGUAACAAGGGGGAAAAACCUCUCAAUACUCAGUAGAAUUUACAACAUCACAAGGGUCGAGUAAUUUAACUCUCAAUACGUACGCGUAGAGCCUAUGGGGAAAGGUACACAUAUGGUGCCUGUCAAUUACAUCUCAUGACUCAGUCAAUCAUAUAAUGUACGUACAUAUAAUCAUAACAUUAUACUAAAUCAUACUAUCAAACAUAAAUGUUUUGUAAAAUACAUAAUAGUAAUAAUAAUAAUCCACUCACAGAUCCUAUUGAUGAAGCACGCACGUGCUUUGCUUUAAGCUAACAGCUUGCUAUUGCUUUGACAAUUAACCCAUGUGCCUCCUUUUAGCUUGCUCGUGCGUCACAAUACAUGCAUUAGAAUUGGUUGUAUUCUCAUGGGUGAAGCAUGAAUGUGCUUUGCUUUAAGCUAACAGCUUGCUAUUGCUUUGACAAUUAGCCACAUGUGACCCGUUUAUAGUUUAGGAAAUAACAAUAUUGAAUAGAAAUAUUCUUAGAAUAUAGUAUUUAUUUUCCAUUCAAACAUUUUCUCAUUUAGGCAAAGGUCACCAAAAAAAAAUUACUUUUUUAAUUUAAAUGUAAAUAUUUAAAAAUCAUAUAUAAGUUAUAAAAAAUAAAUAACUAUUUUUUUUUUAAGUUAGACUUUAUAUGCUUAACAAUCAACCCUAAGGAACAUGAAUAAGAGCUACUAAAACAAAAAAAAAAAGAAUAAUUUUGAAACUAAAUACAAUUAAUUGAGAGAUGAGGACGGAUAAGAUAAAUUCAGAGAUAAAAAUUAAAAUAUCACCCUACUUAUUGCUGCCAGUUAUGAGCAUUAAAGCACAGAAGCACCUGUGUUGAAAAGUAUGGUGUUCGUGUGGAAUUUUCAGCUAAAAGUCUACAAGGCAGUUGAAUUAAUCAAUCAUCGUGGAGUGCACGGUGGUUGGACAAUGAGAUGAAAUUGAAAAAUUAUCACGGAAAUUGAAGGAAGGGGCAUGGCAUCGAUUUAUUCUACAGAGUCACGCACAUUUGGUUCAAUAAUUGUUUUCAUCCGAAUCAAAAUCUCUCUCUCAUCAAUUCAACUGUUUCUGUUUAUUAUGGCUUCUUCUUAUCGAAACAACAAGAAGUAUGAUGUUUUUGUUAGUUUCAGAGGAGAGGAUACCCGCGACAACUUUACUAGCCAUCUCUAUUCUGCUCUGUGUCGACAAAAUAUCCAAACUUUCAUUGAUGACCAACUUAAUAGAGGAGACGAAAUUUCGGAGUCACUUGUGAAUGCAAUUGAAGCAUUAGCCAUUUCAGUUAUCGAGCCUGUUUGGGAGUGUGGUGAGGUAGCUGGACUGUUAAAGCCCAACUACUAAGGUGUUUGGUAACACUUGUAGUUGAGUUUUAGUAGCUUAGUAGAUUUUGUUUUUCAACUUCUACUCUACAGCUAUAGCUUUUACUUCACAGCAGCUGCAGCUUAAAAGUUACAGCACCUCACUAUCAAACACACUCAUCUUCUUGUCAGAAGGGUAUGCAUCAGCCAUUUAAGUUACCCAAAAUUCAACCGAAGAUCCAAACGCAAGUUUCAAACUAAACCAACCCAAAGUUUGGGCAAGAGUCCAACGCAACCCAACUAAAACCAUUUUAAUUUAAUUUUAGUUUGGGUUGACUUAGGCUUUGAUAAAUUCACAUGUUGUAUACCAUAAUUAAAAUAAAGUAUCAUUUGUCAUACAUUUUAUACAUUAAACACAUAGUGAAGGAAAAAAGUUUCAAAAAUUCAGUGGCGGCAAACAUCCUCUCUGCAAUCUUUGUGGGCAACGCAUACAUGGUAUCUUCACUAAUAAGUGUUGAAUCUUUAGCUUCAAAGGAAAGAAACUAAAAAGGGUAGGGAUAUUUCCACCCCAUUACUUUUGUAAAUUUACCCACUUCUAGAAAAUAAUUAUAAUGAAUUCACAAUAUUUUUUUAAAAAUACAAAUUAAUAAAAAUUUUAUAUAGUUAAUCAAUUAAAUCCUUCUAUUAUUUUUUUACUAGAUUUCUUUGAGUAUAUUUGAUCAUAAACUUGAUAUAAAUUUUACUUUACUAUUUUUGUAUUAUGAUAUAAAAAGGACAAAUUGUACAAUAAACACGGGUUAUUGUAUCCAAUAAUUUAGGUAUUUAAUUAUGUGAACUAAUAUUUUUAAAUGAAAUUUAACUAUUUUUUCACUAUCUUACGUGUAAAUGAUGUAAAUUUGACAAGCUAAUAAUUUAUAUGAGUAUUGUGCCAUAAAGACAUUAUGUUUGUUUAAUUAAUGUUUUACAAUCAUACUAAUAAAGUAGUAUUAGAAAUAAUGAAUUUGGUAUAAAAUUAGAAAAUAUUGAAGUUAAAGAAUUAGAUUUACCUUAUAAGGAUAAAUAAUCAAUUUAGACUUAUGUCAAAUCAAUCUUUAUGAUCAAAUAUAAUAAAAAAAUUUAAGUCACAAAAAGUAAAUUAAAAUAGAUUUGUUAAUUUGUUCUCCAAAGUUCAAAAUGAGUAAAAGGAAUUAGGCUUCGUAGUUUAGGAAAUAAAUUUACUGAAUAGAAAUAUUUUUAGUAUAUAUUAUUUAUUUUUCAUUCAAACAUUUUCUCAUUUCAGCAAAGGUCACAAAAAUUUACUUAUUUAAUUUAAAUGUAAAUGUCUAAAAAUUAGAUAUAAGUUAUUAAAAAAAAUUAAUAUUUUUUUAAAAGUUAGACUUCAUAUGUUUAACAAUCAACCCUAAGGAUAAUGAAAAAGAGCUAUUAAAACAAAAAAAAAAGAAUAAUUUUGAAACUGANNNNNNNNNNNNNNNNNNNNNNNNNNNNNNNNNNNNNNNNNNNNNNNNNNNNNNNNNNNNNNNNNNNNNNNNNNNNNNNNNNNNNNNNNNNNNNNNNNNNNNNNNNNNNNNNNNNNNNNNNNNNNNNNNNNNNNNNNNNNNNNNNNNNNNNNNNNNNNNNNNNNNNNNNNNNNNNNNNNNNNNNNNNNNNNNNNNNNNNNNNNNNNNNNNNNNNNNNNNNNNNNNNNNNNNNNNNNNNNNNNNNNNNNNNNNNNNNNNNNNNNNNNNNNNNNNNNNNNNNNNNNNNNNNNNNNNNNNNNNNNNNNNNNNNNNNNNNNNNNNNNNNNNNNNNNNNNNNNNNNNNNNNNNNNNNNNNNNNNNNNNNNNNNNNNNNNNNNNNNNNNNNNNNNNNNNNNNNNNNNNNNNNNNNNNNNNNNNNNNNNNNNNNNNNNNNNNNNNNNNNNNNNNNNNNNNNNNNNNNNNNNNNNNNNNNNNNNNNNNNNNNNNNNNNNNNNNNNNNNNNNNNNNNNNNNNNNNNNNNNNNNNNNNNNNNNNNNNNNNNNNNNNNNNNNNNNNNNNNNNNNNNNNNNNNNNNNNNNNNNNNNNNNNNNNNNNNNNNNNNNNNNNNNNNNNNNNNNNNNNNNNNNNNNNNNNNNNNNNNNNNNNNNNNNNNNNNNNNNNNNNNNNNNNNNNNNNNNNNNNNNNNNNNNNNNNNNNNNNNNNNNNNNNNNNNNNNNNNNNNNNNNNNNNNNNNNNNNNNNNNNNNNNNNNNNNNNNNNNNNNNNNNNNNNNNNNNNNNNNNNNNNNNNNNNNNNNNNNNNNNNNNNNNNNNNNNNNNNNNNNNNNNNNNNNNNNNNNNNNNNNNNNNNNNNNNNNNNNNNNNNNNNNNNNNNNNNNNNNNNNNNNNNNNNNNNNNNNNNNNNNNNNNNNNNNNNNNNNNNNNNNNNNNNNNNNNNNNNNNNNNNNNNNNNNNNNNAUUAAAUAAAUAUAGUACUAUUAUUUUUAAAAUAAAUAUAAUAAUAUUAUAUUAUUAAAUAAAGAUAGCAUAUAUUUAUUAAUUCUCUAUUAAUAUAAUAAUAUUAUUUUUAAGUAAUUUUAACUUAUAAUCAAUGUAAAUUAUUAUUUAGUUAAAUAUAAUAAUAUUAUUUAAAUAAAUAUAAUUAUAAAUUAUUUUAUUUUAUUAAAUUAAAUUAAAAACAAAGGGUAGAAAAGGGAGAGGUGGGAGUGGGAAUUCAUGGGAGUCCCACUCCCACUCUUCACUCCAAAAAUGGGUGGGGUCCACGGAAUGGGAUUCCCAAUCCCUCUCUAUUCUGUUGAAGUAAAUACUGGAGUGGGAAGAAUCCACACUCCUCACUCUCACUCCAGAAAGUAGACACUACCUCAAUCAUCGUGGAGGGCACGGUGGUUGGACAAUGAGAUGAAAUUGAAAAAUUAUCACGGAAAUUGUAGGAAGGGGCAUGGCAUCGAUUUAUUCUACAGAGUCACGCACAUUUGGUUCAAUAAUUGUUUUCAUCCGAAUCAAAAUCUCUCUCUCAUCAAUUCAACUGUUUCUGUUGAUUAUGGCUUCUUCUUCUCGAAACAACAAGAAGNNNNNNNNNNNNNNNNNNNNNNNNNNNNNNNNNNNNNNNNNNNNNNNNNNNNNNNNNNNNNNNNNNNNNNNNNNNNNNNNNNNNNNNNNNNNNNNNNNNNCGCUAGAGCUACUUUCGACAAAAUCUCUAGAUAUUUUGAAGGUUCUUGCUUCCUUGAAAAUGUUAGAGGAGAAUUACAAAGACCGGGAGGAUUAGCUUGCCUGCGACAAAAACUUCUUUCAAAUUUAUUGAAGGAUAAAAAUGUGAUUCUUGAUAUUGGCCUCAAUUUUCGAAGGCUCAGCCGCAUGAAGGUUCUGAUUGUUUUUGAUGAUGUGACUUGCUUCAGCCAAUUGGAAUCUUUAAUUGGAAGUCUUGAUUGGUUGACGCCUGUGAGUCGAAUCAUAAUAACCACCAGAAAUAAACAAGUGCUUAGAAAUUGGGGGGUGAGGAAAAUAUAUGAGAUGGGGCCAUUAGAGUAUCAUCACGCUCUUGAGCUUUUUAGUCGACAUGCCUUCAAACGAAACCAUCCUGAUGUUGGUUACGAGAAACUUUCAAGCAAGGUAAUGAAAUAUGCUCAAGGUGUUCCUUUAGCUAUUAAAGUUUUGGGUUGCUUUCUAUAUAAAAGGGAAAAAGAAGUCUGGGAAAGUGCAAUAAAUAAAUUGCAAAGUAUCCUCCACCCAAGUAUCCUAGAGGUAUUAAAAAUAAGUUACGAUGGUUUGGACGAUAAGGAGAAAAAUAUUUUCCUUGAUGUUGCUUGUUUCUUUCAAGGCGAGGGUGUAAAUCUGGUAGUGAAAUUCUUUAAUGCAAGCGGUUUCUACCCAGAAAUAGGAAUAAGUAUUCUCGUCGAUAAAUCUCUCAUUGUUAUUGAUUCAUACAGCAAGAUAACAAUGCAUGAUUUACUACAAAAAUUGGGUCGGGAAAUUGUUCGACAAGAAUCAAUUAAUCCUGAAAACCGCAGUAGGCUGUGGCAUCAUGAGGAUACCUAUGAAGUUCUUACACAUAAUACGGUAAUCAUUUUGUUGUGGAUUAUUAUUUUGGAAUAUUAUAGCAUUUACAAACUUGAUAUAAUAUAUAUAUAUACGUGCUUGAACCGAUGAGCCUUGGAAUUAAUAGCAGUGUGACAAUGAUUAGGAAAAAAAAACAAUAAUGGUUAAAUGAUGUAACAAUAAAUUAUAAAUGCCAUGACAACUUGUGUGAUCGUUUGUAAGCCUAAUUUAUAUAUCAACUUGUGUACUAUACAUACAGAAUUUUUAUGUUAAAUAUUACGUGUGAUAUUAUGUUUCUUUGUGCAUUUGCAAUUAAGAGUUUAGCUGCCGAGCAAUAACCAUAAACAUGGAUUAUUGAAAUUUGAUUCCUGUAAUGGCAGAGAGCCCCACUCCUAUCCCACCUCAACUCUACUCAAGAAUAAAUAAACGUUGAAUUAAUAACUAAGCUACCUCUAAUCGUGAAUUAAUGACAAACUUACCCCAAAAAAUUGUCUUGGUUGGGUUGAGGUGCGAUUCAUUGGUGGAAUAUACAUAUCAUUUUUCAUUUAAUUUUAACUUUAUUCUUUUUUUUUUUAAAUUAAAUUUUAGGGGACAGAAAAAAUUGAGGGCAUUUGUUUGGAUAUGUCAAAAGUAAAAGAUAUCCAUCUAAAUCCCAAUACUUUCACAAAGAUGCGUAAGUUGAGAUUUUUAAAAUUCUAUAGCUCAUCAUUCAAUGGAGAGAACAAAUGUAAGGUGUCUUAUUUGCAAGACCCCGGAUUUGCUGAAGUGAAGUAUUUUUACUGGCAUGGAUACCCGUUGAAGUCAUUGCCUUCAAACCUUAAUGCAGAGAAGCUUUUGUUUCUUGAACUGCCUGGUAGCGACAUUGAACAACUUUGCGAUGGUGUGAAGGUAUGUAUAUCUUGAUAUAUAUGUGCAAUCUUUCAAUAAUAACGUUAAAUUAUCAUACAUGGUAAUGAUUUUGUGUUGGCUUCUUUUUGAUCGAGCAGCGUCAUGGUAAGUUAAACCAGAUAAUCCAUGCUGCCUGCAAGAAGCUAAUUCCCAAAAUUCCAAGCCCCACGUUGAUUCCACAUCCGAACAAUCUAGUUGCCUUGAAUCUAACAGGUAGCAAAAGCCUGAAAAGUCUUCCAGCUAGAAUAUUUAAUUUGGAAUUUCUUAUCGAACUUGAUCUUUCGGGUUGUUCAAAACUGAAGAGGCUUCCAGACAUCUCAUCUGGUAACAUAAGCCGGCUAUAUUUAAGUGGAACUGCAAUUGAAGAACUGCCCUCAUCAUUUGAGCUUCUACUUAGGCUUUCGUGGCUGGACCUUUCAGAUUGUAAAAUGCUUAAGAGUCUCCCAAGCAGCCUAUGUAAGUUGAAAUCUCUUGGAGUUCUUGAUCUCCAUGGUUGCUCAAAUCUUCAGAGAUUGCCUGAACGUCUUGGCCAGUUAUCGUCGCCAAUAUUGUUGAAUCUAGUGAAAACCAAUAUUGAGAAGAUACCAAAAAGCAUUUUCCAACUUUUAGUGUUGCGACGCCUGAUCUUAAAUUAUUGUGAGGGGCAUUAUGAAUCCUUAUCAAAGCCUCCAUUCCUUGUACGAUGGUUAGAUGCCGAUCAUUGCCCGAUACUGCAAUCAUUCAUAGGUUCAUUCUCUAAGUUCUGAAUCUUAUAAGCAGUGUUUUUUGACCAAAGCAAUAACUUUAAAUUGGAAGGUAAUUCUACUGCAGGAAUUAUUGAAGAUUCUCAGAGAACUGAGCAUAUGGGCCAUGUGGCAGCUGCCCGUUGGAAAGAAGUACGGGAAAAGGUGUGUCAUAACUCUCUCUCCUUACAAUUUAUACAACAUUUUUUUGUUUAAAAUUAUGAUUUUUUUGGUAUAGAGAGGUUGUCCCAAGGAAGGCCAUUUCGUACUAGCUGGGAAUGAAAUUCCAAGGUGGUUUAAUUUUCAAAGUGUGGGAUCUUUUAUAACCUUGGAGAUGCCCCCUGAUUUCUUCAAUAACAAUAGAGUACUGGGCUUUGCAUUUAGUGCUAUUUUAGCAUUUUCAGACCGUCAUGUAGAUUGUGGCAGAUGGUUUUCAUUUUCUUGUGAGUUCAAAGUAAAAACCACCAAAGAUUGUGAUCUGCAUGACACACGGUUAUUUCAGAGCAGAGUUAAUUAUGUAGAAUCAGAUCACUUGCAUUUGGGGUACUAUCUGUUCUGUGAAGAGGAUUUCAAUGGUUUUUGGAAAUGCAAUUGCAUUCCUGAGGCAGUUCACUUUAAUGUUUUUCCACCUUUGGAGUGCCAAUGCUGCGGGGUGAAAAAAUGUGGGAUCCAUUUACUUCACACCCCAGAUUCUACGAAUUCAAUGGAAGAUCCAAGCAGAUGUUUCAACUGUAACUAAGAAGACUGAUAUUUUCAUGCAUGUAUUUUUAUUGUAACUGAUGCAGCAUAAAACAUGAGGGCCCAAAUAGUGGAUUACAGUUGGUGUGAUUUAUUAGUGGAUUAUACUUGGUGUGUUUUAUUAAGUGCUAUCAGUGGAUUACAGCUGGUGUGUUGAGUGUUAUUAGUGGAUUACAGUUGGUGUGUUUUAUUGAGUGAAAUGUAAUAGGUGGAGCUGUGUAUGAGUACUAUAAAUAUGUGCUAAAUCCAUUGCAAAAAUCAUCCAAUCUUCAAUCAAAAUUUGAGUUUUCUCAUUUGAAAUUCUAAUUCAGAAUUUGUUAUACAUUUUUUUUCUCUUCGUGAAAACACAAGUUAGAGCGACAUCUAGCAAACCGCUGCGUCAAUUGGUAUCAGAACCUUCCUCUGUAUCAGGCGGAGCUUUCCUGGUAGCCAUAUCUUUCGUAUCCAUCCAUUCUCCAUCACCAUUUUCCAUUAAACAAAAAAAAAAUCAAAUUGAAACCCUAGACCUAGCCGCCGCCACUGUAUUUACCACCACUUCGCAAUAUCCAAACCACCUAUCUCCACUUCGCCAAAAAAAAAAAUCAAAGGCGUGAGCAUAUUGCAUCUUGUGUCUUGUGCAUAGAUUUAAAAAAAAAAAAGUGUGUGAGUCGAAAAGAAAAAGCAACGUGAGUGUGUGUAUUUUGUGAAGUGUGCAUAUUGAACAAAAAAAAAGAAAAAAAGAGAGGGUGUGUGUUUUGUGCUUUGUAGUAUCAAAAAAAAAAAAAAAAAAAAAAGAGAGACGUGAGGAGAAGUGACAAGUUCGAGGCUUGUGUGUGAACUCCGUGAGGUUUUGUGCAUUGAAUUAAAAAAAAAAAAAGUGUGUUUUGUGCUUUGUGAAGGGAGUAUUAAAAAAAAAAAAAAAAAGAGAGACGUGGGGAGAGAGAAAAGUAAGGAGAAAAAAAAAAAAGAGAUGAGUGGGUAUUAAAUUUCCUUGAGGAAUAUUGGGCUGUGUUGGUUCUGCUCCAACUUCAACUCGCCUUUGUUGUUGGAAAUUAUUGUUUUGCCCGCCAAGGAAGUGUUGAGUUAAAUUCGUAAGCAUGACUUCUAAAUUUUGUAAUCUAGUUUCAAGUGCAACAACUGAUUCUUUUGUUGCGAAUGUACCCAUAGCUUGUUGGAUUCUUCGUCUGACAUUUUUUUUCUUUUUUUCUUCUUUUUUUCUUCUUUGUUUUUUCUUUGCUUUUUUUUGCUUCUUUUUUCUUUUUUUUUCACAAUUCAAGUAAAUAAACAAAUAUACAUACAAAACAAAACUAACACAAUUCUGAUUUUUUUUUAAUUAUAGAAUAAACUACCCAAAAAAACCUCUCUUUUUGUUAAUUAAUUUUUUUUCACUCGCAAUUAUUCCUCCUAAAUUCUAUCCCUUUUCUGGAAAAAAAAUCUAAACUCGCACUCAAACCUUUUUCUUUUUUUUAUCACACAAUAUUUUUUUUUUCACUCUUGUGUAAUCUCUCUUCCCCACUCACACACACAUUACUCUUUACACCUUACAAUUCCCAAUACUUCUCUCCACCCUCACGUUUCAUUCACACACCUUUUUUUUUUUUACUCACGCCUCCUUUUUUUCUUUUUACAGUUUUUUUUCUCUUUUAAUAAAACACCCACAACUCUCAAAAUUUAUGCACAAAACACUCACACUUUUUUUUUUUUUAAGAUUCACGCCUAUCUCUCUCUCUUUUUUCAAUUUCGUGUAACAACAAAAUACACAACGCACUUAUUAUUAUUAUUUUUUUCAAAACUCACUGCCCCUUUUUUUCUUUUAAUUCCCUGCACAUGCAUACACCUUACAAGAUGCACACACCCACGUUUUUUUUUUAAUUCCCUGCACAUGCACAACACCUUUUUUUUUUUUUCAAAACUCACACCAUUUUUUUUAAAAAUUCCUUACACUUGCACAAAGUACAACACACUCAGACUUCACCGGAAUCAACUUUUCAACGAAGAUUCUAGUGAAGAUGAUGAAGGACCGGUGCCACCAGAAAAUAACCAAGUGUCUCGGCAAAUUGACUACCGAAUGAAAAUUGAAAUUCCACAAUUUGAUGGCCUAUUCACGAUCGAGGAAUUUCUUGAUUGGCUAGCUAAAGUUGAAAAAUUCUUUGACUAUUGGGAGACUGAAGAGCACAUGAAAGUCAAAUUGGUGGCCUAUCGACUCAAAGGAGGUGCGCUUGCUUGGUGGGAUCAAUUACAAACAACACGAAUUCGACAAGGAAAGCACAAAGUUCGAACUUGGCAACGCAUGAGAAAAUUAAUGAUUGACCAUUUUCUUCCUCCAGAUUAUGAGCAGACACUUUUCAGUCGGUAUCAACAUUGUCGGCAAGCCAACCGAAUAGUACAUGAGUAUGUUACAGAAUUUCACAAGCUUGUUGCAUGCGUGGAUGUUCGUAAGACUGAAAAUCAAAAGAUUUCGAGGUUCAUUGAUGGACUUUGCACCAAUAUUCAAGAUGAAGUAUUCAAGCAGUCGCAUCACACUCUGUCUAGUGCAAUUCAACUGGCCUUGAAGAUUGAAGCACAACUGAACAAAAGAGGCACCCGUAUUCAGGUUUCUUCACAAUCUUCUACACCACCACAAAAGCCUGAUUGGAAUAAACGAAAGACAAUAACCAGACCACGUGAAGAAAUGCCUAGGCCAAAUUUCUCCCAGAACCAACCGGCGGGACGAUUACAAAAUGAACCAGUGAACAAAUCCAAAUCAACUAAUCCCUAUGCAGUCCUAAGGGGAAACAAAUGUUAUCGUUGUGGUCAGACGGGUCAUUACUCUAUUCAGUGUCGACAAAGUAAACUGGUCAACUUGGCCACACAUGAUGAUGACGUUGAAGAAGAGGAGUAUCCGGAGGAUGAUGAGUAUGAAAAAGAAGACGCAUUGAAGGAAUUCACCUAUGAAGAUGAAGGAGUAUCAUUAGUAAUAAGACGACUAAUCUAUACCCCGAAGAAAGAUGAGAGCAUUCAACGACAUAACAUCUUGAAAACACGGUGCACAGUCAACCAACGGGUAUGUGAUCUUAUCAUUGAUCGUGAAAGUAGUGAGAACAUAGUAUCCAAGACCAUGGUAGAUAAAUUGUAAUUACCAACUCAAUCACACCCAUUUCCAUACCGCAUUAGGUGGAUUAAAGAUGUCAGCGAGACAAAGGUGACCGAACAAUGUCGUGUUCCUUUCUUUAUCGGUUAGUAUAAAGACGAGGUAAUGUGUGAUGUUGUUGAUAUGGAUGCUUGUCAUAUGUUAUUUGGUCGUCCUUGGCAAUUUGAUUUAAAUACAGUGCAUAAUGGCAAAAAUAAUACUUAUACAUUUUAUAAAGACAACAUGAAGUUUAUUCUGGCCUCAAUGAAGCAUUCUAACACUCCAACAUGCUCAAAGACCAGGAACAACCUUCUUUUGGUGCCCAAAGAUGUUCUUAUCUCACAAAGUGUACCAGAUUCAAUUCAACCUUUAUUGGUAGAAUUCACUGAUGUUGUUCCCGAUGAAUUACCAAUUGGAUUACCUCCACUUAGAGAUAUCCAGCACCACAUUGAUCUUAUUCCUGGAGCAAACUUACCAAACUUACCACACUACCGCAUGAGUCCUAAAGAAUAUGAGAUUCUGGAUGAACAAGUUGAGGAUCUUCUCAAGAAAGGCCUGGUUCAAGAAAGUAUGAGCCAUGUAGCUGUACCCACACUCCUGACUCCAAAGAAAGAUGGAAGCUGGAGAAUGUGCAUAGAUAGUCGAGCCAUCAAUAAGAUUACGGUAUGAUAUCGUUUUCCUAUUCCUCGAUAAAGAUAACGUGCUUGACAGAUUAGGAGGAUCAAAAUUAUUUUCUAACAUUGAUCUGCGGAGUGGGUACCAUCAAAUUCGGAUUUGCCCUGGUGAUGAGUGGAAAACAUCGUUUAAAACUCAUGAGGGUCUGUACGAGUGGCUAGUUAUGCCCUUUGGUCUAUCGAAUGCUCCAAGCACUUUCAUGAGGUUAAUGAAUCAGGUAUUUCAACAUUUCAUUGGAAAUUUUGUUGUUUAUUUUGAUGACAUCUUAAUUUACAGCCAUAGCGAGAAGAUCAUAUUCAACAUUUGAAGGAAGUAUUUGAGGUGUUACGAAAGAACAAGUUGUAUGCCAAUCUUAAAAAAUGUAGCUUUAUGAAAGACAACUUAAUUUUUUUGGGCUUUGUUGUGAGUUCAGACGGAAUCAAAGUCGAUCAAGAAAAUGUGAAAGCUAUUCGAGAAUGGCCGACACUGAAGACAAUUUCAGAUGUUCGAAGCUUUCAUGGUCUUGCAACCUUUUACAGACGAUUUGUGAAGGACUUCAGCACCAUAGCUGCACCACUUACAGACUGUUUAAAGCAAAAACAAUUUGUUUGGACAAAAACAACAGAACAAAGCUUUACGGUCUUGAAGGAGAAGCUUACAAAUGCACCAGUGCUUACACUUUCUGACUUUAACAAGAUUUUUAAAGUCGAUUAUGAUGCUUCUGGAGUGGGAAUUGGAGCUGUUCUAUCUCAAGAAAUGAAGCCAAUUGCCUUUUUCAGUGAGAAGCUCAGCGGAGCCAGAAAGAAAUGGUCAACAUAUGAGCAAGAAUUAUAUGCAAUUGUUCGCACUUUGCAAUAAUGGGAGCCAUAUCUAAUUCAAAAAGAAUUCAUCAUACACACGAAUCAUCAAGCUCUCAAGUAUCUCAACAAUUCCUCUAAAGCCAAUCGAAUGCAUGCGAGAUGGAUUGCCUAUAUUCAGAAGUUCACUUUCUCUCUCAAACACAAGUCAGGCCAAUUGAACAAAGUCGUUGAUGCACUGAGUCGUCGAGUUAUGUUAUUGACUAGUGCUCAUAAUGAAAUAAUUGGUUUUGAUUAUUUGAAAAUUUUGUAUGCAGAUGACGAGGAUUUUCAUGAAGAAUGGCAAAAGUGCACUAGCGGAGUUGCAAGUAAACACCAAUUACAUGAUGAAUUUUUAAUCUUUGAAGAUCGUCUAUGUAUUCCAUGAGGAUCACUAAGAGAACACAUCAUUCAAGAGCUACAAGCUGGAGGUUUAGGGGGUCACAUGGGACGUGACAAAACCAUUUCAUUGGUAGAAGUUUGAUAUUUAUGGCCUCAUCUCAAACAUGAUAUUGAGAAAUUUUUCAAACGUUGUUAUACAUGCUAGACUGCAAAAGGACAAGCUCAGAAUACUGGGUUAUACAUGCCACUUCCUAUUCCAAAUGCACAUUGGGAAGACUUGUCCAUGAAUUUCAUUUUAGGAUUACCACGAACACAGAAAGGUUUAGAUUCUAUCUUUGUUGUGGUAGAUCGUUUUUCUACAAUGGCUCAUUUUAUUCCAUGCAGGAAAACUUCGGAUGCUACCUACAUUGCCCAACUAUUCUUUCGAUAAAUUGUUCGUCUACAUGGAUUGCCAAAGACAAUAGUUUCUGAUCGAGAUAGCAAAUUUCUUAGUCAUUUUUGGCGUACUUUAUGGAAAAGACUUGAUACAACUUUACAAUUUAGUAGCACUUAUCAUCCACAAACGGAUGGGCAGACUGAAGUCACCAAUCGCACACUGGGUAAUAUCUUGCAAUGCUUGGUUAAAGAAAACCCAAGACAAUGGGAGAAUGUUUUACCACAAGCUGAAUUUGCUUACAACAAUGUGCCUAAUCGUUCUAGUGGUAAAUCUCCAUUUGAAGUUGUUUAUAUUCAUCCUCCAUUGCACACUUUAGACUGGGUUCCUUUACCAAAGCUUCCUGGAAUGAGCGUCAUUGCUAAUCAUCUAAUCGAUAAAGUGAUCGAUGUACAUGGAGAGGUAAAAAAUAAGUUGGAAGAAUCUACCGCAAAAUACAAGGCCAUUGCUGACAAGCACAGAAGAUUCAAGUCAUAUAAAGUGGGUGAUUAUGUCAUGGUACAUCUGCGCAAAGAACGAGUUCUUGUAUGAGAAUACGAUAAGCUCAAACAGAAGAAAAUUGGUCCCUUUCGCAUCCUUCAAAAGAUUAAUGAUAAUGCCUAUAUCAUCGAUCUCCCCGAACAAUAUGCCAUUUCUAACACUUUCAAUGUUCAAGAUUUGUACGAGUAUCAUGGUCCAGAACAAAUUCCUUGACUAACUCAAGGACGAGUUGUCUUUAAGAGGGGGAGAAACUGAUGCAGCAUAAAAUAUGAGGGCCCAAAUAGUGGAUUACAGUUGGUGUGAUGAGUGUUAUUAGUGGAUUAUAGUUGGUGUGUUUUAUUAAGUGUUAUUAGUGGAUUACAGCUGGUGUGUUGAGUGUUAUUAGUGGAUUACAGUUGGUGUGUUUUAUUGAGUGGAAUGUAGUAGGUAGAGUUGAGUAUGAGUACUAUAAAUAUGUGCUAAAUCCAUUGUAAAAAUCAUCCAAUCUUCAAUCAAAAUUUGAGUUUUCUCGUUUCAAAUUCUAAUUCAGAAUUUGUUAUACCUUUUUUUUUCUCUUCGUGAGAACGCAAGUUAGAGCGACAUCUAGCAAACCGUUGUGUCAGUAACAAAACAUUCGAGGGAUAACUAUUAAUAAUAGGAGAAAAUGCUAAAAUCAGUUCUUGGAACAAAACAUUCAUGUAAUAACUUUGGAGGAAUCAGGUGCAUGCAAUUACCUUCGAGGGAUUUGGUGCAAGCAACACAAAUUCACACUAGAGCAUAGAACAUUACCUUAUUAGAUGAAGAGUUUAACAUAUGAAAAUCACAUGAUUUAUAAUGUAAAAUUCCAAAAUUAUUGGCCUUCUUUCCUGCAUUGUGCACACAAUAACUCAAAACACAUCUAUUUGGUUAGAAGAGUACAUGACAUAUAAACCAGUAAAAAAAACUCACUCGCUAGCGAUGUGGGAUAUUAUAAGACGCGCGGCAAGUUCUUAUUGGUGGAGUAAUGUUGUGGUCCCAUAUCGAUGCCAAUGAAAACAUGCCACUCAUCAUGUUGUGCACUAAAUCAACGCUUAUGUAUAUAAUGCAAUCACAUUUGAAAUUUUCUACUUUCUUAAGUCUAAAUUAUUGUAUGUGGGAAAGUUUCAUCAUGUAGAAGCAAAAGCCAUAAAGUGGGAACAGUUAAAACACCAUCAAAUCUUAUAUAUUUGAAAAAAACAUAUUUGUCUACCAAUUAAAAAAAAAGAACAGGACAGGUGUCAUUUGCACUCAACUCAUUUGUGUUGUGAAUCCAUUUGCUUAAACAUGUAUCCACUUUUUCAAGUAUCUACACCAAUUUCAUAUUCAGAAUGGUGUAUUUAAUUCUAUAGUUGACAUGGUAUCAUCUAUGGCUAGAAUUUAGCUUUAAAAAACUAGCUUGUAAGGAAAGGAUUAAAGAUGCCCAUGAACUUAUAUUUCUAUUUAGAUUACUGUAUCUUUUUCAUGUGAAAAAUUGAAUCCUAUCAUUCACUUAUCAUUAACAUAAGCAAUAUAGAUAUUAAAUCAUUGUUCUUUAUUAUUGUGCAAAAUUUAACUUUUUAUAGAAUAAUUUGAUAGAUUUCUUAAAUCAAUUUGGAGCUUCUACAACUUGUCUGGGAUCAGUUUCUCCUACAUUCCUUUCGGUGCCAAAAGGUAUUCAAGUGGUUGAAGAAGAAUUGAUCCAUACAAUAUAAGUGCAAGAGUUGUUUGUCUUUUUACAAUAGGAAUAAUAUAUAAUGCAUCGAUACUUGCUGAUGAGAAAGUAAAUUUCUCAGAAAUUAAAUGUUUCAGCCAACCAAGGAAGCAGCUUUUCAUGGACCAACUCAGGCCUGUCGUCAUGGGGGCAAUUUCCUACUCCUUCCAAUGCAAUUAACUUCACAACUGAGAGUUAAGAAGGAGGAGAUGAGAAGUAUUCACCAACAGGUCCAUCGAGGGGGGUGAAUGGAUCCUCAUUACCCCAUAAGACUAGUACAUGUAUAUAGAUUGAUGGCAUCAGUUGCACUGGGUUCGGCCCUGGUGAGCCUCUCGCAAUCGAAACAAAUGCAUCAAGUGCCCCGUCAUCAUUGGCGGGUUCUCGUAUGUUCUGCAAUUAUGAGGUCAAUUCAUGAAUUCUGAGUAGCCAUUUUUGUAAGAGGUUAAAAUGGCACAUAAGUGGAGAAUAUUAGUACAUCUACCAGUGUUUCAUCCACAGAUUCCUUAUUUCCAUAGAUGGACAGUAAAAUAUUGCUCUGUGUUACCCUGCAGCACGAAUAUAUACACACGUGGAGUUUUUUAGUUUUGGCUCUAGUGUUUUAGGAUAAUGAACAAUGGACUGAAUAGAGAGAAGAGAACAACUUUGUUUCACACACUCAAAGAUUGCAUAAGUAAUUGGCCUUUGUUUCAACAAAAAAUCAGGGAACCAAAGCAAUGGUUACACUAGUUUCAUUCUCCAAUCAUCAACAAUUGCCUUGUUGUUCAUGCCACCAUCACAAUUCAACAGAACAAGCCCUCGAACAAGUGUUUGACUGGAUUCUUAUGGUAGAAAAUAUAGUAGGUUUACUGCAAAAUAUAGAUACCAAAAAGGCUAAUUAGGUGCAAGUGUUUCUUUGUGAGCAAGAUGAAGAAGAAGAAGUUAAAAUAAGUAUACCUGAGGCAGCAAUAACACAAGCUAGGCUUCCAACAGAAUUACCUAUAAGCACAGUUGGCUUCUGAACAACUUCAUCCAAGAAAUCCAAUAUUAGAUGUAUCAGUGAGCCUCACUCAAGUUUGCAAGAAAAAUCACUAAAGGUCAAGCAAUUGACGAAGUAGGUGCGGGGAAGAUCCAACUUCUGGCUCGGGAACAUGCAUAGCCAGGGCCAGGGGCGGAGCUUGGGGAAAAUUCUACGGGGGCUAAAUUUAAAAUUCCAACUUUUAUGUUAUUAUAUAUUAGUGGCUUAGUGGGCUUUAGUGGACUUGGCUAAUUUGUUUCUUAUUUUUUUAUGCUAUCAUUAGUGGGCCUAACAGUAAAAUUACAAUAUUAUCUAAUAUAUAAACUUUAUACAUUUAUUGUGCAAGGGCUAGUAUGGACAUUUUACACUAACUUUUCAUAUUUUAUUUAAAAACCCUAAAAAAUUUUUUAAAAUUCUACGAGGACUAUGGCAUCUUCUAUUCUUAUAUGGCCUCCACCCCAUGCCUCCAUGGUAUGUGGAAACCCAGCUGGCUUAUCUGAAGCACCAGAUAACCAGGCCUGCUCCUUCCCUGGUUCUACCUCCAUGAGACUGACCAUGACAAAUCUUUUUAUUUAUUUAUUUAUGAGGCUUAUUCCACUAUUAUAUGAAAAUUUUACUGAUAUUCCUCAAAAAUCAAAAUAAUCUGCCUGAAACGAAUAUCAAGUUCUUUACUAAAAUACUCCAUGUCAUGGUGUCUCCACCCAAUAAGUUUUGCAAACCCAUCUCAUUUUUUUAAAAAAUAAUUAUAAAAAUAUACACUAUUUUUUAAAAUCUUCAAGUAUAGGAGAGCUUUAGAGGAUUAAUUAAUUAAAUCUAUUUUAAUUUAUUUUUUUGUGACUCAAUUUUUUUAUUAUAUUUGACUACAAAGAUUGCUUUGGCACAAUUUACUAUUUUACUCUUAUAAGGUAAAACUGAGAAGAAUUUACUUUAAUAUUUUUCUAGUUUUAUACCAAAGUCAUUGUUUUUAAUACUACUUUAUUAGUAGAGUUUUAAUCUUUAAUUAAACUAAAUAUAGUAUCUUUCUGGCAUGAUACUCAUAUCAAUUAUUGGGAUGUCAAUUUUAUAUUAUUUACACAUAAAAGUAGUGAAAAUAAUAAUUAGAUUUUAUUUAAAAAUAUCAUAUUAUAAGUUACAAAAUUAAAUACCUAAAUUAUUAGAUACAAUAACUCAUGUUUAUUGGAAUAAUUUAGACGCUAUAUAUCAUAAUAAUAAAAUACUAAAAUAAAACUUAUAUUAAAGAUUAUGAUAAAAGAUGGUCAAAGAAACCUAAGAUGCGGCAAAUCCCUUCACCGUGAAAAUUAGAUCAAGCAGAGCUUGCAUUCCCUAUAGUUAAAAAAGGAAGAAAAAAAAAUCAUUACUAUUAGGCUUAAAUUUUAAUUAAACAAAAGACGAAGCAAGAGUGAAUAGAGUAAUACCAAAGCAAAUUUAGGAUUGUUAGGUCCAAUUUGUAGACCAACUUCAGAACUUCUAAUAUUAGACUUAGGAGGAGGGAUCUGAAAAAGUUGUUGCAACAGCGAGUACACAUCAAGAUUCACGCUGCUCCUCACUUUGAGGGCCAAAAGAGUGCGGAGGCGCGACAAGGCUGACGCGCGAUUCUUGUGCUGCAAUCGGUCUCCGGCGGCCUGCACUAUGACGCCGGUCGGUACGUGCUUGAGACGAACGGCCGAUUCGCGCUUGUUCUGGUGCUGACCGCCUGGUCCCGACAAUAUGAACGUGUCCAUUUCGCAUUCGUGAAACAGCUCAUCAUCUGCCAAUUCUAAGUAAUUCUUCUUCGAAGAAGUUGAAGAACAAUUGCCAUUCGGGCUGUAAUUGCAAGACAAGAACGGUGGCUGAUAAUUCCAGCAACACAUUCUUAUAGUAGGCCCAGCCUAAUCCAGCCCAGUCGCGCUAAUGAGCGCCUUCUCCCCCAUCUUAUAUGCAAUGAUUAUGUGCUGGUUGGAUGUAGUUUAUCUAAUAAGUCUUUACUUAGGGUCAGUUUGGAAUUGCGAAGGCUGAUGAAAUAAACUACUUAUAUUGUAUAGAUGAAAUAAGCUGUUGAUUAAAAAAAAUAGCUUGGUGUUUGAUAAACUGUAUUGUUGCAAAUGCUAUGAGUUUAAAAAGUAGAGUACAUGUGUUUGAUAAAUUUUAUUAUGAAAGUGAUGCUUUAUUAUAUGAUAACAAAAAUAAAUAUAAGUUUAAAUUGCCUUUUACUUUUAGAGUAUGUUUAAUAAAUUAUUUAGACAUACCUUUUCUUCUUAAACAGGUAAAAUUGCAUUCAAAAACUCAAUUAACGACACGGAUAUAGAAGAAAAUUAUGGAUAAAGAAAAAAAUAUAUAGGAAAAAAAUAUGAACUUACUAGAUAAAAAUUAGGUAUAAAAAAAUAUAAAUAUAUAUAGAUUAAACUUUAAAAGCCAUAGUUAUGGAAUUACAAUAUGAACUUAUUGGACAAAAACUGAAGAAAAUGUACGUGGUUACGACGAUAACUAAAUUAUGGCGGUAAUAUGAUAUCUAAUGAUUUAUAUAUUAGGGUUUAUAAAUAAGUAAGAUAUAAUUGUCUUUUUAUUAAAAUACUAGGAUUGUAAUAGGAAUUUUCAAAAAGUGUUGUAGCAUAUUGAAUAAGCUGCUUAUGAAAAGUAACCACCUAUCUACUUUUAAAAGCUGUUGAUAAAAUAGAGAAAAUUAUGAAAUAAGUUACUUUUACAAAAUUUAGCAAACAUUAUUUUUGUCAAAAAUUAUGAAAUAAGCAGGUUAUUGAACUUCAACCCCAAUACCAAACGGGACCUUAAUCUUAUAAGUUCUUUUUAAAUUUUUUUAUUGUUAUUUAGUUAUUUUUUAGUACCACUUUUAAAGACUAAAUAAGAUAUUUUGCCUCUACUAAUAAAAGCUUAAACUUUAGGCUUUCAGGAGUAUAUGUUUAAAAUGUUAAAAUGUUUAAAAUAUUCUUUUUUUUUACAAUCUUAUUUCAUUUUUUUCAUAACAUAACUUUAAAAAACUUGUCUAUUAAAUUAAAUUUAUAAUUUGUGAUAAAAGUUUUCAGUGACAACCAAAUAAUUAAAUUUCUUUUUAGUAACUCUAUUUAUAAAAGUUCUACUGACAAAAUGUCUAUUUAAAUAAGCUCUAUUUAAAAGUUAUACUAAACGGACCCAACAAUAUCAUUGACGCAAGCAAUGUUAUUCAAUUAUUUUUGAACUCAUGGUGGCUCUGUAUCAUUUGCAAAAUAUUGUUAUAAGAGAGAGGGAUAUAAUUUAUGUUGGAAUAUUCUCAAAACAAAUGGCGUGCCUUAAAAGGUGUCUUAUUGUAAAAUACAUCUAACUAAAUAUUGUCAUAUACAAGAAAAAUGUAUCUUUUUUUUCUUUUAAAGAUGUAUCUAUUCAUGGUGCUGUAUUUUUUUUUGAAAUGAUGAUGGUUUAUCUUGGACCAGUGAUGAUUUAAUUUAAAUUUUAAUCCAAUAACCAUGGAUAGAGGGUGUCAUAAAAGGUAACAACCCAAAUGAAGGAGCGCAUGAUUAUCUAUAAAUAAAAGUCGCAACAUUUUCUAUAAAUAGAAGUUACGCCAUUUUUUGAUCCAUAUAUCUUCUUGCACCACUCUUUUUUUCUUUUUUAUUUUAAUCCCUCUUUCCUAAAACGAAUUUCUGCAUAAUAAAUCUAUAUUUUAUGCAUCAAAUCUCUAAUAUAUUAUUUUUUUUGUAGGAACAAUAUAUUAAUUUUUCGUAAGCUUACAACAUACAAGGGUAUUUAGGUUUGCUUUUAUUAGAGCAUAAUACAGGCAAAUAAAACAAGCACUUCAUUAUAUCAUGGAGACACAUUUGCUUCACUCAUAUAUGUCACUCAAUUGGAGGAGAGAGUAACUAACGUCUUGAGGAAAGCAACAUUGUGUCUUGCAGCACUGUCAAUUCUUAAAAUUUACUAUUAUUAUUAUGAUGAUUAUUAUUCUUUGUACCUAUAAAGUUUCAUCAAUUAUGUCUCCAAUUAGCCACAAUUAUUAUUCCCCAGGAAUAUAUUUCCAAUAUUUUAUUUCACAUAUUUACUUCUGCUACUAGUAUGAUAACAAAUAAUGCCUUUUUUAACUACAUCAGUUUCUAGAUCGAUUUUAUUGAUAACUAACCGAACGCACCAUCCAUUAUUUAAUUUAUGGGUCAAAUAAGUCUAGUAGUUGAAAUAGAAUGUUUGUUUGGUAGAUAAUUUCGAUUUUUAUAAUUGUUUAAAAGAUUUUCAAACAUAAGUACAAUAUUAUACAAUUGAAGCCUAGUCCAACAUAGAAAAUCAAAUAAAAUUAAUUUUCAUCACUACUCGAGAGAAUCAAAAGAGUACUAAGGUAGCAUUUUUUUUUUAAUCUAAAAUUUGAAUAGGCCUGAAUUUAGGUGAAGUCUUAACAUAAAUGUCUAAAUAAUAUGUUUAUUUUUUUAAUAUCUGAAAAUUAAGUGACAUCUUAUUUGUUUUUUUAUAAUUUUUAAAAAAUAAACAUGGUUAUUUGACAUUUUUGUUCUUAUAAGUCAAAAUGAAUAAAUGGAUUAGACAUUAUAAUUUAGGAAAUAACUAUAUAAUAGAAACAUCUUUAGGAUAGAGUAUUUACUUUCCAUUCAUAUAUGGUUAUGACUUAUGAGUACGAAAGCACAAAAGUCGUGUGUUGAAAGUAUGGUGUUCAUGUGGAAAUUUCAGCUAAAAGUCCACAAAGUAAUUUCAGUCAUCGUACAGUCCACUGUGCUUGGACAAUGAGAUGACAUUGAAAAAUUAUCACGGAACUUCAAGGGAGGUUCAUAGCAUCGAUUUAUUCUACAGAGUCACGCAAAUUGAUUCAAUAAUAGUUUUCAUGCCAUCAAAAUCUCUCGCUAAUUAAUCCAACUGUUUCUGUUAAUUAUGGCUUCUUCUUCUCGAAACAACAAGAAAUAUGAUGUUUUUGUUAGUUUCAGAGGAGAUGACACCCGUGACAACUUUACUAGUCAUCUCUAUUCGGCUCUUUCUCGACAAAAUAUCCAAACUUUCAUUGACGACCAAUUGAAUAGAGGAGAUGAAAUUUCAGAGUCACUUUUGAAUGCAAUUGAAGCAUCAGCCAUUUCAGUUAUCCUUUUCUCUGAAGGCUAUGCCUCUUCUAGAUCGUGUCUCGAUGAACUUGAGAAGAUCCUCGAGUGCAAGAGAGAGUAUGGACAGAUUAUGAUUCCGGUUUUCUAUCUGGUUGAUCCAUCAGACGUGAGAAACCAAACGGGGUCUUUUGGGAUUUCAUUUUCGAAGCUUGAAGAAAGAUUUAAGGAGGAUUCAGAGAAGCUGCAGACUUGGAGGAAUGCUUUGAAGGCAGCAGCCAGUCUGUCUGGCUUUCAUUCUCAGAUCAUCAGGUGAAAAGUUAUUUUUAAUUUCGCAUACUAAUAUUUAACACUGUAAAUAGAUUUCACGCAGCACUCUUUUAGUUACAUAACUACACUUUUUUUAGGCAUCAGAUUCUAGACUUCUUGAAUUUCCCCACUUUUGAGCCCAUAUAUUUUUGCAGAAUUAAUAACAAAAGCCCCAGAAGUUUACAAUAUAUUUAACAAAAUUAAUGGCAUUCUGUCUUUUUUUAAGCAAUUUCAAUCUCUCACUCAUAUACCAUUAUGAAAAAAAAAAAAAUCUCCCACAUAUAGAAUAUUCCUGUAAUUUAAGAGUUAUUAAUUUAUAGGGAGAUUGUAAAUUCCCUUACACAAAUUAAUAAAUACUACUUAUUCUGAUUAUUUUUAUAAAAUUUGAUAGCUCUCUUGGUACCAUCAUUUUACAAAAUUAUCUCUAUGAAAAAAAAAAUAAGUGGUAUAAAUUAAUUUCAAUAGAAAACUGGCAAUUUCCUUUUUUUCAUAGUUGCUGCAAAUCCCUCCUAUUUGAAGUUACUGGUGAUAAUUUUAUGUAUUUGCUAGGCCUGAAUCGGAACUUAUAAAGGAAGUUGUUAAUCACAUUUUGAAGAGACUGGAUGAAGUGUUAUAACAAAAACCACCUGGUUGGAGUGGAAUCAAAAGUUGAGGAAAUUGAAUCUCUGUUAGGUGUUGAGUCGAAAGAUGUUUACGCUUUAGGGAUUUGGGGCAUUGGUGGCAUAGGCAAUCGCCUUGUACACACCACCCUAAAUGAUUUUGUUAUUGAACUUUACAACCCAAAACACAUCUACUUAGGUGAGCAUGUGACUUAUAAACUAGUGAAAAAACCCACUUGCCAGCGGCAUGGAAUAUUACAGGACGCGCAACGAGUUCUUAUAGAGUAUGUUGUGGGCCCAUAUCUCAACCAAUGAAAACAUGCCACUCAUCCGAUUGUGCACUACAUCAACUCUCCUGUAUAUAACGCAAUCACAUUUGAAAACUUUCUACUUUGUUAAAUCUAAAUUGUUGUAUAUGGGAAAGUUUCAUCAUGUGGAAGCAAAAGCAAUAAAGAGGGAACAGUUAAACUCCAUCAAAUCUUAUAUAUUUUAAAAAACAUAUUUGUAUAUUGAUUUUUUUUUAAAAAAAGAACGUGAUAGGUGUCAUUUUCACCCAACUCAUUUUUGCUGUGAAUCAAUUUGCUUAAACAUCUAUUUUGGGGUGAAAAACAUCAUGAUCAGGCACACAUGAGCAAAAUGUGCUCCCCUCGGCCUAAAAUGACUCAUCGAGAAAGAUUAUCCCCGAUGAGGUGUGUGCUGGUCACAUGAGCAAAGUCGGCUCGAGGAAGUGCGAGAAGAGACUAGAAUUAAGUCAAAACGAAGACUUGGUUAAAGGUCAACCCAUGGGUUUCCUCCAAAGAAUUCGAGCAUGAAGCCCACUCACCAGUAGUUACGCUGCCUACUCUCCCACGAUUAUGUGACUAACCUAACAAUGGUGUUGGGGGAGAGAGGAGGCCCAUAAUUUUGGUUGGAUAUUAAAGCUUUAGAGAACGGAGGUAAGGGUUUGGAUAACUUUUUACUUAAUUUUCUCAUACUCUCUCUAUUCACAAUUUUAUCUUCUCUAUCUUUCUUGUUUUCUGAAAUUAAACCUUUUUUUCAUUCAGAGUAGCUGUAAUUAAGUCACGUGAAUCAUGUCACGAGUUUUUCCAAGUAGACCCAUAUCGCUCACUUGCGCGUCGGAGGGUUUACGCCGGAAAAACCUCAGCAUCUCCUAACUAGUUGUUAUAAACGUAGGUGUUCUUGGAGAAAGUACUCGAGGGCGCAGGAAUUUGUUCGAUAGUGAGGAAGUAGCAUAGAACCGUCUCCCUAUUAACAACAAAUUUAAGUUUUGGCGUGGUUGUCUGGUCGCUACAUAGCUUGACCAGAUUUCUAUAUCAACAAACAUGUAUCCACUCUUUCAAGUAUUUAUACCAAUUCCAUAUUUGAAAUGUUUCAUUUGAUUCCAUAGUUGACGUGGUAGCAUCUAUGGCUAGAAUUUACCUUUAAAAAAACUAGCUUGUAAGGAAAGGUUAAAGAUGCCCAUGAACCUUUAUUUCUACUUAGAUUAUUGUAUCUUUUUCAUUUGAAAAAUUGAAUCUUGUCAUUCACAUAUCAUUAACACGAGCAAUAUAGAUUAAUAAAUCAUUGUUCUUUAUUAUUGUGCCAAAUUUGACUUUUUAUUGAAAAAAUUGGUACAUUUCUUGAAUCAAUUUGGAGUUUCUACAACUUUUCAGGGAUCAGUUUCUCCUACAUUCUUUCGAUGUCAAAAGAUAUUCAAGCGGUUGAAUAAGAAUUGACAUAUGCAAUAUAAAUACAAGAGUUGUUUGCCAUUUUAAAUUGGGAAUAACAUAUAAUGCUCAUCAAAACUUGCUAAUGAGAAAGUAAAUUCCUCAGCACUUAAAUGUUCUAGCCAACCGAGAAAGCAUCUUUUCAUGGAUCUCCUUGGGUCUGUCGUCAUGGGGAUGAUGUCCCACUCCUUCCAAUACAAUUAACUUGCACAUUUGAGAGUUAAGAAGGUAGAAAUGAGGAGUAUUAACCAACAGGUCCAACAAAGAGGGUGAAUGGAUUCUCAACACCCCAUAAAACUAGUAUAGGUAUAGAGAUUGAUGGCAUCAAUUGCACUAGGUUUGGCCUUGGUAGGCCUAUCACAAUCGAAACAAAUGCAUUAAGCAUCUAUUCAUUAUCGGUGGGUUCUCGUAUGAUUUGCAGUUUUGAGGUCAAUUAUGAAUUCUAAGUAGCCGUUUUUGUAGGAGGUUAAAAUGGCACAUUAGUGGAGAAAUUAGGGCAUGUUCGGUAACAUUUAUGGGCCCUGUUUUCAUUUUCCUUUUAUGAAUCUAAGUUAAUGCGCGAUUGAUGGCCGAAAUUCAAAAAACAAAUUGUGAAACAAAUAAUUCAUAUCUUCUUUUAUAGUUAUAAAUUUGAGAACAUGUAUAACUUAUUCUCAAUGAAUUACAAAUAUAAAUUUGAGACUGUCUAUUUCUCUCGCCUAAAAUCUUAUCGCGAUCUUCCCAUUCACUCUCCCUUAUCACAGAUCUAAUCGCUCUUUUUCUCCAUCUUUGGUACAUGUUGCUAUUCUCUCUUCUUUACUGCUCUGGUCCUGCUGCUCUGUCUCUUUCACUACUGUUGCUCUUCCUCUGCGCUGCUGUUAUCUCUCUCCUGCUGCUGUUAAAUUUGUGAGUUCGCUCUUUGUUACUAUCAUCCUCACAACUGGCGGAAAUCAGAGAAUCCACUCUUUCGUAUGCUUAAAGUUCUUGGGAUUGAAAAUUUUCACCAAGUUAAAAAUGUGUAAUAAAGAUUUCUUCUUCGAAAAUGUUAUAACAUUCUUUUACAGUUUUACCUUUUUCACCUCUUCCUCUUUCAAUGUGAAAAAAAAUGUAAGUUAGUUUAAACUUUAGAGAAUUUUAGAUGAAAUCAUUCCACAUCCAAUUAGACUAUAUCUACUUGUUUGUCCAUUAACAUAAUUUUAAUUUAAUAUAUAAUUGUAAUUAUCCAAGCAGGGCUCUAAGAUGUCAAUGCCCCACCAAAAAGGGCAAAGGAAAAUGAAGAAAGAAGACAAAAGAGGAAGAAGAAAAAAAAUUGAGAGGAAAAUAUAUCAAGGGUAGGCACCAGAUGUUUGAAAAAGAAAAAGAUAAAUUCAAAGCUCAAAAGUUUGAAAACUUGAAAUUUGCAGCUGUAUUGGUUGAAGAUUAAAGCCACCUUUUUGACUUUAUUGGCCAUCAUUUUGCUAUAAAUAGAAGUGCAAAUGAAGAGCUGAAGCAUUCCAUCGAGAGAGAAGCAUUUCCUUCCUUUAGAGUUGAAAGUAUUAAAGAGUUUAAUAAACUCUUGAGUGAUUAGUGUUUUGAGAGUUUGGGUGUAUUAGGAUUUUGGGAAGUGAGCUAAAAUACUACAAUACUUGUAACUCUUUUUCACUAGUAAAAUAUUUCCUUCUGUCUUUGCCCGUGUACGUAGGCUAAAAGCCAAACCACGUAAUUUUUGGUGUCCUCUUUGUGCUUGUUCUUUAUUUUCUUCCAAUUUCAUUCUAGCUGCGUGUCUGCUUCACCCAUCAAUUUCCUAAUAGUGGUAUCAGAGCUAUUGGUUGAAUUUUUUGGAGUCGGGUACUGUUCACGUAAGGGGUACUAUUCACGUAUACGAUAAUAUUCACGUAUAUGAUACUAUUCACGUAUAUGAUACUAUUCACGUAUACGGUACUAGUCACGUGAAACGGUGGAAGCGAUCCAAGAAUUUUACGGUACAAAGCAGGGAAUAGUGGUGUGAGUAAAGCAACUGUGUGGUUUUGUACAUGUCUAGGAAAGUUCUGUCACAAAGGCGAUAAGAGCUUAAGGAGUCUAGGUUUUAAGUAGGGGUGGGCAAAAUCGGGUUCGGGUCGGGUUCGGUUCAACCCGAUCGGGUUUCGGGUUGUUCGGGUUAGACAAAAAUUAAUCCGAACUUAACCCGAAUUAGUGACCCGACCCGAUCCGACCCGAAUAUUAAGUUCGGGUUAGAUUUAAAUAAUUAAUAAUUUAGCACAAAUAACUAUUAAACUAUAUAUAUAUACCAUGAAAUAUUGAAUUUGAAAUUAUGAAACUUCAAAUCUCAAAAACGAGUUCGGGUCACAAAGCCACAACACAAAGUCACAAAGGAGAAAGCUCGGGUCGGGUCAGGUUGGGGGCUUCAGCCACGGCAGCAGAUGGCAGCAGCUCACGGCAGCAGCUCACGGCAGUAGAUCGCGGCAGCAGAUGGCAGCAGCAGAUGGCAGCAGCUCGCGGCACAGAUCGCGGCAGCAGAUGGCAGCCGAUUGCAGCAGCAGAUGGCAGCAGAUCGCGGCAGCAGAUCGCCUGUUGGGUGUCGGUUUCGGCAGCAGAUUUGGUUUCGGCAGAGUCAGACUUCAGGCCUUUGGUUUCGGCAGCACUCAUAGCAGAUUGGUUUUGUUCUGUGUGUUGUUUGUGUGUUUCACAGUGUGUGACUGUGUGUGAAUUGUUGUGAGCUGUGAGGUCCGUCUGCGUCUGGUGUGCAGUGUGCGUGUGUGUUGUAAAGUGUAAAGUGUAAUGGGUGAGUGAUUUUUUUUUUUGGGAAGACCCGAUCAGGUAUUCGGAUCGGGUCGGGUUUAAACCGACCCGAUCCCAACCCGAUCGGGUUGGCACUUCCUCAUCCGAUCGGGUUGCCAUAACAACCCGAUCCGACCCGAACCCGACCUUUUUUGGGUCGGAUCGGGUCGGGUUGGAUCGGGUUGGGUAUUUUGCCCACCCCUAGUUUUAAGUGGGACUAUUGUGACCCCUCUAGUCUUUCCUGGAAACUUUCCUGGUGUGCAUUCUCACACAUACUCACAACUAUUCAAGGUGGUACACUAACUUGUAUGCGGUAUUUAUCAACAAAAUGGCGGCAAAGUAUGAAAUUAAGAAGUUUAACGGAAAUAAUUUUUCGUUGUGGAAAAUGAAGAUAAAAGCUGUAUUGAGGAAAAAUAAUUGCUUGACAGCAAUUCGCGAAAGGCCCAUGGAGAUAAUUAAUGGCAAGUGGAACGAGAUAGAUGGCAACGCCAUUUCUGAUCUACACUUGGCACUUGUGGAUAGAGUAUUAUCCAGUGUGGCAGAGAAAAAUACAACGAAGGAAAUAUGAGAUACUCCUACAAAAUUGUACGAGGCCAAGUCACUACACAAGAAAAUCUUCUUGAAGAGGAGACUUUAUACUCUUCGAAUGGAGGAAUCUACAUCGGUAACAUAUCAGAUCAAUACCUUGAAGACUCUAUUUUCACAACUCACAACGUUGGGUCAUAAUAUAGAGGAAAAUGAACGUGCAGAACUUCUACUUCAAAGUCUACCAGAUUCGUAUGAUCAACUCAUCAUCAACCUGACGAAUAACAAUCUAGUGGAUAGUCUAGUUUUCGACGAUGUUGCAGCCUCCGUAUUAAAUGAGGAGAGUAAGCGGAAAAAUAAGGAAAACAAACAAGCAAGUUCGCAGCAAGCGGAGGCGCUAUCGGUAAUGAGAGGGAGAUCAACGGAACGUGGCCCCAGUAGGAGUCAAAAUCAUGGUAGAUCAAAAUCCAGAAGUAAGAAGAAUGUUAAAUGCUACAACUGUAGUAAGACGUCAAGAAAGAGUGUUGGAGUAACCAAAAGAGAAGAGAGGGCAAAGAACUUGAGUUAUCAAAUGCUCAGGGGUGUGUAGCAAGUACCUCAGAUGAUGGCAAAAUUCUCUACAGCGAGGCAACAACUGUUUCAGAAGGCAGAAAACGACCGUCUAAUGUUUGGCUUAUAGACUCAGGAGCUACCUGGCAUAUGACCUCUCGGAAAGAAUGGUUCCACUCAUAUGAGCCUAUCUCAGGAGGAUCUGUAUAUAUGGGAGAUGAUCAUGCUUUGGAGAUUACUAGUAUUGGUACUAUCAAAAUAAAAAUAUUUAAUGGUACAAUUCGUACAAUUGGGGAGGUAUGACAUGUCAACAGGCUGAAGAAAACUCUAUUGUCUUUUGGACAAAUGGAUAGUCAUGGGUAUAAAACUCAUGUGGAGAAUGGAAUUAUGAAGAUCGUUAAAGGUACGCUUGUAUUGAUGAAGGCAGAAAAGAUCGGUGCUAAUCUAUUCAUGUUUAAAGGAGAAACACUACAGGAGGCAGAUGCGUGUGUCGCAUCAAAUGGAGAAGAGUCAACGAUGAUGUGGCAUCUCAAACUUGGCCACAUGUCAGAAUAAGGUUUGAAGACUCUCUCUGAGCGAAAAUUGCUUCCGGGGCUCAAAUCGGUAAGUUUACCAUUUUGCAAGCAUUGUGUUACAAGUAAGCAUCAUAGAUUAAAAUUCAGUAGAUCUAUUGCUAGAAGUAAAUGCAUUCUAGACUUGAUUCAUUAUGAUGUUUGGGAAUCACUGGAUAUAUCCAUGGGAGGUGCAAAGUAUAUGGUGACUUUCAUUGAUGAUUAUUCCAGAAGAUGUUGGGUGUAUCCAAUUAAGAAAAAGUUAGAUGUAUUUCCAGUGUUUAAAAAAUACAAAGCUCGGGUGGAACUUGAAUCUGGUAAAAUGAUCAAGUGCUUGAGGACAGAUAAUGGUGGAGAAUAUAUAGACGGUGAGUUUCUUGCUUUUUGUAAGCAAGAAGGUAUUCAGAGGCAAUUCAUGGUGGCAUACACUCCUCAACAAAAUGGAGUGGCAGAGCGGAUGAAUAGAACUCUUACAGAACGGAUAAGAGUUAUGUUGAGGACUGUUAGUCUACCCAAUUCAUUCUGGGCAGAAGCAGCCAAAACUGCUUGUUAUAUAGUAAAUUGAUCACCAUCUAUAGCUAUUAGGUUGAAGACAGCGAUGAAGAUGUGGACUGGAAAGGCAGCUGAUUAUUCCUACCUACAUGCAUUUGGAUGUCCUGUGUACGUGAUGUACAAUGCCCAAGAAAGAACAAAGCUGGAUCCAAAAUCUAGAAGAUGUAUCUUCUUGGGGUAUGCUGAUGAAGUAAAGGGGUAUCGUCUGUGGGACCCCACUGCCCACAAGAUCGUCAUCAGCAGAGAUGUUAUCUUUGUAGAAGAUCAACUGCAAAUGAGAGACGAGGAUGAUAGCACUGUAAAAGAAAAGUCAGAGAUUGUGCCGGUAUAUGUGGAAAAUAAUCCAGAAGAUUCAGAUUCUUCUGAAGCAGCACCAGAACACGAAGAACAGGAACUAGUCGAGUCUGAGGCUCCAGAAGUUUGUCGGUCAACUCGUGAGAGACGACCGCCAACGUGGCGCUCGGAGUAUGUUAUAAAGAUCAAUGUUGCGUACUAUCUUCUAACUGAGGAUGGAGAGCCAUCAACUUUCCAUGAAGCUUUAAACAGCUCAGAUGUUACUUUAUGGAUGACAGCAAUGCAGGAAGAAAUUGAAACUCUACACAAGAACAAGACAUGAGAACUUGUACCACUACCACACGGAAGAAAAGCCAUUGGUAACAAAUGGGUCUAUAAGAUCAAACGUGAUGGCAAUAACUAAGUGGAGCGAUAUCGUACAAGACUGGUGGUGAAAGGAUAUGCUCAGAAAGAAGGUAUUGACUUCAAUGAGAUAUUUUCUCUGGUAGUUCGACUCACAACAAUCAGAAUUGUCUUGGCAAUGUGUGCUACAUUUGACCUACAUCUAGAGCAGUUAGAUGUGAAAACUGCAUUUCUUCAUGGAGAGCUUGAAGGGGAAAUUUAUAUGCUUCAACCAGAAGGUUUUGCAGAAACAGGAAAUGAGAACUUAGUUUGCAGAUUGAACAAAUCUCUAUACGGUCUCAAACAGGCGCCGAUGUGUUGGUAUAAGAGAUUUGAUUCCUUCAUCAUGAGCCUUGGAUACAACAGACUUAGUUCAGACCAUUGUACAUAUUACAAAAGGUUUGAAGAUAAUGAUUUCAUUUUUUUGCUGUUGUAUGUGGAUGAUAUGUUUGUAGCAGGCCCCAACAAAGAUCGAAUCCAAGAAUUAAAGGCACAGUUGGCUAGGGAGUUUGAAAUGAAGGACUUGGGAUAGUAAACAAGAUUCUAGGGAUGCAAAUUCAUCGAGACAGAAAUAACAAGAAGAUUUGGGUUUCUCAGAAGAACUACUUGAAGAAAAUCUUGUGGCGCUUCAACAUGCAAGAUUGUAAGUCAAUUUCUACCCCACUUCCUGUUAAUUUCAAAUUAUCCUCAAGUAUGUGUCAUAGCAAUGAAGCAGAGAUGAAUGAAAUGUCUCGAGUACCGUAUGCAUCAGCAAUGAGAAGUUUGAUGUUCGUUAUGAUAUGUACUAGACCGGACAUUGCACAAGCAGUGGGAGCAGUCAGUCGAUACAUGGCGAAUCCCGGUGGAGAGCAUUGGAUAGUUGUAAAGAGGAUUCUGAGAUACAUCAGAGGAACAUCAGAUGUUGCAUUAUGUUAUGGAGGAUCAGAGUUUACUGUCAGGGGCUAUGUAGAUUCAGAUUUUGCAGGAGACCUUGAUAAAAGGAAAUCCACUACUGGCUAUGUGUUUACACUUGUAGGAGGAGCUGUAAGCUGGGUUUCAAAACUGCAAACUGUUGUGGCCCUAUCUACAACAGAAGCAGAAUACAUGGCAACUAUACAAGCUUGCAAGGAAGUUAUUUGGAUACAAAGAUUAUUGGAGGAACUCGAGCACAAACAACAGAAAAUUCUUGUGUUUUGUGACAGUCAGAGUGCCUUGCACAUUGCAAGGAAUCCAGCCUUUCACUCUAGGACAAAGCACAUAGGAGUUCAGUAUCACUUCGUUCGAGAAGUAGUGGAAGACGGAAGUGUGGAUUUACAGAAAAUCCAUAUGAAGGAGAACCUAACAGAUGUUUUGACCAAGCCAAUCAAUACUGACAAGUUUUUCUGGAGUAGAUCCUCUUGUGGCCUAGCAGAAACAUAGGCAACAUAAUUAUGGCGAAGCAGAAAGGAUGAUGUGGAGAUUGAUUGAUUCCCAAUCUAAUCUCCAAGUGGGAGAAUGUCAAUGCCCCACCAAAAAGGGCAAAGGAAAAUGAAGAAAGAAGACAAAAGAGGAAGAAGAAAAAAAAUUGAGAGGAAAAGAUAUCAAGGGUAGGCACCAAAUGUUUGAAAAAGAAAAAGAAAAAUUCAAAGCUCAAAAUUUCAAAGUUUGAAAACUUGAAAUUUGCAGCUGUAUUGCUUGAAGAUUAAAGCCACCUUUUUUACUUUCUUGGCCAUCAUUUUGCUAUAAAUAGAAGUCCAAAUGAAGAGCUGAAGCAUUCCAUCGAGAGAGAAGCAUUUCCUUCCUUUAGAGUUGAAAGUAUUAAAGAGUUUAAUAAACUCUUGAGUGAUUAGUGUUCUGAGAGUUUGGGUGUAUUGGGAUUUUGGGAAGUGAGCUAAAAUACUACAAUACUUGUAACUCCUUUUCACUAGUAAAAUAUUUCCUUCUGUCUUCACCCGUGGACGUAGGCUAAAAGCCGAACCACGUAAUUUCUGGUGUCCUCUUUGUGCUUGUUCUUUAUUUUUUUCCAAUUUCAUUUUAGCUGCGUGUCUGCUUCACCCAUCAAUUUCCUAACCUAAGAGGUAUAUAUAGGGGUGCUAAUAGUCCCACUCUUUCCACAAUUAUCAUUACCCUUGAAUAUUUCUCCAACAUUUUAUUUCAUAUUUGACUUUUGCUACUAAUACCAUAACAAAAGACGCUUUUUGAACUACAUCAGUUUCUAGUUGCAUUUUAUUGAUAAAUUAGCCAAACGCACCAUCAGUUAUUUAAUUUAUGGUUGAAAUAGUUCAUGAGCAGUUGAAAUAAUUUUUUUUUGGGUAGAUAAUCUCAAUUUUAAAAUAGUUUAAAAGAUUUUCAAACAUAAGAUACAAUAGUAUACAACUGAUGCCUAAUCCAGUAUAGAAAAUCAAAUAAAAUUUAUUUUCUUCACUGAUGUUGAGGUAGCAUUUAUUUUUUCAUCUAAAAUCUGAAUAAGUUUAAAUUUGUCUAGAGUCUGCAUGGAUCUGAAUAUAAAUGUCUAAAUAACAUGUUUAUUUUUUAAAUAUCUAUAAAGGAAGUGGCAUCUUAUUUGUUUUUAUAAUAAAAAACAUGUUAAACAAUGUUAUUUGACAUUUAUAUCCUUAUAAAUCAAAACGAACAAGGGGAUUAUAUUUUACAAUUUAGGAAAUAACUAUAUUUAAUAAAGAUAAUUUUGGGAUAUAGUAUUUACUUUCUAUUGUGACAUUUUCAUAUAUUAGAUAAAAGUUACAAAAGUUUAUUUUUAAAAAAUAGACUUCACACAUUUAACAAACAACCCGAAUGAAUAUGAAUAAGAAUUAUUAAAGCAAAAAUGAUAAAUAAGGAUAAUUUUAAAAUUAAAUGCAAUUAAUUGAGAGAUUAUGACUGAUAAGAAAAAUUGGGGGGCAAAAAUUAAAAUAUCAACCUACUACUCAUGGUUGAUAGUCAUGACCCACUCAAUUUGAGAAUUAAAAGCACAAAAGCCAUGUGCUGAAAACUAUGGUGUUCAUGGGGAAAUUUCAGCUAAAAGUCUAAAAAGCAGUGAAAUUAUCUUACUCACGAAAACUUCCAAGGAGGAGUGCCAAUAGUCUUACUCAUAAUGCCGUGUCUAACUCAUAACAUACAGUAGGAGUUCUACGAAAGUAACGGAAGAGUGCCAAAAGUCUUAACUCUCAUAACGCCGUGUCUAUAAUUUCAAUUGAAAAAAUCUGCCAAGUCGAAAAAUUAGGUGGGCAUUUCAAUAACCCUUGAAUAUUCCAUGAAUCAUUGUCCAGGAAGCUUGGAAAAUGAGAUAUCAGGUCAAUAUAUGCAGCAGAGUCACACUCAUUUUGGCUUUUUAAUUGUUUUCAUCUGAUCACAAUCUCUCUCUAAUCAAUUCAACUGCUUCUGUUGAUUAUGGCUUCUUUUUCUCGAAACAACAAGAAGUAUGAUGUUUUUGUUAGUUUCAGAGGAGAAGACACCCGCGACAACUUUACUAGCCAUCUCUAUUCAGCCCUGUCUCGAAAAAAUAUAUCCAAACUUUCAUUGAUGACCAGCUCAACAGAGGAGAUGAAAUUUCACGGUCUCUUGUGAACGAAUUGAAGCAUCAGCCAUUUCAGUUAUCAUUUUCUCUGAAUCAUACGCCUCUUCCAGAUGGUGUCUUGAUGAACUUGCGGAGAUCCUCGAGUGCAAGAAGGAGUACGCACAGAUUGUGUUACCGGUUUUCUAUCGCGUCGAUCCAUCAGACGUGAGAAACCAAACAGGGAGUUUUGGGGAUUCAUUUUCAAAGCUUGAAGAAAGAUUUGAGCAAAAUUCAGAGAAGCUGCAGACUUGGAGGAAGGGAUUGAGAGAAGCGGGCGGUUUGUCUGGAUUUCAUUAUCGUAGCAUCAGGCGAAAAGUUACUUUUAAUUUCUCAUGCUACUAUUUAACACUGUAAAUAAAAUUCACGCAGCACUAUUAGUUAAAUUUCCGGAUGCUUAACUACAAUUUUAAAUUUUCUUAGGUAUCAAAUUCUAGGCUUCUUGACUUCCCCACUUUUGAACCCCGAUAAUUAUGAAAGAAUUUUGAUAGAAUUAAAAGUAAAAGCCCGAGAAUUUUACUAUACAUUUAACAAAAUUAAUGGUGGUCUGUCGUUUUUUAAGCAAUUUCAAUCUCUCACAUACCUCCAUCAGAAAAAAAAAAAAAAAAAAACUCACACAUAUUCCUGUAAGUUAAGAAUUAUUAAUUUAUAGGGAGAUUGUAGUGGUAUAUAUUAAUUUCAAUUGGAAAACUAGCAAUCUCCCUUAUUUCAUAUUUGAUGCAAAUCUCUCCUAUUUGAAGUCACUGCUGCUAAUAUUAUGUACUUGGUAGGCCUGAAUCAGGACUUAUAAACGAAGUUGCAAGAUAACAAAAACCAGCUGGUUGGCGUUGAAUCAAUAGUUGAGGAAAUUGAAUCUCUACUAGCUGUUGAGUCGAAAGAUGUUUAUUGUUUAGGGAUUUGGGGCAUUGGUGGUAUAGGCAAAACAACAAUCGCUAGAGCAAUUUUCGACAAAAUCUCUAGUGAUUUCGAAGGUUCUUGCUUCCUUGAAAAUGUUAUAGAAGAGUCACAAGACCGGGAGGGUUAGCUUGCCUGCGACAAAAACUUAUUUCAAAUUUAUUGAAGGAUAAAACUGUGAUUCCUGAUAUUGACCCCAAUUUUAGAAGGGUCAGCCGCAUGAAAGUUCUGAUUGUUUUUGAUGAUGUGUCUUGCUUCAGCCAAUUAGAAUCCUUAAUCGAAAGUCUUGAUUGGUUGACGCCUGUGUGUAGAAUCAUAACCACCAGAAAUAAACAAGUGCUUAGAAAUUGGGGGGUGAGGAAAAUAUAUGAGAGGGAGGCAUUAGAAUAUCAUCACGCUCUUGAGCUUUUUAUUCGACAUGCCUUCAAACAAAACCAUCCUGAUGUUGGUUACUAGGAACUUUCAAGCAAGGCAGUGAAAUAUGCUCAAGGUGUUCCUUUAGCUCUUAAAGUUUUGGGUUGCUUUCUAUAUAAAAUGGAAAAAGAAGUCUGGGAUAGUGCAAUAAAUAAAUUGCAAAGAAUCCUCCAUCCAAGUAUCCUGCAGGUAUUAAAAAUAAGUUACGAUGGUUUGGACGAUAAGGAGAAAAAUAUUUUCAUUGAUGUUGCUUGUUUCUUUCAAGGUGAGGAUGUAAAUCCAGUAAUGAAAUUCCUUAAUGCAAGUGGCUUCUACCCAGAAAUAGGAAUAAGUGUUCUCGUUGAUAAGUCUCUUAUUGUCAUAUCAAAUAACAACAAGAUAACUAUGCAUGAUUUGCUACAAGAAUUGGGUAGGGAUAUUGUUAGUCAAGAAUCAAUUGAUCCUGGAAACCGCAGUCGGCUAUGGCAUCAUGAGGAUAUCUACAAAGUUCUUACGUAUAAUACGGUAAGCAAUUUGCUGUGGGUUAUUACUUUGGAAUAUUCUAGCAUUUACAAACUUGAUAUGGAUAUAUUUAUAUACUCUCGAAUUGAUGAAUCUAGAAUUAAUAGCAGAGUGACAAUGAUUAGAAAAAACAAUAGUGGUUAUAAAUCCCGCGACAACUUGUAUAAUUCUUUGUAAGAAUAGUUUAUUUGUCAAUUUGUAUUGUAUUCCACAUGCGUAAAUUUCAUGUUUAGUAUUACUUGUAUUGCUAUGUUCCUUUGUGCGUUUGCAAUUAAGAGUUUCACUGCCUAGCAAUAACUAUAUAAACAUGAAUUACUGAAAUUUGAUUCGAGCAAUGAUAAAGAACUCCACUCCAAUCCAACCUUAAUUCCACACAAGAGUAAAAAAAAAGUUGAAUUAAUAACUAAGUUACCCCUAGUUGUGAAUCAAUGCCAAACAUGGCCUAAAAAUUUGUCUUGGUGGGGUUGAGGUGCAAUUCAUUGGUGGGAUGUAAAUAUCAUUUUUAAUUUUUUUAUGCAUUAUUAAGGGACCGAUAAAGUUGAGGGCAUCUGUUUGAAUAUGUCCAAAGUGAAAGAGAUCCAUCUAAAUGCCAAUACAUUCACAAAGAUGCGGAAAUUGAGAUUUUGAAAAUUCUAUAGCUCAUCAUUCAACGGAGAGAACAAAUGUAAGGUGUCUUAUUUGGAAGACCCUAGAUUUACUGAAGUGAAGUAUCUCCACUGGCAUGGAUAUCCAUUGAAGUCAAUGCCUUCAAACAUUUGUGUAGAGAAGCUUGUGUUUCUUGAAGUGCCUAAUAGCAGCAUUGAACAACUUUGGGAUGGUAUGAAGGUAGGUAUAACUUAAUACUUUAUGUGUGCAAUCUUUCAAUAAUAACGUUAAGUUAUCAUACGUGGUACUGAUUCCUCUUGACCUCUUUUUUGACCAAGCAGCAUCGUGGUAAGUUAAACCAGAUAAUCCAUGCUACCUGCAAGAUGCUAAUUGCCAAAACUCCAUACCCCGCGUUGAUUCCACAUCUAAACAAGCUAGUUAUCUUGAAUCUAAGAGGUAGCAAAAGCCUGAAAAGUUUUCCAGCUGAAAUAUUUAAUUUGGAAUUUCUUACCCCACUUGAUCUUUCGGGGUGCUCAAAACUUAAGAGGCUUCCAGAGAUCUCAUCUAGUAAUAUAAGCUGCCUUUUUUUUAAGUGGAACUGCAAUUGAAGAACUGCCUUCAUCAAUUGAGCUUCUACUUAGGCUGGGGUACUUGGACCUUUCAGACUGUAAAAGGCUUAAGAGUCUCCCAAGCAGCCUAUGUAAGUUGAAAUCUCUUGAAAUUCUUGAUCUCAGUGGUCGCUCAAAUCUUCAGAGAUUGCCCGAAUGUCUUGGCCAGUUGGCCUCUCUAGGAACAUUGCUCCUAGAGAAAACCAAUAUUGAGAGAAUACCAGAAAGCAUCAUCCAAAUUUCUGUGUUGACUUACCUCCACUUAAGCUAUUGUGAGAGGCUUCAAUCCUUACCAAAGCUUCCAUCCCCUUACAAUGGUUAGAUGCCGAUAAUUGCACAUUGCUGCAAUCAUUAUCAGGUUUAUUCCCAAGUUCUGAAUUUUUUAUAUAAGCAGUGUUUUCUGACUAGAGCAAUAAUUUUAAAUCGGAUGGUAAUUCUACUGCAGGAAUUGUUGAGGAUGCCCUGCAGAGAAUUCAGCUUAUGGCAGCUGCCCAUUGGAAAGAAGGACAGGAAAAGGUGUGUUUUUAACUCUCUUCUUUCAAUAUAUAUAUAUAUAUAUAUAUAUAUAUUUGAGUUAUGAUUUUUUUUUUUUUAACGGAUUGAUUUUCACAUGAACGGAGGUCAUAUCUUACUACUCGGGAAUGAAAUUCCGAAGUGGUUUGAGUUUCAAAGUGUGGGAUCUUUUAUAACCUUGGAGAUGCCACCAGAUUCCUUCAAUAAUAACCGAGUAUUACUGGGCUUUGCAUUUAAUGCUAUUGUAGCAUUUUCAGACCGUCAUGUAGAUAAUGACAGAUGGUUUUCAUUUUCUUGUGAAUUCAAAGUGAAAACCGAAGAUUGUGAUCCGCAAGUCACACGAAGAUUUCUAAAGCGCCUUGCUUACGUAGAAUCAGAUCACUUACUUUUGAGGUGCGAUUUUUUCACUGAGGAGGAUUUCAAUGGUUUUUUGAAAAUAUAAGGUGUGUUUGGAAGUGAGGUGCUGUACCUUUUAAAGUGCAGUUGCUGUGGAAUAAAAGAUACAGCUGUGAAAGAAAAGUUUCAGAAAAAAAAAUUGACUAAGCUACCAAAGCUCAGGUACAAGUGUUACCAAACACUUUAGUAGCUGGGUUUUGACAGUUCAGCUACCUCACCACACUCCCAAACGGGCUAAUAAUUGCGUUCCUGAGGUAGUCGGCUUCUUUUUUGAUGAUUUUGAUCAUUUUCCACCUUUGGAGUGCGAGUGCCACGGGGUGAAAAAAUGUGGGGUCCAUUUACUUUACAUCCCAGAUUCUUCGGAUUCAAUGGAAGUUCCAAGCAGAUGUUUCAACUGUUACGAAGAAGACUAAGAUUUUCAAGAAUGUAAUUUUAUUUUUUCUCUUUUGCUAAUCACUAUUAAUAAUAGGAGAAAAAGCCAAGAUCAGUCUCGGAACAAAACAUGCAUGUAAUAACUUUCGAGGGACGUGGUGCAUGUAAUACAAAUUCACACUAGAGUAUUGGACUAUACCCUUAUUAGAUGAAGGGUAUAAAUUACCGGCCUUCUUUUCCUGCAGAUUUAAUCCCUUUUUUUCCCUUUUUUAUUUUUCAAAUGCCAGUGUUUUAUUCAUGAUAUUUAUGAAUUUUUAUCCAUGAUUUUUUAAUUUUAAUUUUAUUGAUUGAAUGAAGUUUCCUAGACACAUGCCCUCAAGCCUUAAGCGAAUGUAUAUAUUGCAAUAAGGCGUACAUAGGAAUUUUGAUCAGGUGCAUAUAAGAAUUUUGAUUAGGUGCGCGGCAGGACAUGCAACGAUUUCUUAUUAGCGCAGCUGUGUUGUGGGCCCCACAGCUCUGCCUACCACACCACUUGCGCACUAUAUCAACCCUCGUGUGUAUAACAGUCACAUUUGAAAAUUUUCUACUUUCGUAAAUCUGAAAACUUUCCAUCAUGUGGAAGCAAAAGCCAUAGAGAGGCGACAGCGAAAACACCAUCAAAUCUUAUAUAUUUUAAAAAAUAUAUUUGUAUAUUGAUUGAAAAAAGAAUAGGAUAGGUGUCAUUUUCACUCAACUCAUUUGUGCUGUGAAUCCAUUCGCUUAAACAUGUAUGCACUUUCUCAAGUGCCUAUACCAAUUCCAUGUUUGGAGUGGUGCAUUUGAUUCCAUAGUUGAUGUGGUAUCGUCUAUGGCUAUAAUUUAUAUCCACAAAACUGACUUGUAAGGAAAGGAUUGAAGAUGCCUGUGAACUUAUAUUUCUAUUUAGAUUAUUGUAUCUUUUUCAUGUAUAAAAUUGGAUCUUAUCAUUCUCAUAUCAUUAACAUUAGUGGAGAAUGUUAAUACCUCAACCAGUGUUUCAUCCACAGAUUUCUUAUUUGCAAAGAUGGACAGUAAAAUGUUCCUCAGUGUUUCCCUGCAGCACCAAUAUAUACACAUCAUAGAGUUUUUUAAUUUUUGACUCUAGUGUUUUAGGAUAACGAAAAAUGGACUGAAUAGAGAGAAGAGAAAAUACCUUCGUUUCACAUCUUCAAAGAUUGCAUCUGCAAUUGGCCUUUGCUUCAACAAAGGAUCAAUCAACCAAAGCAAUGGAAACAAUAGCUUGAUUCUCCAAUCGUCAACAAUGCCUUGUAGUUUAUGCCGCCAGCAUAAUUCAACAGAACAAGCCCUCUAACAAGUAUUUGUAUGUAAGUACGAUCAUUCAUUCUCAAUCAACCACCAAACUGAUGUCAACAAAGCCAUGAAGAUUGUCUCACAAGUCUUUCAUUUUCCCUCUCUUUUGGCCGAAGACCAGUAAACCAUUUGAAAUAUGGAUGUGCAAACCAGUAAAUAAAUCAUGAAGUUACACACUAGUCUGCUUUCGCACUCAUUCAGAACUAUCAAUGAUACUUACUGCAGGUACAGUGUAUACAUUAUACUAAAGUGAAGGCUGGAUCAAUAAGAAAUUCAAAAUGUUUCAUCACAUUUGGGGCUUGAUGAUGCCAAAGAAAGACCAUACCAAUUAUGACGAACAGUAAAAUGUGAACAAGAACAAGCAUACAUUUAAGAAAGCAUAGAAGCAUCAUUAAAAUAAAGCAUUCUUCUCACUAUUCUAUGUUGUUGGAAAUGGACCAAAAUAAAAAAGAAACCAUAUAUGGAACGUCACAACAAGAAUAUUUGUGCAUUUGUACAUUAUAGGAUAUUGGGAAGACAUCAGCAGAAAAGUGCAAUUUUUUUUUUUUUUUUUUGGGGAAAGGAACAGAGAAGUGCAAGUCAAAAAGGAGAAAAAACGGAAACAGAGAGAUGAAAAGGAAUGCAAUCUAAUUAAUCGUCUAAGGAGGCUACUAUGCUACAUUUAGCCAUUGGUUGAAUAGGCAGCCUGUCUUCUAGUACAACUUUAAAUUUACCAAGAUUGAGAAUUUUCCUUCUGAAGAAAAGUAAUUUCUGUAGCAGCUCCAUACUAAGGAAAGAGUGAAAUAGGUGUGCUUUACUUAUAGAAGCCCGUUCCUGUCCAGAGUGAUUAGUAAGUUGUUUCACCAUGACCCCCGUUAUGGUGACUGGAAAAAGAAAAAAAAAUAUUUGCCCAACACAGAAGUAGCACCCAAAGAGUCCUACUUAAGAGGCUUCAUACCCUGCACAAAUUGGAAAGUUUUGAAAAUUUUCAUGUUCCAAAUGAAGAUUGCCCAUUAAAAAAUUACACACAUAAUGUAUGUAAAGCAAUUAAAACAGAAAAACAAGGUUAACCCAGAAACAAUCCAACCAUCAAUAACAUAAAACUUUUGUAAUUCUGGUAAAGUGAAUGAGAAGCAGAACAUACAUUUCACUUAAUAAUGAAGAUACAUCUUUUAAUCAGUUUUUGCUCUUGCUUUAUUCUUGUACUUCCUUCCAAUAACAAUUCAUAAUGCAGGUAGGUAUCUUAAAAAGUUAUAUCAUACAUUUCUCUUAUCAAUGGAGCAGGUUGCUAUUAAACAUUAUUCAUAAACAAAGAGCCAAAUAUGCUUUAAAGCUACUUGCAAAUAUGCCAUCAGGCAUUGACGCAGACACUCAACAACAAAAAACAGACUUAUCGGCACUUAACAACACAAAAGUAAAAAAGAAAAUACUCUUACUCAAGCAUUAUAUUUGUUGCACAAAUAAGAAAGAAGAUAACAAUUUUAAAUUAACCAACAGGUUGAGACUUAUCGUAAUACACACUAUCAGCUAUGAAUUAGCAUACCUUAGAAGUCCUCAACUCAUUCACCGCUAUUCGAAGAGAAUCAUCCGAUAGAAUCAACCGUGACAACACUCCAGUGCUUAACCUGCAACAUUUAUAAAAGAUCACCAUAUGAGAGAAAUUUUAAAUUUAAAAAAAUUUGGAAACCUAACCGCCAAUCAAACACAUUAAAUAUAGCAAUUUCUCUUUUUAAGGUUCAAUUAUCACUUGAUAGAGUAUUAAGCUUAAUGCAAUACCCCAAUAAUUUUGCUGCUUCUGAUACAGAUCCCUCGACUGCGAAAAUUAGAUCAAGCAGAGCUUGCAUUCCCUGUAGUUAACCAAAAAAAAAAAAAAUUACUAUGACUUAAAUUUUAAUAGAAAACAAAAAACGAAGCAAGAGUGAAUAGAGUAAUACCAAAGCAAAUUUAGGAUUGUUAGGUCCAAUUUGUGGACCAACUUCUGAACUUCUAAUAGUAGACUUAGGAGGAAGAAUUUGAAGAAGCUGUGGCGGCGGCGAAUACGCAUCAAGAUUCACACUGCUCCUCACUUUGAGGGCCAAAAGAGUGCGGAGGCGCGACAAAGCUGACGCGCGAUUCUUGUGCUGCGAUCGGUCUUCGGCGGCCUGCGCUAUGACGCCGGUCGGUACGUGCUUGAGACGUAGGCGGAUUCGCGCUUGUUGCGGUGCUGACCGCCUGGUCCCGACGAUUUGUACGUGUCCAUUUAGCAUUCGCGAAACAGCUCAUCGUCCGUCAAUUCUAAGUAAUUCUUCUUCUUCGAAGAAGAAGUUGAAGAACAAUUGCCAUUGGUGCUGUAAUUGCAAGACAAGAACAAUGGCUGAUAAUUCCCGCAAUGCUUGUACGACGGAAAGUUUAUAUUUUUCCUUCCGAGUUGGGGAAUCCGAAGCAGGAAUUGAGCGGCCAACGCCAUCGUUAAUUUCAAUUUCCCUCUGUGUGUAUGUGAUAAUCAAAGCAAAGCUUCGAACUGGUAACACAUUCUUAUAACAGGCCCAGCCCAAUCAGCCCAAUCCAGCCCAGUCGAGCAAGUGGCCAAUGUUAUUAUUUUAUUAUUUUUUAAUUCUCGGUGGCUCUGUAAUAUUUGCAAAAUACUCUUCUUCUAAGGGUGUGUUUCAUUGGAGGAUUAACAGUGAGGAUUGAAUUUUUUUUUUUUAAAAAAUUUAUCCUAGUCUCAUGUUUGGUGUUGUUAGGACUAUAAGGAUUUAGUUAUUUUGUACCCACAAGCUAAUCUCAAUUUUGUAAAAAAAAUUAUCUCAAAAGGGGCCAUGGGAUUAGUUAGUAUUGUAUUAUAUUGAUAACUCAAUUAAAUAUAAUAAUUUAUAAAUCUUAAAAUUAUAGUAAUGUCUGAUGACUAUAAUAAAAAAUAUUGAUUUUAAUAAUGUAAAUAAUAAAUUAUACUAAAAAUCAUUAUUAAUUUUCAUAUUAAAUUAAAAUUCUAUUUUAAUUUAUUUAAUUAUUAAAUAUUUUUAUAAUUUUAUAUUUACAUAUUAAAUCAAUAUUUAAAAAUAUAAUUUUUUAUAAAAUAGUAGAUUAUAGAAUAAAAAUAAUAAAGUUAUCAUAAAUAUAUUUAACAAAAUAAAAAUUAUUUAAAUAUUUUAUUUAUAUUUCAUUAAUAUCAUUGAGGUUGAUUUGUAUAAUUAAUAAAUCAAAAUUUUAGUUUAUAAUAAUAAUAACUUGUAAAUUGUAAUAUCAUAAUAUAAGUCAUGAUUAUUUAUACUCCAAUCCAAUAUUGCACUAAACACAACAUAGUAUUAUAUAUAAUCUGAUAUUAUCCAAUUUAAUCUGAUCCCAUCUAAUCCGAUCCAAUCUAAUCUAAUCCAAUCCAGCAUACCAAAUGAGCUCUUAUAAGGGAGAGAGAUAUAUUUUAUGCUAGAAUGUUUUCAAAAUAAAUGGCACUUUAAAAAGGUGUCUGACCAUAAAGAUAUGUUUAAUUAAACAGUGUUAUAUAUAAUAAAAACAUAUCCUUUUAUUUAAAGAUGUAUCCAUUCACAGUUUUAUACUUCAAUUUGAAAUGAUGAUAGUUUAUUUUGGAUCAGUGAUGAUCUAGUUCAAAUUUUGAUUUAAUAACCAUGAAUGAAAGAGUAUUAUGAAAGAUAACAAUCGAAAUAAAAGAGCACGUGAUUAUCUAUAAAUAGAAGUCACGACCAUUUUGUGAUCCAUCUAAUCUUCCCACGAUACUCUUUUUUCACCAGGAAAGCGACAUUUAAAAUAUGCCUCUGUCAAUUCUUUUUGUUUUAUUCUUCUUCUCAUUCUUCUCAUUCUUCCCCAUAUUUCAAUUAAAAUAAGAAUGAAGCUAUUGGCACCCCUUCAUUAUUCUUAUAAAACCCUAUUUCAAAAAAAGGAAAUUACAGUUAAAGACAAAAAAAGAAACAAACACAUGGGAUUUUUUCCCCCAACAAAUUACUUACAUUCAUAAUCAAUCUUUUUUUUAAUUUCCUACCUAUUAUUUCUUAUCUAACUAAAAUAAGUUAUAUAAAUUUAGAAUAGUCUAUUUUUCUUUUCCUAUAUCUUAUUGAUUAAAUAUUUUUGUACUUAAGAUUACUUUCAAACUACAAUCUAAAAUAUGUAUUAUUUGAGCUAAUGAUUAGCAUUCAAAAUUUAUCACCUAAAAAACUUUUUAGUUUGUAUGUAGGAUAACAAUAAGAUUGUAAAAGAAAUAAAAAACAGCUAAUAAGAAAAGAUUAAAUGAAAAACUAAAAGAGUGUCUUUAAAAAUAAAAGGAGAUUUUUGUGAAAUAAAAUAAAUGUAACCGAAAAAGGAGUUUCAUGAGGAGACUAGAAGAAUGCCAAUAGUCUAGCUCUUAAAAUAAAGGUUUAUCAAUUAUUGCUCCUUUUUUUCCACAAUUAUUAUUCCCCAUGAAUAUUUCUCCAACAUUUUAUUUCAUAUCUUUACUUCUACUAUACUCUAACAAAAGACGCCUUUUUGGACUACACCAGUCUUCACAUGCAUUUUAUUAAUAAAUUAAAUGAAGGCCCCAUCCAUUGUUCAAUUUCUCUAUUUUUUUAAUAAAUAACCACAUUCUUUUAGCUCUCUAAAAAUUUAUUAAGGAAUAUGUUGUGUAAAUAUAAAAAUAUAUAUUUUACACUUUGAAAUUUAAAAUGACCUUUUAGCAUAAAAAUUUAAAACAAAUAUCUCUAACUAAAGAAGAAAUUUUAGAAUACAUCAAAAGUAUUCAAUAAGCGAAUCAUGCUACGACAUAUGUGCACUUAUUUUAAAAAACCAUCAUACAAAUAGUGAUUAUAUUGAAUCUAAAUAUGUACAUAUCAUAUAUGACACAACCCACCCCGACCCUUCUGCUAUAUCUGAAUUGAAUCAUGCAAUCUUAAAUCUAAAACUUGUUACAUAAACUUAAUUCAUGAGAAUAUAACACUAGCCUUUGCCUUUGUUAUAAAUAUCUAAUAACAUAUGUGCCUCAUUGAAAAAUAUAUUCAAAAUUUGCAUAGUUCACAUCUUAUUGUACGUAAUAUACAUAUAAACAUAAACGUGCUCAAAAUGUAAGUCAUGCAGUAAUGCGUGUUAUGGCCCAACCUCAACUGAUCAGAAACUAAACUGCACAAAAUCCUACAGAAACCUUAGAGAAAUGGGGUAAAUAGGAAAAUAGUAGGCUUGUGGCUCAAUGAAUAGACAUAAUUACAUAUAAAAAUAAAUUAGUGCUUUAGUGCUUGUACAUAAUUGUAUGACAUAACUUCACACUGAAUGCAUUACAAAAGCAAACAUAAAGUCAUAUAUACAAACAUGACAAAAUUGCACUAAAUAAUAUCCUGGGGAAAUAACUCUCAAUACUCACUAGGAUCAUCAUCGUACGAAUAAAGUGGGGAAAAAACCUCUCAAUGCUCAGCGGAACUAACUGCAUCACAAAGGCUGAGUGAUCUAACUCUCAAUACGCAUGUGUAGAGUCUAUGGGGAAGGGUACAUAUAUGGUGCUUGACAAUCAAAUCUCAUGACUCAAUCAAUCAUAUAAUGUACGUACAUAUAAUCAUAACAUUAUACUAAAUCAUAUAAUCAAACAUAAAUGCUUUGUAGAAUACAUAAUAGUAGUAAUAAUAAUCCACUCACAGAUCCUAUUUCACUUUGGGGUUUGUUAGGGAUCUUGUGGAUUCCUUAAUUUUUGGAUUUCUCCUAAAAUACAGGGUUCAAAAAUUAACUUUUAGAACUGAUAAAAAAAAAUUAUAUGUAUGACGUAAACUAAAUCAUAAUUGUUCAAAUUUCUUAAAUAUGUUACCCAUUGACUCAUUGGAAAUAGAUCUAACUACCCAAUUCUCUCUUCAACAUUUUCUCUCAAUUCCUCUUUUCAAACAUAUUUUUCACUCUCGGUUUUUCUUUUCUUUAUUUUUUCUUCUUCAAAUUUCUUAAAUAUGUUACCCAUUGACUCAUUGGAAAUAGAUCUAACUACCCAAUUCUCUCUUCAACAUUUUCUCUCAAUUCCUCUUUUCAAACAUAUUUUUCACUCUCGGUUUUUCUUUUCUUUAUUUUUUCUUCUUCAUCUUUUCUUCUUCUGUUCUUUUACUCUUCUCUUUUCCUUUCGUUUUCUUCCUUUCUCUCUUUUUCCUUCCUUUUCCUUCUCUCUUUGAAUUGCUCUGUUUCGGUUUGAUUCAUGACAAUGGUGAGAGCUGCUUCAAUUCUUUACUUUAUAUAUAUCCGUUGCCUCCCAUCAUGCAUGACAAGCACAUAGGUGAAGCAUGCAUGUGCUUUGGUUUAAGCUAACAGCUUGCUAUUGUUUGACAAUUAGCCACAUGUGCCUCCUUUUAGCUUGCAUGUGCGUCAGAAUACAUGCAUUAGUAUUAUAUUUAAUAUAUUAUAGAAUUUCUUUUAACGAAGGACGCAGCCAACAAUUUUAUCCAGUUAAACAUAUUCUUCGAUAUAUAAUAGAAUUUAUGGUCAACCAGCUCAUAAGUAGUUAAAAUUAAAUUAUUUUUUAGAUAUAUAAUCUCAAUUUUAAAAUACUUUAAAAGAUUUUCAAACAUAAGAUACAAUGGUAUACAAUUGAAGCUUAAUCCAACAUUGAAAAAUUAAAUAAAAUUAAUUUUCAUCACUACUCUAGAGAAUUGAAAGGACAUUAAAGUAGCGUUUAUUUUGUAUUUAAAAUAUGAAAUAAUCUGAAUUUGACUUAAAUCUAAAUGGAUUUGAAUAUAAAUGUCUCAAUAACAUGUUUAUUUUUUUAAUAUCUAAAAAUUAAGUAGCAUCUUGUUUGUUUAGGAAUUACGUCGUUAUAAGUUAAAAUGAGUAAAGGGGAUUAGGCUUCGUAGUUUAGGAAAUAACUAUAUUAAGGCCCCGUUUGGGAUUGCUUUUGGGAGGGUUAAAAGUGAUUUUAAAAAUCUAAAAGCUAAUUUUGGUGUUUGUUAAAAAAAAAUCAAAAUCACUUUUGCCAGAAUCACCUCCUCCUACAGUUGAUUUUGAAAAGCAGGGAAUGAGUAACUUUUAGAUUCUGAUUUUGAAAAUCAAUUUUAUCCUUUAAUAUAAUUUCAUAAAUAUCCUUACAAUUAUUACUUAAACCUAAAAUUAUCCUUAUUUAAAUUGGAAAUAAAAUCAAUAUUUUAAUAAUUUUUUAUUAUAAUUAACGCAUACUUUUCGUUUACCCUAUUUCUUUAUAUUUUGUUUUCUAUCAAAACUUCUCUAAUGCAACAAAGCAAGAUCCAGUACGUGUUCCAUCACCAUAUUCAAUAACAGUAAGUGAUUCAUCAUCCUUUUCAUGCAUAUUCAAUGUAAUUUUUAUUAUAAUAUUUGUUGUUUGUCUUAUUUGGGUUUGUUUAUAUAUAAACAAUUCUAUGCCUAUGCAAUUUUUAUUAUAAUAUUCAUUGUUUGUCUUAUUUGGAUUUUUGUAUUAUAAAUGAUUCCUUCAAUUAUCAAGAUGCUUCGUUUUUUCUAUAAGAAUAGUUUAUGUAACUAAAGAUACAUGGCACAAAGCUAUAGAAAGUGCUACGUUUAUACUUCUUAACAAGAAGAUAAUAGGCUAAUUCCACAUUUUUAUAAAAAAAAAAUUAUUUGAUUCAACAAGAUAUUGUACGUGUACAUUUUUAUAUGUAUAAAUAAAUUUCAUCCUAUAUUAUGUACAUUUUAGUUAUUUAUUUUCUUACAGCAGUUUAACAGUAAGAUUUACCAAACACCCAUAACUACUUUCAAAAUUCACAGUACUUUUGAAAAUAAAAUUUACCAAACACUUAACUGAUUCUCUUCACAGUUGAUUAUUUCUACAGCACAGCUAACAGCAAUUAUUUUAAAAGUUACAGCAUUACCAAACUGGCCCUAAAUAGAUAUAUUUUUAGAUUAUAGUAUUUAUUUUCCCUUCAAACAUAUUCUCAUUUCGGCAAAGGUCACAAAAAGUUAUUUUUUUAAUUCAAAUGUAAAUAAUCUGAAUUUAUAAAUUUCCCAAUAACAAGUUUAUUUUUUUAAUAUCUAAAAAUUAAGUAGCAUCUUGGUUGUUUAGGAAUUACGUCAUUAUAAGUUAAAAUGAGUAAAGGGGAUUAGGCUUCGUAGUUUAGGAAAUAACUCUAUUGAAUAAAAAUAUUUUUAGAAUAUAGUAUUUAUUUUCCCUUCAAACAUGUUUUCAUUUCGACAAAGACCACAAAAAGUUAAUUUUUUUUAAAUUCAAAUGUAAAUAUAUAAAUUACAAAAAAAAAUUAACAACCACUUUUUUUUAAAGUUAGACUUCCUAUGUUUAACAAUCAACCCUAAGAAACAUGAAUAAGAGCUAUUAAAAAAAAAGAAUAAUUUUGAAACUAAAUACAAUUAAGUGACGAGGACCGAUAAAAUAAAUUGAGAGAAAAAAAAUUAAAAUAUCACCCUGCUUAUUGCUUGCUGACAGUUAUGAGUAUGAAAGAACGGGAGCCUUGGGUUGAAAAGCAUGGUGUUCAUGCAUGCGGAAUUUUCAGCUAAAAGCCUACAAAGUAGUGGCAAUAAUUAAUCAAUCAUCGUGGAGUGCACGAUGAAAUUAAAAAAAAUAUUUUUAGAAUAUACUGCUGGUUGGACAAUGAGAUGAAAUUAAAAAAUUUUCAGGCGGUGGUUUGACAAUGAGAUGAAAUUAAAAAAUUAUCACGGAACUUGAAGGAAGGUUCAUGGCAUCGAUUUAUUCUACAGAGUCACGCACAUUUGGUUCAAUAAUUGUUUUCAUCCGAAUCAAAAUCUCUCUCUAAUCAAUUCAACUGUUUCUGUUGAUUAUGGCUUCUUCUUCUCGAAACAACAAGAAGUAUGAUGUUUUUGUUAGUUUCAGAGGAGAGGACACCCGAGACAACUUUACUAGCCAUCUCUAUUCUGCUCUGUGUCGACAAAAUAUCCAAACUUUCAUUGAUGACCAACUUAACAGAGGAGAUGAAAUUUCGGAGUCACUUGUGACUGCAAUUGAAGCAUCAGCCAUUUCAGUUAUCGUCUUCUCAGAAGGGUAUGCAUCUUCCAGAUGGUGUCUCGAUGAACUUGUCAAGAUCCUCAAGUGCAAGAAAGAGUAUGCACAGAUCGUGAUUCCGGUUUUCUAUCGGGUUGAUCCAUCAGACGUGAGAAACCAAACUGGGAGUUUUGGGGAUUCAUUUUCGAAGCUUGAAGAAAGAUUAAAGGAGAAUACUGAGAAGCUACGGAGUUGGAGGAAAGCUUUGAAGGAAGCAGCCAGUUUGUCUGGCUUUCAUUCUCUUAACAUCAGGUGAAAAGUUACUUUUAAUUUCGCAUACUAAUAUUCAACACUGUAAAUAAAAUUCACGCAGCACUCUUAGUUAAAUUUCCAGAUGCUAAACUACACUUUUAAAUUUUUUCAUGCAUCAAAUUCUAGACUUCUUGAACUUCCCCACUUUUGAACUCCUAUAAAAGAAUUUUUCCAGAAUUAAUAACAAAAGCUCCAGAAGUUUACAAUAUAUUUUAACAAAAUUAAUGGUGUUCUGUCGUUUUUUAAUCAAUUUCAAUCUCUUACUCAUAUACCAUUAGGAAAAAAAAAAUCUCUUCCACAUAUAACAUAUUCCCGUCAUUAAGAAAUUUGAACCAGUGUUUCAUCCACAGAUUCCUUAUUUGCAUAAAUGGACAAUAAAAUAUUCCUCAGUGUUUCCCUACAGCACCAAGAUAUGCACAUCAUAGAGUUUUUUUUUUAAUUUUGACUCUAGUGUAUUGGGAUAAUGAACAAUGGACUGAAUAGAGAGAAGAGAAAAUACCUUUGUUUCACACGCUCAAAUAUAGCAGAAGCAAUUGGCCUUUGCUUCAACAAAAAAUCAAUGAACCAAAGCAAUGGUAACAAUAGCUUGAUUCUCCAAUCAUCAACAAUUGCCUUGUUGUUCAUGCCACCAGCACAAUUCAACAGAACAAGCCCUUGAACAAGGGUUUGACUAGAUUCUUAUGGUAGAAAAUAUAGCAGGUUUAUCGUAAACCAUAGAUACCAAAAAGGAUAAUUAGGGCCAAGUGUUUCUUUGCAAGCAAGUUGAAGAAUCUCUGAUGUCCAAGGGGAAGUUAAAAUAAAUAUACCUGAGGCAGCAAUAACACAAGCUAGGCUUCCAACAGAGUUACCUAUAAGCACAGUUGGCUUCUUAACAACUUCAUCCAGGAAAUCCAAUAUUAGCUGUAUCAGUGAAUCUCACUCAAGUUAGCAAGGAAAAUAACUAAAGGUCAAGCGAUUGAUGACAAAAGAUCCAACUUCUGGCUAGGGAACAUUGCAUACCUGAGCCCAUCCCUCCAUGGUAUAUGAAUAACCAGCUGGCUUAUCUGAAGCACCAAAUCCAAGAAGGUCAAUUGCAUAAACCGUGUAGCUCUUUGCCAGGGUGCCAAUAUUCCUGAAAUUACCUCAGAGAUGACAAGAAAAAUAUCAAUUCCUCACAUUAUUUAAUAGGAUAAAGGAAUGGUGCACAAGCAAAUUUUCAUUCCCCUUUUCAACGGAGCAGUAAAAUGAAUACUUUUUCACUAGAUUAAGAAUCGGAAAAUGGAAGAAGCCUAUAUCCAUAAAAGGGUAAUAUGAAAUGGAACCCUGAAACUCAGAUCACCGGUUUGUCAUCAUCUAGGUGCAUGGAAUAGAACUAGGUGUUAAUGCCAAUGCACCAGGAAAUAACGAAUAGAUUUACCUUCAUUAUUCUUUUGCUUCAUUCAUCUUAAUUAAUUAUUAGAAGUAUAACACAUAUAAAUGCAUCCCUGAACUUCAUAAUACAUAACAGAGUCAGAGAUAUUACAUACAUAAGGGCAUGACAUGCUCCAUACCAAAAAAAAAAUAUAGUCGAAAAUGACCCCCAUUAUGGUGACUGAAAAAAGAAAAUAAAAGAAGAAAAUAUUUGCCGAACACAAUAGUAGCACCUAAGAAGUCCUACUUAAGAGGCUUCAUACCCUGCACAAAUUGGAAAGUUUUCUAAAAUUUUCAUGUUUCAAAUGAAGAUUGUCCAUUAAAAAAAAACAAGGAUAACCCAGAAACUAUCCAACCAUCAAUAACAUGAAACUUUUGUAAUUCUGGUAAAGUGAAUGAGAAGCAGAACAUACAUUUCACGUAAUAAUGAAGAUACUGUUGAUGCCGAAAUCCGGAUAAGUUGAUCGAAUCUCAGAUCCCUGCAUCAGCAUUGAAUUUGUUUGGUGGGAAGUUGAUGAUUAGUUAGCACCAUUAGCAGAUUUUCUAUGAGCAGAUGUUCUGUGAGCAGACAACCCAUGAGCAGAUAACCCGUGAGCAGACGAUCCAUGAGCAGACGACCCAUGAGCAGACGAUCCAUGAGCAAAUAACCCAUGAGCAGACGUUCCAUGAGCAGAUAAUUCAUGAGCAGAGAACUCAUGAGCAGAUAACCCGUGAGCAGACGAUCCAUGAGCAAAUAACCCAUGAGCAGACGAUCCAUGAGCAGAUAACAUGUGAGCCUGUGAACACAACCAACAGUCAGGAGGUGCCGGAAGUUUUUCCGGCGAGAACCCUCCGACGCUCAAGUCAGCGAUUCGGGUCUUACUUGGAAAAACCCAUACCACAAUUCAUGUGGCUUAAUUAUGAUUGCUUUAAACAAAAAGCUUUUAAGUAAAUUUAAAGGAAAAGAAUUCAAAAUAAUCAAUCUUAAAGAAAUCACAGGCGAAAGAGAAAUUUCUCAGUGGUAGAGAGAGAAAAAGGUCCAAUGGGUUCAGUUGCUUAGAGAGAGAGAGAGAGAAAGAGAGAGAGAGAGAAAGAGCUCAAAGACCCCCUUUCCUUUCCCUUCCUAGGGUUUUUAUAGGAAACUAUAGCGGUUUUCAUCCACUCUCCUAGAAUUAUUAAGAAAACUAUUAAUUUUCAGCCCACUAAGAAUAUGGUCCCUAAUAUUUCGGAGAAAAUGUUUUGCCUGAAUCGUGCUUUCUGGUAAUUUCCUGGUCGAGGUGACCAAUAACAUCCUGGUUGAGGUGAUGUGCUCGAGGUCACCACAUAUUAUUCUGGUCGAGGUGACCAAUAAUAUCCUGGUCGAGGUGGUGUGCUCGAGGUCACCACAUAUUAUUCUGGUCGAGGUGACCAAUAAUAUCCUGGUCGAGGUGGUGAGCUCGAGGUCACCACAUAUUAUUCUGGUCGAGGUGACCAAUAAUAUCCUGGUCGAGGUGGUGUGCUCGAGGUCACCACAUAUUAUCCUGGUCGAGGUGACCAAUAAUAUCCUGGUCGAGGUGGUGUGCUCGAGGUCACCACAUAUUAUUCUGGUCGAGGUGACCAAUAAUAUCCUGGUCGAGGUGAUGUGCUCGAGGUCACCACAUAUUAUUCUAGUCGAGGUGACCAAUAAUAUCCUCGUCGAGGUGAUCUGCUCAACCAUUUGCUCGCUUUUACUCUGGAGGAGAGCAUGAUAAUGUAUGAGCAAACACCUUUAUCUUGGUCACCCUAUUUCAUUCCCUAAACACCAGUCCCCCAGUUUCUAGUGUUGAGAGUGAACGAAUCAAGACUGGAAACUUUGGUAGUUUGCUCGCCUUCGCUUGGUUGAGCAGAUCUUUGCAUGCUUGGCUUCCUGUCUUGCCAUAAAACAGGCUUUGAGACUUUGGAGCCUUUGCACGCCUUAGGAAUUUUUAUAACACUUGAGGGUCUGCUCGCCUUCGCUUGGUCAAGCAGAUCUUGCCACGUUUGGCUUUUGGUCUCGCCAUAAAACAGGCUUUGAGACUUGGUGAGCCUUUGCAUGCCUUAGGAAUUUUUAUAACACUUGAGGGUCUGCUCGCCUUCGUUUGGUCGAGCAUAUCCCGGCACUCUUGGCUUCUGGUCUCACCAUAAAACAGGCUUUGAGACUUGGUGAGCCUUUGCAUGCCUUAGGAAUUUUUAUAACACUUGAGGGUCUGCUCACCUUCGCUUGGUUGAGCAGAUCCUGGCACGCUUGGCUUCUGGUCUCGCCAUAAACAGGCUUUGAGACUUGGUGAGCCUUUGCAUGCCUUAGUAAAUUUUAUAACACUUGAGGGUCUGCUCACCUUCGCUUGGUCGAGCAGAUCCUGGCACGCUUGGCUUCUGGUCUCGCCAUAAACAGGCUUUGAGUUUGGGCAAGAGUCCAACGCAACCCAACUAAAACCAUUUUAAUUUGAUUUUAGUUUGGGUUGACUUAGGCUUUGAUAAAUUCACAUGUUCUAUACCAUAAUUAAAAUAAAGUAUUAUUUGUCAUACAUUUUAUACAUUAAACACAUAGUGAAGGAAAAAAGUUUCAAAAAUUCAGUGGCAGCAAACGUCCUCUCUGCAAUCUUUGUGGGCAACGCAUACGUGGUAUCUUCACUAAUAAGUGUUGAAUCUUUAGCUUCAAAGGAAAGAAACUAAAAAGGGUAGGGAUAUUUCCACCCCAUUACUUUUUAAAUUUACCCACUUCUAGAAAAUAAUUAUAAUGAAUUCACAAUAUUUUUUUAAAAAUACAAAUUAAUAAAAAUUUUGUAUAGUUAAUCAAUUAAAUCCUUCUAUUAUUUUUUUACUAGAUUUCUUUGAGUAUAUUUGAUCAUAAACUUGAUAUAAAUUUUACUUUACUAUUUUAGUAUUAUGAUAUAAAAAGGCCAAAUUGUACAAUAAACACGGGUUAUUGUAUCUAAUAAUUUAGGUAUUUAAUUAUGUGAACUAAUAUUUUUAAAUGAAAUUUAACUAUUAUUUUCACUAUCUUACGUGUAAAUGAUGUAAAUUUGACAAGCUAAUAAUUUACAUGAGUAUUGUGCCAUAAAGCCAUUAUGUUUGUUUAAUUAAUGUUUUAUAAUCAUACUAAUAAAGUAGUAUUAGAAAUAAUGAAUUUGGUGUAAAAUUAGAAAAUAUUGAAGUUAAAGAAUUAGUUUUACCUUAUAAAGAUAAAAUAAUCAAUUUAGACUUAUGUCAAAUCAAUCUUUAUGAUCAAAUAUAAUAACAAAAUUUAAGUCACAAAAAGUAAAUUAAAAUAGAUUUGUUAAUUUGUUCUCCAAAGUUCAAAAUGAGUAAAAGGAAUUAGACUUCGUAUUUAGGAAAUAAAUUUACUGAAUAGAAAUACUUUUAGUAUAUAUUAUUUAUUUUUCAUUCAAACAUUUUCUCAUUUCAGCAAAGGUCACAAAAAUUUACUUAUUUAAUUUAAAUGUAAAUGCCUAAAAAUUAGAUAUAAGUUAUUAAAAAAAACUAAUUAAUUUUUUUUUAAAGUUAGACUUCAUAUGUUUAACAAUCAACCCUAAGGCUAAUGAAAAAGAGCUAUUAAAACAAAAAAAAAAAGAAUAAUUUUGAAACUAAAUACAAUUAAUUGAGAGAUGAGGACGGAUAAGAUAAAUUCAGAGAUAAAAAUUAAAUUAUCACCCUACUUAUUGCUGGCAGUUAUGAGCAUUAAAGCACAGAAGCACGUGUGUUGAAAAGUAUGGUGUUCGUGUGGAAUUUUCAGCUAAAAGUCUACAAGGCAGUUGAAUUAAUCUGAGGUAGCGUUUACUUUUUGGAUUGGAGUGAGAAUCUUAGGAUUGGGAGUGUGGAGUGGGAGUGGGAGUAGGUUGUUUACUUGCACUGGAAUAGAAUCAUGGAAUGGAGAUCAGAAUCAAAUUUAUGUGUUUACUUUGCCUUGGAUUGGGAGUAAAUAGUUUCAAAUUGCAAUUUUAUCCUUAUGUAAAGAAUUAUAGUUUUUAAUUACAAAUUUAAUAAAAAAUAUAUUUAAUGAAUAAACAUUUAUUUUAUUAUAUUUGUAAAUUUAUAAUAAUUAUUAAUAUUCUUAAUUAUGAACAUCAAUUUUUUUUAAUUUUAAUUAUAUAAAUUAAAAAUUGUUGAUAAGGGCAAUAUAAAUGAAAUAUUUUUACUAUUAACAUAGUAUGAAAUUAAUAUUUUCUUAGAAUAAACUAUUUAUUAGUAUUAAUUAUUAAUAUUAAAUAAAUAUAAUACUAUUAUUUUUAAAUAAAUAUAAUAAUAUUAUAUUUUCAAAUAAAGAUUGUAUAUAGUUAUAUUAUUAAUUCUCUAUUAAUAUAAUAAUAUUAUUUUAAAGUAAAUUAAACUUAGAAUCAAACCCAAUUAUUAUUUAGUUAAAUAUAAUAAUAUUAUUUAAAUAUUUAUUAAAUAUAGUUAUAGUAAAUUUAAUAAAAAGAAGGGUAAAUAUAAAAUGAAACAUUAUUUUAUUUUAUAUAAUUAUAUUAAAUUUAUUAAUAUAAUAUUAUUUAAUACAAAAUUAAUAUUUUCUUAGAAUAAACUAUUUAUUAUUAUUAAUUAUUAAUAUUAAAUAAUAGUACGAUUAUUUUUAAAAUAAAUAUAAAGAUAGCAUAUAUUUAUUAAUUCUCUAUUAAUAUAAUAAUAUUAUUUUAAAGUAAUUUUAACUUAUAAUCAAUGUAAAUUAUUAUUUAGUUAAAUAUAAUAAAAUUAUUUAAAUAAAUAUAAUUAUAAAUUAUUUUAUUUUAUUAAAUUAAAUUAAAAACAAAGGGUAGAAAAGGGAGAGGUAUGAGUGGAUCCCCAUGGGAGUCCCACUCCCACUCUCCACUCCAAAAAUGAGUGGGGUCCACGGAAUGAGAUUCACAAUCUCUCUUUAUUUUGUUGAAGUAAACACGGGAGUAGGAGGAAUCUACACUCCUCACUCCCACUCCAGAAAGUAAACACUGUCUCAAUCAUCGUGGAGUGCACGGUGGUUGGACAAUGAGAUGAAAUUGAAAAAUUAUCACGGAAACUGAAGGAAGGGGCAUGGCAUCGAUUUAUUCUACAGAGUCACGCACAUUUGGUUCAAUAAUUGUUUUCAUCCGAAUCAAAAUCUCUCUCUCAUCAAUUCAACUGUUUCUGUUGAUUAUGGCUUCUUCUUCUCGAAACAACAAGAAGUAUGAUGUUUUUGUUAGUUUCAGAGGAGAGGAAACCCGCGACAACUUUACUAGCCAUCUCUAUUCUGCUCUGUGUCGACAAAAUAUCCAAACUUUCAUUGAUCACCAACUUAACAGAGGAGAUGAAAUUUCGGAGUCACUUGUGAAUGCAAUUGAAGCAUCAGCCAUUUCAGUUAUCGUCUUCUCUGAAUCAUACGCUUCUUCUAGAUGGUGUCUCGAUGAACUUGUAAAGAUCCUCGACUGCAAGAAGGAGUAUGCACAGAUUGUGAUUCCGGUUUUCUAUCAGGUUGAUCCAUCAGACGUGAGAAACCAAACUGGGAGUUUUGGAGAUUCAUUUUCGAAGCUUGAAGAAAGAUUAAAGGAGAAUACUGAGAAGCUGCAGAGUUGGAGGAAUGCUUUGAAGGAAGCAGCAAGUUUGUGUGGAUUUCAUUCUCCUAACAUCAGUUGAAAAGUUAAACCUUUAAUUUCUCAUACUAAUAUUUAACAAUAAAUAAAAUUCACGCAGCGCUCUUAGUUAAAUUUCCGGAUGCUAAACUACAAUUUUAAAAAUUUUUUAGCAUCAAAUUCUAGACUUCCUGACUUCCCCACUUUUGUGCUCAUAUAAAAUAAUUUUGACAUAAUUAAUAAUAAAAGCGCGAGAAUUUUACAAUUUUUAUAUAGCAAAAUUAGUGGUGCUCUGUAGUUUUUCAAGCAUUUUCAACCUCUCACUCAUAUACCACCAUUAAAAAAAAAAUCACUCAUAUUCCUGUAACUUAAGAGUUAUCAAUUUAUUGUGAGAUUGUAGACUUAUAGUGAUAUAUAUUAAUUUCAAUAGAAAAACUAACAAUCUACCUUAUUUCAUAUUUAAUACAAAUUCCUCCUAUUAAUUUGAAGUUACUUUGGCUAAUUUUAUGUAUUUGCUAGGUGUGAGUCGGAACUUACAAAUGAAGUUGUUAAUCACAUUUUGAAGAGAUUGGAUGAAGUGUUUCAGCCCCGUGAUAACAAAAACCAGCUGGUUGGAGUGGAAUCAACAGUUGAGGAAAUUGAAUCCCUAUUAGGUGUUGAGUCGAAAGAUGUUUACGCUUUAGGGAUUUGGGGCAUUGGUGGUAUAGGCAAAACAGCAAUUACUAGAGCUAUUUUCGACAAAAUCUCGGGUGAUUUUGAAGGUUCUUGCUUCCUCGAAAAUGUUAGAGAUGAGUCACAAAGACUAGGAGGAUUAGCUUGCUUACGACAAAAACUUCUUUCAAAUUUAUUGAAGGAUAAAAAUGCGAUGCCUUAUAUUGACCUCAAUUUUAGAAGGCUCAGCCGCAUGA
rnacentral:lncRNA from 1 species